rnacentral:lncRNA from 1 species
UGGUUCUCGAAUAUUUGCUGCAAUUUACGGUACUGACAUCUCUGGUUGUUCAGUUCAUUCAGUUGGUCACAGCAUUGUUCCAAUUCUUCUGAUUCCUCGCUAUUCCUGCUACGUCGAAUAACAUGCUUGAUUCCUCGUAAGGUCCUAGAACGAUCUUCUUCCUCCUCUUGCUGCUGUUAAAUCCUCUGAAUCAGGUUCAGCUGCUGGAGUUACCUGACGUAGCUUUGUUCAGAUCGGAAGGCGCUGGUGUGGACCACUAAAACAAGAGCAGCAAAGAGAGCAAUGAGAAUUGUGAGCCUAGCCAUUUCAGUAAGAAUGCAAUGACUACUAUGUUUUAACUUUGUUGAUGAUGGGUUAAGCAUGGAGAGUGGAUAAGCAUUAUGUAGAGGAUAUGGGAUAUUGCAUGUCAAUUACGUGGAAGGGAAGUGGUGUCGGUGGAAUUUUGUGUUUUGAUGGGGUGGGUGGAUGUGUUUGCUUUUUUAUUUGCUUCAGUGCUUACACCUCAUAGUUUCAUGCAGAUAUUGACACAAGAGGCCAUCGUGAUUUCUUUGGGUCCCCGGCAACUGCGUGAUGGAAGGUUCUUGUUUGUUGUCCUGCGUGAAGAAUUAGGUUAAUGAUUCUAUUAUUUGUGACAUUUUUUUUAUUCACCAAAAGUUAAUUUAGAUGAAGUACAAGUAGUAAAAAAGUUACAAGUGCAUGUAAUCUACAAUACUAAAGUCUAGCAGUAAAAAUAAGUUAAGCUUUCCGAGGGUCUUUCUUCCCAGAUAUUAUAAGUGAAGAAGAUUUUUGUUAUGAUUUUGACACGGUUUUUAUGAAGAUAUUAAGAUCAAAAAAGAAGAAAAUGGAAGAAAAUUUUGAAGACAAUGAAGAUCAAGCUUCAACGCAAAACAGUUUAUAAAUCUUCAAUAUGUAUUGUUAUCCUUAUACUUUAUGUAUAGUUUAGUAGCAAUGCUCAAGAAAUGAGAAAACAAUUUUGAAAAUAAAUUGGAAAACUUUUAGUCAAUUUUAAACAAUUUUCAAAAUGUUAAGUAAUGAAUUACUUAACCUGAGUGAUAAGUUACUAGACUUAGGUAACAGAUUACUUGGACAGUGUAAUAGUGAGUAACAUCUAAGAUUGCAUAACACGUUACCUGACUGAAAUGGGUUACACAUCAAAAAUCAACUCAAUGGAACCGGUUACUAUAAGCAAUAAUCGAUUACUCAAUUGAACAUAAUGUUUGGGUAAUCGAUUACAGUUUCAAUCACUAUGCCAAAUAUCGCAAUUAACGACGGUCAUUUAACCUCACUUGCUAGAACAAUGCUGUUAAAAACGAGGCAGAAUAUAAUCAACAAGCUCAUUAAAUGACCGUUGUUGAUAGGAUGUGACAUUUAAGCAUCAAAAGUGCUUACAGGAGCAUUGUUGAAGAUAUAUUCUUGAGUGAGCGCUAUUGAAAAUGUCAUAUCAACAAUGCUCUCUUGAGUGAGCGCUAUUGAAUAUGACAUAUCAACAAUGUUUUCUUAAAUGUGCACUGUUGAUUAGAUACGACGUUUAAGUAUCAUAAAAAUUAAUUGUGGAGUACUUGACCUAAACGACAUUAUCUCAUUUAUGUGUCUCUUCGUUCGCCGAAGUUCUUUUGCUAUCAUUACACAAAUACAUGUUUAUGCAUAUUCUUUGUUUGGUUGCUUCGUGAUGUGGAUUGCACAUCUGCCAAGGACGAUGGUAGUCGUUCUCUUUCCAUUUUCAUCUAUAUAUGUUGUGGUUCUGCCAAGUCGUGUAAGACAUUUGUUAUUUUCUUCUCAACCAAGUACGGUAAUAGGUUCAACUGUUUCUUUGUAUCUGUUAUAUUCAGUGAUUUGUAUUUGUAUUUGUAUUUGUGUUUGUCUAAUAUGUCUUCAUUGUCUCCUUUUAUAAUUAGUCAUAGCACGCAGAGUGAAUUUCAUCAAAGAUAUAAAUGCCUCUAGGGAUACCUAAAAGCUGAAAAUAAGAAUUGCAAGUCUUUGACGGAUUGGAAUAUAUGCAGCUCCUUCACUUGUAAUGAUUUUGAUUGAUCGAAAGGUACUUUAAUUUUUAGGGUUCCUUUUUUAAUUCCUUAUUUAUUCCUUUUUUGGAUCAUAAUAUGUUUAUGUACCAGGAGGAUAAAAUUGAGGUUGUUGUAAAGGAUUUUCAUAUUUCACAAUGGGACUCUCAACUUAAAGAGAGUUUUAGUUAUAUUGUUGAAAACUUUGAUGUUGUUCUCAAUGAUGGACAAUAUCGAUGUUGUAACCAUCCUUACAAACUAAUAUUUGAAGAAGGAACAAUAUUGAUACAUAGAGAGCUUUGUAACAUUCCAAAUUACAUUUAUCAUUUUACUAAAUUUGAAGAUAUCUUGAUGGAAAUUGUGCUUACAGACUUUCUCAUAGGUAAUUUUACUACAUUUGAAGAUACAUUCAUUCAAUUUAUAACCAGAUAUCUGCAUGUAAUUAAUUUAUUUGUCUUACUAGAAAUCAUUGGCGAGUUUGUUGACAUUGAGAUGACUCAAAUAGAUUCUACCCGUAAGAAGGUGGUUUUCACCAUUAGGGACUUUGAGGUUAGCUUUUGCACAACCAAAUUUUUCCAUUCAAAAUUUGUAGUCUGCUUUGAUUUUUCUUAAACUCUUGUAGGGGUAACAACCUAAAGUGCACUCUUGGGGGACAAUUUGCAACACAUUUAUGACAUACAUAGAAAAUCACAAAGUUUAUCAUAUUGUGUGGUUUUGACCCUUGCAAAGAUGAGGGAAGUGGAAGGUAUGUGUCUAAAUAUUUUUUUAUUCAAAUUUUUUAAUGAAAAAGUUUGUUUGAAACAAAUUAUUAAUCUGACUUGCAAAUUGUAGUGGGAGGUUAUCAUGUGUCCAUACAAAGUAUAUUGUGUGGUUCUAAAAUUUAUAUCAAUGACUCCAAUAUACCAGAUAUUGAAAUAUUUUUGUGGAGGUGAUUCAUUUUUUUUGUUUCAUUAUUCAUUCAUUUUUCAUUUCUCGAAUUAAGAGUAACAAGUCGUUUUUCAUUUAUAGCUUGGACACCACCAAAAGUUAUGAAUCUUACAGUGAAUGUGUUAGUUCGUCUUCUUCAUGUUCUCAGGUAAAAUAUCUAUUCAUACUUUUUACUCUUCAUGUUUUCUGCAUAUAUUUAAAGAAGAUUAUGUUAAUUUCUACGUUUUUUUGUUGGGCAUUAAACCAAUUGAGAAAGGGAAGUCAGUAGGUUAUAUUCCUAAAAAAGAAUGUGUUUGUCACUUUUGUCAUACUACGUGCAAUUUUCAAUCUCUUUGUUUAAUUUCUUACUAGAUUUGAAUGUUUAAUCUUUAUAUUUUCAAUCUUCAAUCUAAUUUUUUAUUUUAGUUUUUUAAGAAAUUCUUAAUGACAAUAGGGGAUGAUGACCCGGACUAUGUGGAAUAUCUUUAUUCCACUUAGAUGGCUUCUUCGACUGAGGGACACUUUGAAGAAUGAACAAUUAUUGACGUUAAUUUCUUUUUUGAUGUUUGUCUUUUGGAUGGUUGUGCAAACUCCAUAAACAUUGUUAAUUUUUAGUUCUAUUUUGAUCACUGAACAUUGUAAUGAUAAUCUUGAAAUUUUUGCUUUUGUUCUACAAUAUAGCUCAUCAAAUAUUCCUCGUGUUAUAUUAAUGUGUGUUUGUGCUGUUUAGAAUAUAUGUCUGUUGUUGAUAAUUGAAUAUGCAGGUAAUCAACAACGCAUGCUCUAUGGCAAGCUUUGUUGAAUUAAUCAUAUACAACAACGUCCAUUUAGAUGACGUUGUUGUAUAUAAUUAAUACAACAACUCUAAUGUAUAAUAACGCUCGUUGGGUGAAGUGGUGUUGUAUGUAUGACAUACAACAAUGCCCACAUAUGUGUUGUUAAAGCAUGCCGAUAUUCUACUGCACUCAUAUAGAUAGCGUAUGAAAGCAUUGUUAUAUACCUAACAUGCGCGUUGUUGAACUGAAAAACUGGCAUAGUGAAUAACCGAUUAGAGAGAGUUGUUAAAUCAGAUUUUCAAAUCUAAACUCAACAACUUUCAUCCACAUUGAAUGGGUUUCAUUCCAAUCGUGUCUCACCUUCGUGUAAGGGUAUAUUGGUUGGUUAGAAGCCUAUUUAAAGGCCAAAGAACAUCCACUUCAUGACACACUUUAAUCAUCCAAACUUUCACAUCAUUCACAUACAAUAGUCUACAUUUUCUUAUGCAACUUUUGUUCUAAACUUUCAGAAUUUUUCUGAAGUUGCAUUGAUUGCUUGUUCUAAAGUUUGCUAAACUUAAACACAUAUUGAGCAUUGCAUACUAAAUGUAUAAAGAGAAAAAAGAUUGCAAGUUAUAACAAUUUUAUAUCUUGUAUGGCAAUCCUUGCCCUAGAAAGUUUUCUUCAUAUCUUAUUAUAAAAUUUUCAUCACAAGGGUGUGGUGAGAAGGGAGAUGGAGUACUUGGAUAGGUUGUUUUCCAAUGGUGUGAGGUAUUAGUGAAUGUGUGAUGUACAAGGACUCUUGGUGACAUAAAUUGUAAUUGCAACUCAUAAUAUUAAGUAAACAAAUCUCUUGUGAUACAAGAGUAUUGGACGUAGCCUUCAGUAGACAAGAAGGUGAACCUGUAUAAAACAUGUGUGUACUUUCUCUCUUCUCUUUACUGUGUUACUUUUACUGUUUUUACUUGGUGAUUUUUCUGUAUUUAUUCUGCUGCAAUAAACUCUUAUUUUCAUAGCAGAAAUAUUGGUCAUAUAAAUUAGUCAACUAAUUCACCCAUUUUUAGUUGUCAUUUAAUAGUUAUAAUUGACACUAGAGCUUGAUUUGGGUAAGUUACUCCCAAAGAUUCUAAUCUUUUAGAUGACCUCUAGGUCUUUUUGGGAGACAUGAGAAAGGAAAAAGGGUUUGGGAAAUACAUUUUUUUAGCCUUAUAUCUUUUUCUAGAAAACCCAAAGCCAGACCAAGAUACAAGUUUAAAAGACUUUGUUGGGGAUUUGGUUUUCUCAAGGUACGUACUAGGGAAAAAAACCUUGACUCUAUUAAAUCAUAUCAAAUUUUGAUAAAAAAAUAUAUAUCUUCUUUGAUCAAUUUUUCUGCUAUGAAAUCAAAGUGUUUAUGCAGCAGAAAUAUUGUAGAAAGAUUACCAAUUGAUACCUUCAAAAUAAAGAGAUAGAUUAGAGAGAAAAAAAAAGAACACAAUGUAUUUUUAUAUUGGUUCACCUUCUUGUCCACUGAAGGCUACGUCCAAUACUCUUACAGAACAAGAGAUUUAUUUACAAGAUAUUUUGAGUUGUAAUUACAAUCUCUCUCUCUGAUACUCUUUGUACCUUACACACUCACAAAUACCUCACACACUUGGAAAAUAACAUUUCCAAGUACUCUAUUUCCCUUUCUCACCACACUCUUGUGAUGACAAGUUUACAAUGGGUUUGAAGAAUGAAUUCUAUGACAGGAUUGCCUUUACAAGAUAUAACAAUUAAUAACUUGUUAUCCUUAGACUGAAUAAGAUUAAUACAAUGCUCUUGAAAGGAUUAAGUAUGUAAACUUUAGCACAUUGCACUUGAAGCAACUUAAUAAAAAAUCUAAAAGUUUAGAAUAAAAUUUGCAAGAAAAAGUGCAGAGAAUUAUAUAUGAAAUUGUGUGUAAUUCAUAUGUAAUGAUUGUGUUUCAAAAUGGGACUCUUAAUGCCUUUAAAUAGGAUUCCAAUAAGCCAAUAUACCCUUCCAUGAAAUUGGGACGGGAUUGGAAUGAAACGUGUUGAGUUUGAAUGAAAGUUGUUCAGUUUGGAUUUGAAAAUCUAGUUGAAACAACAUUGUGUAAUCGAUUACAUCAUGAUGUAAUUUAUUACUUAAAUAUUCUGCCCAAAGAUAUAAGCGAUUAAUCAUUAAUUUAAUUGGUAACUCUCUAUCAGUUAUUGUUGGAUAACUCUUUACUUAGUUAGGUAACUUGUUACCAAUUGUCACACAAUUCAAGUAAUCUAUUACCAAGGUCUAGUAACCUGUUACUCAGGUCAAGUAACCCGUUACUUAGCUUUUUGAAAAUUGUUUAACUUUUUCUAAGAAUUUUCAAUUCUUUUCAAAAUAGUUUUUCACUUCUUUUGAGCAUUACUUACUAAUUAUAUUGAAGUGUAAAAGAUAGAAGUACUUAUUGAAGACUUAGACUCUAAUUGAAGCUUGAUCUUCAUGUAUCUUCAAUAUCUUCUUUGUUUUUCUUCUUUUGGUGUGAUCUUGAUGUCUUCAUCAAAAUUGUGUCAAGGUCAAGAGCAAGAUCUUCUUCACAAUUCUUGUGUGCUCGCUUUUAGUAGUCACAAGUUCUGGUACUACCCCUACGUACAAAUUGAGUUUCAACAAUAUCCAUGUAUUCUUAUUUUUAAUUUGAUUGUCUCGAGGUCCGAUAGUAUAAAUGUGUUCUUUUUCUAAAUGUUGCAUUACGAUUAUUAUCUUCAUUUUCUUCUUUUUUACAAAAUUGGUGUUCAUUUUUUUAGUGCUUACUUACUAUGGUAGCAUACAAACCUCAGUAUGUUCGCUAUCUAGUGAGUAACAAUUAAAGAGGGACAACUCUAAAUACCCAAUUUUGUUUGAACCAUUUUCACAAAAGUGAAAAAAUUACAAAAUAUAAAAGUUACAAUUUAAAAUACCAAAAAAGGAUAUUCUAAUUAUUUUUAUGCUUUUAUAGAGUCAACUAAUUAUUUUUAUUUAUUUAUGUUUAUUAUGGUAAUUUUUAGGAUUUUAUAAAGUCAUAAACGACUUUUGUUCAAAAACGAUACUCUUAUAAUUUUUAAAGCUAAAAUGAAAUAUUUUUAACCCAACUANNNNNNNNNNNNNNNNNNNNNNNNNNNNNNNNNNNNNNNNNNNNNNNNNNNNNNNNNNNNNNNNNNNNNNNNNNNNNNNNNNNNNNNNNNNNNNNNNNNNAAAUAAUAAAUUUAAUUUUCUUGUAUAAAAUAUUUUUCAUAAAAAUAGCUCAUUAAAAUAAUUAACUAAAUCCAAACAAUUAUAAUAUAAAAUAAUUAAAAAUGAUGUUUUAUCAUUAUAAUUAAUUUAUGGAAUUUGAAUCGCAUACAUCAUGGCCCGUGUCAUGGCAUGCGUCGUAUCCUACUUUCUACUUCAAGCGAAAAGUCAGUCUACGACUAGUAUUGUCGCUUUGCUAUUGAUUUCAUUUAUUAAAAAUGUGUUAUCACCUAAUUAACGGAAGAUGAAUAGUUUGGUCGUCGCACGUGUCAUCUCUUUCUUUCUGCCUCAAGAGGAAAGUCUGCCCACGAAUAAUGUCGUCUCUUUGCUAUUGAUUCCAUUUAUUAAAAAAAAUGAAUUAAAAAUGAUUUAUCACAUAAUUAAUGGAAUUUGAAUAGCAUAGUCAUGACCCAUAUUCUCUCUUCUUAGCUACUUAAAGUAGAUAGUUAGUCUAGGAAUAAUGUCAUCUCUUCGAUAUUGAUUUCAUUAAUUCAAAAAUAACUAUAAUAAAAAAUAUUUUACCAAAUGAAAAUAAUAUAACUUUUAUAGUUCAAUUAUAGUUCACGUCGUCUCAAACUUCUCUGAAAAUGAGGAGAAUGUCUAUGACCAAUACAAUCUCUUCCUUAUUAAUUGCAUUUAAUAUUAAUAACCCAUAUUUUUAAGUAAUUAUUUAUUUUAAAAUUAAAAAAAAUGUAAUUGAGCUUUUAUAGUUCAGUUUUUGUUCAUGUCAGCUCUAACUUCUCUUGAAAUGGGAAGAAGGUGUAGGACCAAUAUUAUCUUUUCGCUAUUAGUUUCAUGAAAAUGAAAUAAUUAUAUCUUAUAAUUAUUUUGAAAGUAAAUCUUAGAAAUCAAAUCAAAUCAAGUGAAAAAAUAUUUUUUAACCUAAAACUAUGUAGGUUUAAUUUUUUUAUUAUACCUAGGGAUAUGUAGGAGCAUGAUAAACUUUUGUCGUACACAAAAGUAAAAAAUAAUAUAUUUCGCUUUAGCAUUUGAAUUUUGAACAAAAUAUAUUAAGGGUAUGAAAAUUCAUGCAGUUAGUAAGAGUAACAUUUUAUUACAAGGAGACUAAGUACUAAUAUUUUCCUCAAUUCAUAAUCGAUUCUCCACCUCAAAACUCAAGUUCAAAUACCAUUUUUUUCAAUUUGAGCUUAACAUUGAGUUUUCUACAUUUUAACCUUAAAAAUCGUUGUGGCAACUCCAAAUCUUUUGGGAGAGGUAAAAAUUGAGUUCACCUCUUCAAAAGUCACAGAAUCAUUUUCCAAUCGAAAAUCGAGUCACGAUAAUAUUUAUUUCUGUGAGUGACACAUGCAAUUUGAGAUUAUGAGAUUGAAAGAAAAUACUACAUACUGGAAAAGAAGAAGCGAUAUUCUAAGGAAUAUCAUAGAUUAAACAAUAAAUUAUAAGUUGUGAGCAAUAUAUAGUUAUAUGAUAACAAAAAAAUGAAUGGAGGCAACACUACAAGAAAAUUCAGUAUAGGGGAGGGUUUACUGUUAUUGGUAGAGGUUUUCAAACUCUAUAGUAAUGUCUUUGGAGGUUUGAAGAACCAUCACAUUUAUGGUCGCCACAAAUGUUUAGCAGAGGUUUUUAGGGACCUUUAUUAUUGUGCAAGUUUGCAGCGGUUUUGUUGGGAAGGUUUUUAACCUACUCUGGAUGUAUUUUUUUUUUGUAGAGGUCAACUAUUUCAAUUAAUAAACAAUAUUGGUAGAAAUUGUCACUGUUCUACUAACCUCCCAUAAUUUUCACUAAUGAUGGAUCUAUUAUAUUAUUGUAUUGAGUAGAAGAUAUUAAUCUUAAUUUAAAUUCAUAACUUUAGGGCUAUUAAAAAUAAAAUUAUAAAUGCAAAUAGUAGACCAAAUUAAAAUUUUAUUGAAAAUAAUAAAGUUGAUAUAACAUAGAGAAUUGUUAUGUGGUCCAAAACCUACAUUCUUAUAAAUUCCAAUACAACUUAAUUAAAAUCCCAAAAUAAAAGUAAGAGUAAUUUGAUAUAAAAUCNNNNNNNNNNNNNNNNNNNNNNNNNNNNNNNNNNNNNNNNNNNNNNNNNNNNNNNNNNNNNNNNNNNNNNNNNNNNNNNNNNNNNNNNNNNNNNNNNNNNACAUGAAAAUUAUCCUAAAUAAAUACAAACCUCCCUUGUUCAUUUGACUAAUUAGUUGGCUCGCCUAAUUUUAUUUAUGUCGUGAGAUUUAGAAAACACCAUAAAUAAACCUCCACUAAUUACAAUAUUUCUUGUAGUGCAAGGUGAGAGUUAAGGUUAGUUAAAGAGAUAUAUAUAACAAAAGAGAGAAAAAUGUAUGAAGUGAUAGUGUAUGAGUUUUAUAUACUUCACUGUAUCAUUCACUAUCGAUAUUUAAUCAUUGUUGACUUUUCAAAAAACGUAAUCCAAAUGAACGAUGAAUGAUGUAAUAUCUGUGUAUAAAUCUUUACAUUGACAAUAUAUAGAUUUUACACUCAUAAUAAAAAUAUAAUAAAUAAUUAAAAGAGCCAUGGGUUGUUAAAUUUAUAUAUAUAUAUAUAUAUAUAUAAUAUAAUUUUAUACUAACAAUAUAUAUAAUAAUGAUAAAUAUCUGUCCAUAGAGCUAAAAGGAUAAGUAGAUAAAGAAUCAAAAGGAUAAAAAAUAAGGUAAUAUGAUUAACAUUUUUUAUGAUAAAGGUUAUGAUAAACAUAAUUACUUCAGUAAUAAAAUCAAAUGAACAUAAUGUUACAACUUGUGCCAAUUACAAAAAAAAUAAAAACUAAAACCCUUCAACCAAGAGAUGACAAGAUUUUAUACUAUUAAGUUAUAUAUUGCAAAAAUCAUUCCUUGAGGGUGUUCAGAAAAAAAUUAAAAAUAAACUAUAAGCAAAAAAAUAUGUUAGGUUGUAAACCUGUAACGAAACAUAGGAAAAGGAGAGAGAUAUUAAGUUGAAAGCCUUUCAAGGCAAUUUAGGAUCAUAAUAAUUUAUGGCAGGUACUUGCAUUAGUUAUUUUGCACAAAUACUUUGAGUAAAAUAACAAACUCCAUUCAGACUUACUACUCGCCACCCUAAAUUCACAAAUUGGAAAUGCUUUGUGGAGAAUCUUAGCUAAAGCCAUUGAAGGAAAGAUGAAAGUUUAGAAUACGCACAUUAGGAAUAAUGGGUUAUCGGCAUAAUUGAAAGUAGUUCAAACAGAAAAUUAAGAUUUUUUGUCUCAUCAAAAGAAAUUCCCAACCAACCCACAUUGGGGCAAUAUAUAAUAGUUCAUAAUUUGAAAAUAAGCAAACUAAAUAAAAUAAAUUAUACAACAAUUUGAUUGGUUAGCAUAAUUAAAAUGAAAUAAUAAUUGAAAUCAAAAUAAAUUAAUGGUGGCAAAUAAUUGGUAAAUCCAUGAUCACUAUCCAUUUUUUGUUUUGCUAAAUAAAAAAAGAAGAAGACAUUUAAGAUAUGUUUAGUGGGCAAUUAAUGGUACAUUAAUAAGGAGAAUCACUAUUUUUUUAACACGUGUCAUUUUCCAAUAUAAAGAGUUUGGAAAACCACAUACAAAAGACAUUAAGAAAAAGCAAAAGAGAAAUAAGAGACACAAAUCUCCCUAAAUUUGUGCUUGUUUAUCCCUAUUUGUGUCACUGAGCCACAACUGAAAAUGCAAUAGAUUGUAGCCACACAAAGACACAUUCCACUAUAGGACUCCCUAGUUACCAUGACCCCCUACCCCAAGACGUAGACUUCUCAUAGGAGAUAUCCACCCCCUGUAAAGAACAAAGAACAUCAACACAAUCGCGAAGUCAUGUUGUUAGAUAUCGUUCUGAUCUCUAUAGCAUACAUAGCCUACUUGACAUAUACAUAAUAUUUAAGGGUUUUGGAGUAGGGGCACCUCUAGAUCAACUCAGAAGAGAUAUCUUCGAGAGGGAAUGUAGGUCACAACCAUAAAUUACAUUUGCCCUACUCAUUCAAGCAGCCAUGCCACACCCAUUUCCUCUAACGAUGGAUAUUAUAAUAAUGUAUUUCGAUAGCACAAUGAUCCUAAUAGCAAGAGCUGAUCAAUUGCUUGCCAGCAAAAAAAGACCUCUUCACAUGAGUGGCGGCUAACAUGCUACUACUAAUUAGCCCAAAAUUUAUGUGUAUUUGUCAUACAGCUUCCCUAUGUGCAAAGCUAGUCUCAUAAAAGAAGCAUAAAAUGGGUGUCGAAAGAACAGAGGUUGUGAAACAAAAAGUACUGGAGAUUCAAGAAUUUGGCUUCAUUAGAGAAAUAGCAUACACCACAUGGUUGGCAAAUGUGAUGUUGGUCAAAAAUCUCUAUGGGAAAUGGAGGAUAUUAUUAAAAGGUAAAAAUAUCUAUGGGAAAUGGAGGAUAUUUUUAUUGGCAAAAGGUAAAAAUAUUAUUAAAAGAGAAAAUAGUUCAGAAGUUUGGAAAGAAAAAGAGAAGAGGGAGGCUAGAAGCCAUUUUAAAUUGAUGCUAAGACAAUCUAGUGAAGAAACCUAAUCAGAAUAAUUGAAUGAAUCUUUUCUAAGCUUGCCAUUGAUCUAAAGCCAAGAUUCAAUCCUUGUAGAAUUAAGAAUUUGUUGUAAGGAAGGUUAAAUAGAGUUGAAAAUGAAGUCAUUCCUAGAGAAUCAAAUGGACCAAAUAGUAGCAAAAUAGAUAACACUCCAAAGUUUAGACUGUUACUUAUGAGAGAGCAUGCCCAUAUGAUUGUUGAAAUGUUGAACAGGAUGAAGUGGGAAUGUGGAGCUAAUGUUCAACCAAUUAUAGAGGUGCUUCAAAAUGGACCAAUUAUUCUAGAUGUAUAACAACGCUUUCAUGCCCUUUCUGUUUGACCGCAGUAAUAUAUGUUAUCAUUAACAGUGCUCCACAGACGCUCUUGCAUUGAUUAUAUACCAUAGAGAAACACACAAAAAACCUAUCAUAUAGUAUAUCAAUACAACAGCGCAUAGUCCACAAGCGCAGUCAUAUAGGUCUUACAUAAACAGCGUAUUUUAUAGGUCUUAUUAACCGCGCUUAUUGUUGUGUUGUUGAAGUUCAUAUAUUUAACAACGCAAUAAAAAAAGUNNNNNNNNNNNNNNNNNNNNNNNNNNNNNNNNNNNNNNNNNNNNNNNNNNNNNNNNNNNNNNNNNNNNNNNNNNNNNNNNNNNNNNNNNNNNNNNNNNNNUUGUUGUAUUAUUCAUAAAUUUUCUCAAACAACACCUAAUACAACAACGCAUCACACACAUAACGCUGUUGUAUUAAUAAUGUACAACAUCGCUUUCUAUAAAAAGCGUUGUUAUAGUUAUCCUUUACAACAACGCAUGUCAAGGCUUCCCCUAGAAUUCGCUGUUGAUUUGUAUAAAUUAAUACAUGCAUAUACAUUUGUAUAAAAUGAGUGAAUGAUUUUUAGUGUUGAAUGAGUGAAUGAUUUUGAGGUUGAAUGAUUUUCAAAGUCGAUUUUGNNNNNNNNNNNNNNNNNNNNNNNNNNNNNNNNNNNNNNNNNNNNNNNNNNNNNNNNNNNNNNNNNNNNNNNNNNNNNNNNNNNNNNNNNNNNNNNNNNNNUGGCUGACUUCGUCAUCUAUAUAUGAUUUGCCAUCCAUCUUGAUUGUAUUAGUUGGCCAUUGAUGAAUGAUCUCUUUCAUGAAUUUCAGCACGUAAUAGCCGCAAUCUACCUGGUUUGUUUGGCAAGGGGUCUACAAUUAAAAUGAAGUAAACAUAUAAGUAUAACUUUAGUUGGCCAUUACACAUAUAACUGUUUGAGAUGAUUUGUGACAAUACCUUUAUACGAGUCCACCUGAUUUUAAGAUUUGGUAUCUUGUUUGUAGCAUGAUUACAACUUCUGUAAACUCUCACCCUNNNNNNNNNNNNNNNNNNNNNNNNNNNNNNNNNNNNNNNNNNNNNNNNNNNNNNNNNNNNNNNNNNNNNNNNNNNNNNNNNNNNNNNNNNNNNNNNNNNNGGUAUAUACAAGUAUGGUACUACUUGGCAAUGCCAAGAGGACUACACUACUUUUGAUCUGGGUUUGUCCGACGAUGAUAAUCAGGGUGGCAUGUGAUGCGAACCUCCAGGGGAUGGUUUGCUUUCUUUGUCGAUCGUUCUUGCCUGAAACUUAAUUGGACUCGCGGAAUAGAAUUGUCAUCAAUGUCAACGUUUUUGUGUAUGAAAAUGGGAUGAAAUGUAUAUGGAAUAAGUGUAUUGUAUAUAGGCACGAUUUUGUAUAUAUAUUUUUGUAUNNNNNNNNNNNNNNNNNNNNNNNNNNNNNNNNNNNNNNNNNNNNNNNNNNNNNNNNNNNNNNNNNNNNNNNNNNNNNNNNNNNNNNNNNNNNNNNNNNNNCAACUACCUUAUUGAUUCAAAUAAAAAACGUGUGGAGCACUUUGAUGAGGAUUAAUGCUUAUGAAAUUCUUUCCAUAUGGGGCUAUUCUUGGUUGGCUACUUUCCUUUUGUUUCUUCCUCAAAGAAAACGUGUACCAAGCCUUCUUAAUAGGAGAAUUCGGUUGCUUGGGUGUUGUAGUUGCCUUGGCCGAAUUCCCACAUGUGUAAAUCUCAAUUUGGUAAGUUUUUAUAGCUUGCCAUUAUCUUCAUGAUUUGGAGAAGAUUUGAAUUCUGAUUGCNNNNNNNNNNNNNNNNNNNNNNNNNNNNNNNNNNNNNNNNNNNNNNNNNNNNNNNNNNNNNNNNNNNNNNNNNNNNNNNNNNNNNNNNNNNNNNNNNNNNAAUAAUUAAAAUAAAUCCUAAGACUACCCAUGAGAAUAAAAUCUCAAUUUAUUGAAAAUAAUAACUAAAACUAUUAUAAUUUCCUUCCAAGAAUGUGGUCUCCAAGUGGCUUUCUUACUUGUAAGAUUGUCCUCCAUAAUCAUAGGUUUCCCCCCUUGGUUUAUAUCAUACCCUCCUUCUGAAAAGGAAUUUGUCCUCAAAUUUGAGGUACCAUCACCUCCUUGAUCAAAGACAAACCUCUUCAUUUGUGCACGAAAUUUCUUAGACACGUUCAUUUUUGUGCACCUACUUAAUAAAUAAAUUAGUUAGCCCAAUGAAAAGAAUCAUCUUCAUCUCUUGGGUCAAAAACCAACCUCGUCAAUUGUCUAGGACACCUCCUAACAUAUUCAUCGUGGGUUUUACCCCUAAUGAAUAAUUCAGCAACAACAUGACAAGCUUUAAUGACUUCCUUGAUUGGUAAAGAAUGAUUUUUAGAAAAUCCAUUUUUCAUCAUAAAAGUGGAAUCUUCAUCAUGAAAUUUUGUCUUUAACACCUCAAUAUCACCCACAGAAAUAUCUCCAUUAGAAUCAAUGUAAAAUCCAAUCUCUCUUAAAAGUGAAGGAUCAGGUGGUUCCUCCUUGAAAAAAAUUCACUAAUUUCCUGAAAAAAUUGCUUAACAAAGAUGGAUAAUGAACUUCCAUUAGAGAGGUUGGUAAAUAAAAAUUUCCUACAAUGAGGUAGGUUCAAGACUUGUUUUGAAAACAAAACAUUAUCAAGCGUACUUUUUUUUGUAAAAUAAAUUUCUUUGCUUUCUCCAUCACCCUCAUGAAAUUUUCUCUCAUCCUCAAUAAUAAUUUUGUUUGAAUUUGUUUCCCCAAUCUUUCCAUCACUCUCAUUUUCACACUUUUUUUCCAAUCUUAUUUUUUCUUCGUUUUCUAGCUCACUUUUAUUCUCACACUCUUGUUUUUCGUACAUCCUUUCCUUUCUCUCUUCCUCCAACUUUUCUCUCAACCUUUGUUGAUCUUCAUUUACUUGCUUAGGAGAUAACGGAGACAACACCACCUUUCGGUUUUUGUGUAAAAAUGUGAACUUGUUUGAAAAACAAUCAUGCAUGGCUCUUUUAUCAAAUUGCCAUGGACGACCUAAAAUUAUAUGGCUAGCCUCCAUAUGAGCCACAUCACAAAGAACCACAUCUUCAUACUUCCCUGUAGAAAAGGAAACUUCAACUUGUUCAUUAACAAUUAUUUCCCCAACCUCGCUUAACCAUUGAAGCCGGUAAGGAGUGGGAUGUGGUCUAGUCACGAGAUUUAGCAUUGAGACUAAUCUUGGACUAACCAUGUUGGCACAGCUACCACUAUUAAUUAUAAACAAGCAUACCCUACCUUGGACCAAACAUCUAGAAUGAAAGAUGUUUUCCUUUUGGUUGACCUCAUCUUCCAUAACUUGAUUUUCCGAAAGUUUCCUCACCAAGAAAGAUUUACAAUGUGACAUGACUCAGACCUUUCAAGCAAGAAGUGGCUCUGAUACCACUUGAUGCGAACCUCCAGGGGGUGGUUUGCUUUCGUUGUCGAUCGUUCUUGCCUGAAACUUAAUUGGACUCGCAGAAUAGAAUUUUCAUCAAUGUCAACAUUUUUGAGUAUGAAAAUGGGAUGAAAUGUAUACAGAAUAAGUGUAUUGUAUAUAGGCACGAAAUUUGUCCUUUACCUUUUUUUUUAAAAAAAGAAAUCGUGGAUAGCCACAAUUUCCAUUUGUAUUACAUAAUUGUGGACAACAACCACCAUUUCCAUUUUUGCUUUUUUUAAUUUGUAAUUUUGUUGCUAUAUAUAAAAAUUUCCCUAAUACAAAUAUUUUAAAAAUGAAAUAUUUAUUCAAAUAACACUUAUAAUACACUAUCAUAAUUUAUUAUAAUAUAUUAUAUAAUCCCCAACUAAUACUAUUGACGUUUAUAUGAUGAAAGUGAUUUUCUCUUCCAUGGUGAUAGAACUCUUAUUUAUUAUUCACGUCGUUGUGGGAUUUCUCUUGUUCUUAUUCUACCACUUCUUGUAAAUUAUGGUUCCUCCUCCUCUUUCUCAUAUGCUCAUGACUAAAUUAGUAACAAAUUAAUCAAUCUUUUUUGUUGUUAUUUGUUGAUGAGCCAAAAUAAUUGAUUCUCAACUAUAUUGAAAUGUCUCAUAAAUCUUUGUAUCAUUCUCGUAAUAAAUGCUCUAGAGUAUGUUCUAUGGCCACCUAAGUUGAAUCCUUUACACAAAUCUUCUUAUGUUAGUUAGAAUAUGAUCCAAAAAAUUGACACAAUCCUUCUCCCACACCAUACUAGUCACUCUAGUUACAACUUGUCCAUCUAUAGGUAUUCCAAGUUGAACAUCAACAUCUUCAAGAAUGAUGGUACACUCUCUAUUAGAGAAAUGGAAAGUGUUUGUCUCUCGCCACUAUAUCCCAACCAUUUCAAUUAUAAGACAAUUGUUGAUAUCUACUAUUGCAAUGUCAAUGUCCAAGACAUUGGAGAAAGCAAUGUUGUGAAUAAAUUACAACGAUAGUUUAUAUUUCAUAUGAUAAUUUUUUCUAAAAGUUAUAUAGAAUCGAAAUGUAACUUCCUCAUUUCGUUUAUUCUUUGAUAUAUGUUUAGGUUGAAGUCUGAGUAAAAAUGUCUCAAUGGGCUUAAACAAAUGUGUUACAUGUUAUAAAAAUUAAAAAACUUAAGUCAAAAUAGUAUAAUUACCUUAUGUAUAACGAAAAACAAAUUAGUGAGUAUUGAAGGAAGAAAGAGCAAAUAGAUAUAAUUAUUCACGGUUUGAAUGAACUGUGUUUAGAUAAAAUACUUCCUUUGCGAAGGAGUAUAAAUCGAGAGGAAGGGAGGGUUGUCGAUAUCAUCAAUGUAAACUGAAAUUGCGGUAGAGAUAUAAUUAAGGUAAUACUAAAAUCAUGACUAUUAAUCACGAUUUAGUAGGUACUAAAAUAGUGGUUGAGAUCCACGAUUUAAUUAUGAAAUUUUAAAACAAAUAAAGAAAUUAAAAAAGGAAUCAUGGCUUCAAUCUAUACUUAUCUGAAGAAAAUUAACAGAAAAAAGUCUAAGGCAAGACUUUUACUGAAAUGGUUGCUUACAAGCAAUCGAGGAAAAAGCUGAAAAAGUUGCACUAAACACGUAAUAAUUUUUUUGAUUGUACCUUUCCACCAAAUUUUGCAAUAACAAAAUUUCUCUAAAAAAGUAAUGAAGGUAAUAUUACGUGUAUUGUGCUAUUUAUUACAACCAUAGGUGUAGGAAAUGUAUAGUUAUUUGAAAAUAUUAAUUGAACAAGAGUAGAUAUGAAGCCUUAUACUCAACUAAUAAAAAUAGCAUUCGGGCAUCAAGAUACUAGUCUUACAUUCUUCUAUUACUUAAACAAAUAUAUUCAGUAUAAAUCAAUUUAUUUUGGAGGAGAGUGUAUCUCUUGUUCUUUCUUCUUAUUCAAUAGUCUUGGACAUCUCCAAUGGAAUAACGUGAAUUACCAUUUCUUCAUUGCCAUAGGGAGAAAUUCAAACAGUCAAUUUUUUUUCUUAUUGAUAUUUAUUGAUCAUUGUCUAACUUCAUCAUCCGUGUCGGUUCUGGUGUAUUUUGUUUAUCCUAAAUUUAAAGUUUUUUGAAUUCAUUUCUUGUUCUUCACUUGAGUUCCUUUUUUAUUAGAUCCUUUUGUAAUUGACAUUUCUUACACACUUACCAUAUGGUGUAUUUUGACACUUUUUAUAAUGGCGUGCAUUAGAGAAUUGAAUAAUUUUUAUUUAUGUAUUUAUAUAAUAUCUUUUCCUACCAUAUUUUCCAAUAUGACUUCUGUUGCGUGAAUAAAAACAAACAUAAUUGAAAAUACAUAGAAUACGACUUAAUUGAAUCAAUCCUUAUUUAGAAAUGCUUAAAAUAAUUAAAGGGCUAACCUAUAUAAAAACAUGAGUAAAUUACACUGACACCCCAUGAGUUUCAGUGAAAUUAUAAAAAACCUCAUUUAUUUCUUAAACUUGCAUAAAUUACCCAUAAUUAUACACAUACAUUACAUUGAUUACUCAUACAGGACAAAUAAGAGUAAUUUCUUAGACAAAAAAUGGUGAAUAGUUUUUUUAAGGUAAGGUGCAACUACACCCAAAUAUAUUUAAAAGAUAAAACAAUUACAAAGAGAGCCAAGAGUUUACACAUUUUUUAAUCAACAGUUAGGUAGCCAUAGUCUAUUUCUAUUAAAUUCAACAAGAAUGAAAUUAGGGAUAAUAUUCCACCAACCAUAAGCUUGGGAAGAGAUACCAAAGGAGACUAACUUAUCUGCAUAAGUGUUCUCUUCCCUAUAUAAAUGAGACACUCUAAGGACUAUGCCACUUGUUGAGCAACUUCCAAGGAGCAGUGAGAUUACCAUUAAAGAUGUCUACGACUAUUGCUCAAUCUCAUUCCAACCAAAUAUAUGCUUCCAACCUUUUGCAUGAGCAAUUCCUAUAGCCAAAAUAGUAGACCUAAGUUUUGCAUACAGGGAUUCUUGGUUAUUGAAAUAGGAUACAACACAACCCAUAAAAGCUCCCCAACUAUCCCUAAAAAUGGCUCCCCCACUUGCGUGACUAGGAGUUCCAUGAGCAACACUAUCUGAGUUGAUCUUGAUCCACCCCAAUAGAGGAGGAUGCCACAGAACCUAAGUUACAAAAGGGGCAGCGUUAUAAUGAAUUGUAACAUUUAAGUUCCUGAGAGUGGUGAAAUCCCACUGAGAAGAGCUGGCACAAAGUUUGGAUGAGUUUCCCGACAUAGAUGUGGACAACUUGAUUCUAGAUUUAGCUUGGGCCAAGCUUGUCCAAAUAUCAUGAACACCCUUAAGUUGAGGACUCCACUUGUGAAUAUAGAUAGACAUCAUUGUUGCUCUAGAAGAAUUGUCUAGAUGAAUACCAAAAAUGCUACUAAUCCACUACCAAAGAUGAGCAUCAGAAGGACAUCCCAAGAACAAGUGAUUAGAAGUUUUAUUGUUGGACAUGCAUAGACUGCACAUAGUCACCAGGGUGCACCCCCUCUUUUGGAGAUUCUCAACUGUGGGCAUCUUCCAAUGAUAUAACCUCCAGGUAGUGAAGGAUUUCGAAGGACGGAUUGACUCAGACCAUAUUUUUUUACACCAACUCAUUUGAGUCUCUGGUUGCUUGAUGCAAGAAUAGACAACCUUUAGGGGAAUGGAACCAUCAGUAGUACCCUGCCAAACUAGAUGAUCCUACCUAGAGGAGAUGAAAGUCUCAGCUAUAUCCUUUGAUAUUUGAGGGAACAAAUCCACAAGAAGCUUAGGAAUUAUCCACUUAGAUUGGUGAGUGAAAUCAGUCACACUAGCUAAAAGAGAAGAGUGCAGAUCAACAGGGAUAUUAAGUGAAUCCACUAAAGGAGUACCAAGCCAAUUGUCCCUUCAAAAGUUAAUUUUCCUAUCAUCCCCAACCAACCAAAUUGAGUUAGAAAUUGUAGUUUGCCAUUUGCUUCUAAUGCUAUGCCAAAUAGAGGAAAUCAUUUCCCAAGCAAGAUUUAUCAAAAACACAUGAUUCAUGACUUUGAUGGUUCUCAAUCCUACACCUCCAGCUUUAGUUGGAGAGCAAACUGUGUGUCAGGCCACUAUUACAAUUUUCCUAAUAGUGGUUCACCAAACUACAUGAAGUUCCUUAUGCAUUUGUCUAAGAGCUUGAGAAAAUUGGAGGGUCAAGAGUAAAUAUGAAAGCUAUAAGCAAGCAUACUUUGGAUGAUAGACUUAACCAAUUCCGUUCUUCCCAUGAAAGAUAGCAGAGAGCCUUUCCAACUAGCUAGCUUGAGAAUGAUUCGGUCAACAAUUGCUUGAAGAUGCAUCUUCCUAAGUUUCCAUUUAAAUAGAAGAACACCCAAGUAAUUGAAGGGCAAUCUUCAAUAGAGAAGCCCAGAGUGGAGGUCAAGUUAGAUAUUUUCCUUCCUGAGGCACUCCCAAUGUAGAACUUACAUUUGCUAAAGCUGACAUGCUUAAACAAAAUAUGGUAUAUUGUGAAGACAAGUCCAAAUAGUAUAAAAAUCAAUGUCUAUUCAUUAUUUUCGUUAAUUAUAUUAUAAUGUAAGAGUGAUUUAAACAUCUCACUAGAAUUAUUGAUGUAGUUUAUAAUGAACGAAAAAUAAUAAAUACACAUUGACUAUUAUACUAUUUGGACUUGUCUUUACAAUAUAUCAUAUUUUGUUUAACUUAAUUAUACUCGUCACCAUUUUUUAUAUAAAAAUUACUCUUAUCUCUCCUAUAGAGGUAGUUAGUGUAAUAUAUGUAUAGAAUUAUGAGUGAUUUGUAUAAGUUUAAAAAGGAUGACUAGUUUAUAUAAGACUGAGAUUGCAAUUAAGAGGGGGUGAAUGAGUUGACUUAAAAUUAUGACCAUUUUUUCUGCAAAAUCAAGAGUUAAAGUGUGCGGAAAAUAUAUGCAGAAAUUAAACAAAUAAAUAAUCAAAGAGAUAAGGGAGAAGAGAAUACAUAAGGAUUUUUAUACUGAUUCACCUUCUUGUCCAUCGAAGGCUACGUCUAGUACUCUUGCAGCACAAGAGAUUUCAUCACUAAAGAUUAUGAGUUGCAAUUACAAUAUCUCACCUCAAGAUCUCUAUUUACCUUACACACUCCCUAAUCCUUAUUCACUCUUGUAAAAACACAUUUCCAAGUGAUUCUAAUCCCCUUUCUUAUGACACCCUUGUGAAAGAAAGUAUUAUGCAAUAGAAAUGAAGAAUGUACAAUAAUGGCAGAUUGCCUUUACAAGUUUGAAAGAAUAAUAACUUGCAAUUCAGUCAACUCUUUGUAUACUUAGUAAUAAUGUUCUUUAUAAGUUGGUAAACAUUGAAACACUGUACUUUAAGCAACUUCAAAAAAAUCAACUUUGAAAGCUUAAGAACUAGUUGCCAAAAGUGUAGAAAAAUAAUUUCAGAAUGUGUGUAAGAACUUUUAAAAUUUGUAUGAGAGUUGUGUGUUUGUAUUGUGAGAUUCAAUGCCUUUAAAUAGACUUUCCAAUCACCCAUAGUGCCUCUACGAAAAGGUAGGAAUAGAUUGGAGUGAAGACAUUUCAUUCGAGAUGAAAACCUUUCAUUUUGAAAUCUGAAAUAUGAUGCAACAACUCACAGUAAUCGAUUAAAAUCAGUGGGUAAUUGAUUACCCAAACAUUUUGUCCACUGGACAUUUAAAUUCGAUUUAGAGUAAUCGAUUACAGCAAGUGGGUAAUCAGUUACUCAACUUCAUUAAAACUAGUAAUAUGUUACUCAAAGACAGUAAUGGAGUACUCUGAUCAGUUUUAAGUUGGAUAACUCUUUUCUCACACACGUAACAUGUUACUUAGAUGCAUUAACUCGUUACACACUAUUUUUUAUUUAAAAUUGAGUAUAUUGAAGUGUUUCAAUUUUCUUUUAAAAAUAGUUUGAGCAUUACUACUAUUGUAUAUUCAAGAGUAUAGGAUAAAAGUACCUAUUUAGACUUAGACUAAUUUGUCUUGAAGUUUUGUCUUCUUUGCCUUCAUAAGUAUUCUUCCUUUUCUUCUUUUUGGUGAUGUUGAUGUCUUUAUCAAAACCGUGCCAAGGUCAGGAGCAAAGAUCUUCUUCACAGUUUACGUAAUUUCACUAAAACUCAGAGGAUGUGGUAUAAUUUACUCUAAAAACAUAGGCUAUUUGUCCUAAAAACACUCCGCCACUUUCUGUCUCCAUCCAAUAAAAUUAUACAAAGUGGUAUAAUUCUACUUUUAUAAUUUUCUAUUUAAUUGAAUGACACAUUUUAAUUGGGUUGUGACAUCAAUGAGGACACAAAUAGGGAUAUGAGAUCUCCAUUCUUUGGAUAACGUAGUUGAUGAGAAGUCGAAUAUAAAUGCACAUUCGAUUUCUGAAAGAUUGAACUGGUUUGCCAAUGGUCCAAGUAUUCAUGUCUUAUCCUACACUGGUUACCUAAUUAAUGGGUUCACAUUUUAUAAGAAAAUACAAGAUGAUCAAAGUAAAAGGCAAAAUACUGGUGUGACUGUUGUUGCUUGAACUUUACACAUGUCAAGUGCAAAAGAUAAAAACCUAAUAUAUGUGAACAUGUCAUACUUUGGGGUGAUUGAAUGAAUAUUGAAAUUGGAUUACACAAUGUUUCGGAUGCAGAUUUUCUAUUGUAUGUGGGUUGAUAACAACAAUGACUUCCGAGUUGAUGAGUUAGGGUUCAUGUAGGUGGAUCUUAAUAGGCCAUGAUAUAAAGAUAAAUCAUUUAUUCUAACAUCACAGACUUAACAAGUAUUCUAUGUUAGUGACUCAGCUGAUAUGAAAUGGUCAAUUGUUCUUUUAACUAACAAAAUAAUCGUCAAUAAUAUUGAUCGCCAAAAAUAUGAAGAUAUUGAUGAAGAUGAUCCUUUUUUGGGACAUAUCAGUCGCAUGAGAGGAGACCAACUAUGAUUUAUAUACAAGAGAUGAUCACGAUGAAGGGCUUUGGGUGAAUCAAUAUGUUCCUCUAAACAACAAUGAUCUUAUAAGCCAAAAACAAUCAAAGAAAAGGAAAAAGUAGAUGCAACUAGUUUUUGUAUAAUCGUAACUUAAUUUUGAUUGUUUGUAAUUUGCAUAAUUUUGUUUAUUUAUAAUUUGCAUAAUUUUUUUAUUUGUAAUUAUAUACUCUGCCAAAACAUCAUUGACAUAAUAUUCAUUAUUUAUAGUUUGUAUUAUAUUCAUGUUAAUAAAACAAACUUCUGGAAUGUAUUAACGUGUCCGUGCUGUCGAGAAAGUAUAAAUGUCUGUCCUUUUGAGAAUGUCAGUGCUGCUAAUAAAUAUAUAUACACGUAUUAAUGUGUACAAAUCAACAACGAAUUCUAGGGGAAACCCUAGCAAGCGUUGUUGUAAAAGAUUAAUACAACAUCACUUUUUAUAGACUACACUAUUGUAUAUGCUUAACACAACAUCACUUUUUUAUAGACUGCACUAUUGUAUAUGCUUAACACAAGAUCACUCUUUCUGUGCUACGCUGUUAUAUUAAGGUGUUGUUUGAGAAUAUUUAUGAAUAUUACAACAACGAUUUUUUAAGUAUGCGUUGUUAUAUAUAUGCUAUACAACAGUGCAAGAUUAAGCAUUGUUAAUAAUGUCUAUAUAAUGCAUUGUUUAUAUAUUAAAUAUAUGACAAGGCUUUGUGUAUGAUGCGCUCUUGUAUGUAUGAAAUAUAUGACAUCGUUUUGUUGUGUAAUGCGCUGUUGUCUAGAUUCAACACAACAGCGUAAUAUAAGAGCUGUUAAUCACGAUAAUAUACUAUUGCGAUCAUAUAAAAAGUACACAAAAACGCUAUUAUACAUCUAAAUUACGUGUUGUUGAACUGUCUAGUGUAGUGAAUGUUGAGUGGAUCUAGACGCCAACAACGUAUCAAUUAUCAAAUUGGAACCAGAGUACAAAAUCUCAUGUAUAUCAGAGUACUAAAAUGCAUAACUUAAGAGAGAGCAAAGCCAUAUUUGCAAAAGCAAAGAUUUUUAAUUAACAUGAUUAUAUCAACUCAACAUUAACAAAGCACACACAUACUCUAAGUGCUUACAUUGCAGUUGGUACAUGAUCAACAGUUUGUCACUAGUGAUAUUUAUUAUUACAAGGCAUAAAGAUAAAGAUAGCUUACAACUUUCUAGUAUAAGCUAUCAUACUCAGCAAUACAUUCAUCAUAAGGGUUAACCUCAUACCCAGCAAUUUAAUUUGCAGACCCACUAUUGCGAUGUGGCCACAAUAUUGCGGUUGUGGUAACUACCGCAACCGCAUCACACCCUAAUUCUAGUGUGAUUCUGAAUCACAAUGAUGUGGUUGCAUUAGGUCACAAUGUAACCGUAUUAGGCCGCAAUGCAACUGUAUCGAACCGCAUUUGGGCCGCAUCAGGCCACAUUAAAUUCAAAAAUAGUUUUUUAUUCACAAAAUAAUUCACACAACAAAGGCCGCAAUCCGUAUCACAACGGUCGUAAUCCGCAUUAUAAUGACCGUAAUGAAUGCAAUGACAGUAACCGCACGCAAUUUAUAAAACUGCUCACACUUGCCAAGGGGUCCAAAUCCACAUGUCCUAGGCAAUUUCUGAAGCUCUUGCUCAAACUGUUGCUCCUGUUGCCUUCUUUCCAAUUGCUCACUUUGGUUCUCGAAUAUUUGCUGCAAUUUACGGUACUGACAUCUCUGGUUGUUCAGUUCAUUCAGUUGGUCACAGCAUUGUUCCAAUUCUUCUGAUUCCUCGCUAUUCCUGCUACGUCGAAUAACAUGCUUGAUUCCUCGUAAGGUCCUAGAACGAUCUUCUUCCUCCUCUUGCUGCUGUUAAAUCCUCUGAAUCAGGUUCAGCUGCUGGAGUUACCUGACGUAGCUUUGUUCAGAUCGGAAGGCGCUGGUGUGGACCACUAAAACAAGAGCAGCAAAGAGAGCAAUGAGAAUUGUGAGCCUAGCCAUUUCAGUAAGAAUGCAAUGACUACUAUGUUUUAACUUUGUUGAUGAUGGGUUAAGCAUGGAGAGUGGAUAAGCAUUAUGUAGAGGAUAUGGGAUAUUGCAUGUCAAUUACGUGGAAGGGAAGUGGUGUCGGUGGAAUUUUGUGUUUUGAUGGGGUGGGUGGAUGUGUUUGCUUUUUUAUUUGCUUCAGUGCUUACACCUCAUAGUUUCAUGCAGAUAUUGACACAAGAGGCCAUCGUGAUUUCUUUGGGUCCCCGGCAACUGCGUGAUGGAAGGUUCUUGUUUGUUGUCCUGCGUGAAGAAUUAGGUUAAUGAUUCUAUUAUUUGUGACAUUUUUUUUAUUCACCAAAAGUUAAUUUAGAUGAAGUACAAGUAGUAAAAAAGUUACAAGUGCAUGUAAUCUACAAUACUAAAGUCUAGCAGUAAAAAUAAGUUAAGCUUUCCGAGGGUCUUUCUUCCCAGAUAUUAUAAGUGAAGAAGAUUUUUGUUAUGAUUUUGACACGGUUUUUAUGAAGAUAUUAAGAUCAAAAAAGAAGAAAAUGGAAGAAAAUUUUGAAGACAAUGAAGAUCAAGCUUCAACGCAAAACAGUUUAUAAAUCUUCAAUAUGUAUUGUUAUCCUUAUACUUUAUGUAUAGUUUAGUAGCAAUGCUCAAGAAAUGAGAAAACAAUUUUGAAAAUAAAUUGGAAAACUUUUAGUCAAUUUUAAACAAUUUUCAAAAUGUUAAGUAAUGAAUUACUUAACCUGAGUGAUAAGUUACUAGACUUAGGUAACAGAUUACUUGGACAGUGUAAUAGUGAGUAACAUCUAAGAUUGCAUAACACGUUACCUGACUGAAAUGGGUUACACAUCAAAAAUCAACUCAAUGGAACCGGUUACUAUAAGCAAUAAUCGAUUACUCAAUUGAACAUAAUGUUUGGGUAAUCGAUUACAGUUUCAAUCACUAUGCCAAAUAUCGCAAUUAACGACGGUCAUUUAACCUCACUUGCUAGAACAAUGCUGUUAAAAACGAGGCAGAAUAUAAUCAACAAGCUCAUUAAAUGACCGUUGUUGAUAGGAUGUGACAUUUAAGCAUCAAAAGUGCUUACAGGAGCAUUGUUGAAGAUAUAUUCUUGAGUGAGCGCUAUUGAAAAUGUCAUAUCAACAAUGCUCUCUUGAGUGAGCGCUAUUGAAUAUGACAUAUCAACAAUGUUUUCUUAAAUGUGCACUGUUGAUUAGAUACGACGUUUAAGUAUCAUAAAAAUUAAUUGUGGAGUACUUGACCUAAACGACAUUAUCUCAUUUAUGUGUCUCUUCGUUCGCCGAAGUUCUUUUGCUAUCAUUACACAAAUACAUGUUUAUGCAUAUUCUUUGUUUGGUUGCUUCGUGAUGUGGAUUGCACAUCUGCCAAGGACGAUGGUAGUCGUUCUCUUUCCAUUUUCAUCUAUAUAUGUUGUGGUUCUGCCAAGUCGUGUAAGACAUUUGUUAUUUUCUUCUCAACCAAGUACGGUAAUAGGUUCAACUGUUUCUUUGUAUCUGUUAUAUUCAGUGAUUUGUAUUUGUAUUUGUAUUUGUGUUUGUCUAAUAUGUCUUCAUUGUCUCCUUUUAUAAUUAGUCAUAGCACGCAGAGUGAAUUUCAUCAAAGAUAUAAAUGCCUCUAGGGAUACCUAAAAGCUGAAAAUAAGAAUUGCAAGUCUUUGACGGAUUGGAAUAUAUGCAGCUCCUUCACUUGUAAUGAUUUUGAUUGAUCGAAAGGUACUUUAAUUUUUAGGGUUCCUUUUUUAAUUCCUUAUUUAUUCCUUUUUUGGAUCAUAAUAUGUUUAUGUACCAGGAGGAUAAAAUUGAGGUUGUUGUAAAGGAUUUUCAUAUUUCACAAUGGGACUCUCAACUUAAAGAGAGUUUUAGUUAUAUUGUUGAAAACUUUGAUGUUGUUCUCAAUGAUGGACAAUAUCGAUGUUGUAACCAUCCUUACAAACUAAUAUUUGAAGAAGGAACAAUAUUGAUACAUAGAGAGCUUUGUAACAUUCCAAAUUACAUUUAUCAUUUUACUAAAUUUGAAGAUAUCUUGAUGGAAAUUGUGCUUACAGACUUUCUCAUAGGUAAUUUUACUACAUUUGAAGAUACAUUCAUUCAAUUUAUAACCAGAUAUCUGCAUGUAAUUAAUUUAUUUGUCUUACUAGAAAUCAUUGGCGAGUUUGUUGACAUUGAGAUGACUCAAAUAGAUUCUACCCGUAAGAAGGUGGUUUUCACCAUUAGGGACUUUGAGGUUAGCUUUUGCACAACCAAAUUUUUCCAUUCAAAAUUUGUAGUCUGCUUUGAUUUUUCUUAAACUCUUGUAGGGGUAACAACCUAAAGUGCACUCUUGGGGGACAAUUUGCAACACAUUUAUGACAUACAUAGAAAAUCACAAAGUUUAUCAUAUUGUGUGGUUUUGACCCUUGCAAAGAUGAGGGAAGUGGAAGGUAUGUGUCUAAAUAUUUUUUUAUUCAAAUUUUUUAAUGAAAAAGUUUGUUUGAAACAAAUUAUUAAUCUGACUUGCAAAUUGUAGUGGGAGGUUAUCAUGUGUCCAUACAAAGUAUAUUGUGUGGUUCUAAAAUUUAUAUCAAUGACUCCAAUAUACCAGAUAUUGAAAUAUUUUUGUGGAGGUGAUUCAUUUUUUUUGUUUCAUUAUUCAUUCAUUUUUCAUUUCUCGAAUUAAGAGUAACAAGUCGUUUUUCAUUUAUAGCUUGGACACCACCAAAAGUUAUGAAUCUUACAGUGAAUGUGUUAGUUCGUCUUCUUCAUGUUCUCAGGUAAAAUAUCUAUUCAUACUUUUUACUCUUCAUGUUUUCUGCAUAUAUUUAAAGAAGAUUAUGUUAAUUUCUACGUUUUUUUGUUGGGCAUUAAACCAAUUGAGAAAGGGAAGUCAGUAGGUUAUAUUCCUAAAAAAGAAUGUGUUUGUCACUUUUGUCAUACUACGUGCAAUUUUCAAUCUCUUUGUUUAAUUUCUUACUAGAUUUGAAUGUUUAAUCUUUAUAUUUUCAAUCUUCAAUCUAAUUUUUUAUUUUAGUUUUUUAAGAAAUUCUUAAUGACAAUAGGGGAUGAUGACCCGGACUAUGUGGAAUAUCUUUAUUCCACUUAGAUGGCUUCUUCGACUGAGGGACACUUUGAAGAAUGAACAAUUAUUGACGUUAAUUUCUUUUUUGAUGUUUGUCUUUUGGAUGGUUGUGCAAACUCCAUAAACAUUGUUAAUUUUUAGUUCUAUUUUGAUCACUGAACAUUGUAAUGAUAAUCUUGAAAUUUUUGCUUUUGUUCUACAAUAUAGCUCAUCAAAUAUUCCUCGUGUUAUAUUAAUGUGUGUUUGUGCUGUUUAGAAUAUAUGUCUGUUGUUGAUAAUUGAAUAUGCAGGUAAUCAACAACGCAUGCUCUAUGGCAAGCUUUGUUGAAUUAAUCAUAUACAACAACGUCCAUUUAGAUGACGUUGUUGUAUAUAAUUAAUACAACAACUCUAAUGUAUAAUAACGCUCGUUGGGUGAAGUGGUGUUGUAUGUAUGACAUACAACAAUGCCCACAUAUGUGUUGUUAAAGCAUGCCGAUAUUCUACUGCACUCAUAUAGAUAGCGUAUGAAAGCAUUGUUAUAUACCUAACAUGCGCGUUGUUGAACUGAAAAACUGGCAUAGUGAAUAACCGAUUAGAGAGAGUUGUUAAAUCAGAUUUUCAAAUCUAAACUCAACAACUUUCAUCCACAUUGAAUGGGUUUCAUUCCAAUCGUGUCUCACCUUCGUGUAAGGGUAUAUUGGUUGGUUAGAAGCCUAUUUAAAGGCCAAAGAACAUCCACUUCAUGACACACUUUAAUCAUCCAAACUUUCACAUCAUUCACAUACAAUAGUCUACAUUUUCUUAUGCAACUUUUGUUCUAAACUUUCAGAAUUUUUCUGAAGUUGCAUUGAUUGCUUGUUCUAAAGUUUGCUAAACUUAAACACAUAUUGAGCAUUGCAUACUAAAUGUAUAAAGAGAAAAAAGAUUGCAAGUUAUAACAAUUUUAUAUCUUGUAUGGCAAUCCUUGCCCUAGAAAGUUUUCUUCAUAUCUUAUUAUAAAAUUUUCAUCACAAGGGUGUGGUGAGAAGGGAGAUGGAGUACUUGGAUAGGUUGUUUUCCAAUGGUGUGAGGUAUUAGUGAAUGUGUGAUGUACAAGGACUCUUGGUGACAUAAAUUGUAAUUGCAACUCAUAAUAUUAAGUAAACAAAUCUCUUGUGAUACAAGAGUAUUGGACGUAGCCUUCAGUAGACAAGAAGGUGAACCUGUAUAAAACAUGUGUGUACUUUCUCUCUUCUCUUUACUGUGUUACUUUUACUGUUUUUACUUGGUGAUUUUUCUGUAUUUAUUCUGCUGCAAUAAACUCUUAUUUUCAUAGCAGAAAUAUUGGUCAUAUAAAUUAGUCAACUAAUUCACCCAUUUUUAGUUGUCAUUUAAUAGUUAUAAUUGACACUAGAGCUUGAUUUGGGUAAGUUACUCCCAAAGAUUCUAAUCUUUUAGAUGACCUCUAGGUCUUUUUGGGAGACAUGAGAAAGGAAAAAGGGUUUGGGAAAUACAUUUUUUUAGCCUUAUAUCUUUUUCUAGAAAACCCAAAGCCAGACCAAGAUACAAGUUUAAAAGACUUUGUUGGGGAUUUGGUUUUCUCAAGGUACGUACUAGGGAAAAAAACCUUGACUCUAUUAAAUCAUAUCAAAUUUUGAUAAAAAAAUAUAUAUCUUCUUUGAUCAAUUUUUCUGCUAUGAAAUCAAAGUGUUUAUGCAGCAGAAAUAUUGUAGAAAGAUUACCAAUUGAUACCUUCAAAAUAAAGAGAUAGAUUAGAGAGAAAAAAAAAGAACACAAUGUAUUUUUAUAUUGGUUCACCUUCUUGUCCACUGAAGGCUACGUCCAAUACUCUUACAGAACAAGAGAUUUAUUUACAAGAUAUUUUGAGUUGUAAUUACAAUCUCUCUCUCUGAUACUCUUUGUACCUUACACACUCACAAAUACCUCACACACUUGGAAAAUAACAUUUCCAAGUACUCUAUUUCCCUUUCUCACCACACUCUUGUGAUGACAAGUUUACAAUGGGUUUGAAGAAUGAAUUCUAUGACAGGAUUGCCUUUACAAGAUAUAACAAUUAAUAACUUGUUAUCCUUAGACUGAAUAAGAUUAAUACAAUGCUCUUGAAAGGAUUAAGUAUGUAAACUUUAGCACAUUGCACUUGAAGCAACUUAAUAAAAAAUCUAAAAGUUUAGAAUAAAAUUUGCAAGAAAAAGUGCAGAGAAUUAUAUAUGAAAUUGUGUGUAAUUCAUAUGUAAUGAUUGUGUUUCAAAAUGGGACUCUUAAUGCCUUUAAAUAGGAUUCCAAUAAGCCAAUAUACCCUUCCAUGAAAUUGGGACGGGAUUGGAAUGAAACGUGUUGAGUUUGAAUGAAAGUUGUUCAGUUUGGAUUUGAAAAUCUAGUUGAAACAACAUUGUGUAAUCGAUUACAUCAUGAUGUAAUUUAUUACUUAAAUAUUCUGCCCAAAGAUAUAAGCGAUUAAUCAUUAAUUUAAUUGGUAACUCUCUAUCAGUUAUUGUUGGAUAACUCUUUACUUAGUUAGGUAACUUGUUACCAAUUGUCACACAAUUCAAGUAAUCUAUUACCAAGGUCUAGUAACCUGUUACUCAGGUCAAGUAACCCGUUACUUAGCUUUUUGAAAAUUGUUUAACUUUUUCUAAGAAUUUUCAAUUCUUUUCAAAAUAGUUUUUCACUUCUUUUGAGCAUUACUUACUAAUUAUAUUGAAGUGUAAAAGAUAGAAGUACUUAUUGAAGACUUAGACUCUAAUUGAAGCUUGAUCUUCAUGUAUCUUCAAUAUCUUCUUUGUUUUUCUUCUUUUGGUGUGAUCUUGAUGUCUUCAUCAAAAUUGUGUCAAGGUCAAGAGCAAGAUCUUCUUCACAAUUCUUGUGUGCUCGCUUUUAGUAGUCACAAGUUCUGGUACUACCCCUACGUACAAAUUGAGUUUCAACAAUAUCCAUGUAUUCUUAUUUUUAAUUUGAUUGUCUCGAGGUCCGAUAGUAUAAAUGUGUUCUUUUUCUAAAUGUUGCAUUACGAUUAUUAUCUUCAUUUUCUUCUUUUUUACAAAAUUGGUGUUCAUUUUUUUAGUGCUUACUUACUAUGGUAGCAUACAAACCUCAGUAUGUUCGCUAUCUAGUGAGUAACAAUUAAAGAGGGACAACUCUAAAUACCCAAUUUUGUUUGAACCAUUUUCACAAAAGUGAAAAAAUUACAAAAUAUAAAAGUUACAAUUUAAAAUACCAAAAAAGGAUAUUCUAAUUAUUUUUAUGCUUUUAUAGAGUCAACUAAUUAUUUUUAUUUAUUUAUGUUUAUUAUGGUAAUUUUUAGGAUUUUAUAAAGUCAUAAACGACUUUUGUUCAAAAACGAUACUCUUAUAAUUUUUAAAGCUAAAAUGAAAUAUUUUUAACCCAACUAGAUAUUUAUUCUUAAAAAAAUAAUUUUAUCAAAAAAUUAAUUUUAAGAUGCCUCACAACUAAUUUUUAUAUUGGAAUAAUAACUAAUAGUUAUUGGUUUUAUUCUAAAAUUAAUUAGCGGUUUCAUAUUUUUAAAUUUAUAAUAAAUUGGACAUUUUAGUUUUAAAUCCAGAAAUUAAAUGAGCCACUUCAAAAUAAUUAAUUCUAUUUUUCUUAAUUUUUAAAUUAUAUAUAAUUUUUACUAUAAAUGGGUGUAAUAGGUAAAGAGGGAAAAAAAAUCAAAGAAUCCAAAAAAACAUAGAAGAAAGUAAAAUAAAAUUAUCAACAAAGAUAAAAUACUGCCUUGAUUUUAGUGUCCAAUCAUUGGGCAAUUUCGUUGGUUAGUUGCCAUCCGUUUGGAUAGAGGACAAACGCGAGAUCGUUGUCUGGGUGGUAGUUUCUUACAAGUUGCCACUAGACAAUUCUAUUGCAAGUCAUUAGGUGCGUUAGAGUCAUCGAUAAGACUAUCGUUGCUCCAUCACCGGUCAAUCAUUAGCCAUCUCCUCGCCCCCAAAUUUUGUGUGAGGAAAGCCUUGUCUAAUAAGAUGCUGCCAUAUGAAAACAUCGAAGCCCCCAACAAUCCAGCACAAACAACAUCAACAAGUGUCAAGUUAGGAUAGACAACCACCAUUGUUAUUUUCCCUAUCGUCGCAACAUGCACAAAAUUUGGCGUUAGACCACUGUUUUUUCCACAUUGUUUCGUUCAAAUUAUUGGUCGAUAACCCAAAUGUCCCCGCUGACAUAUCUACUCCUCGUUUUCUACAUCGGCAGUCCCCGUUUUCUGAUUUAAUGAAACUAUAUUAAAAUAAUAAUAAAUAUUUAAAUAUCAUUUUUAAUAAUAAAAAUAAUAAAUUUAAUUUUCUUGUAUAAAAUAUUUUUCAUAAAAAUAGCUCAUUAAAAUAAUUAACUAAAUCCAAACAAUUAUAAUAUAAAAUAAUUAAAAAUGAUGUUUUAUCAUUAUAAUUAAUUUAUGGAAUUUGAAUCGCAUACAUCAUGGCCCGUGUCAUGGCAUGCGUCGUAUCCUACUUUCUACUUCAAGCGAAAAGUCAGUCUACGACUAGUAUUGUCGCUUUGCUAUUGAUUUCAUUUAUUAAAAAUGUGUUAUCACCUAAUUAACGGAAGAUGAAUAGUUUGGUCGUCGCACGUGUCAUCUCUUUCUUUCUGCCUCAAGAGGAAAGUCUGCCCACGAAUAAUGUCGUCUCUUUGCUAUUGAUUCCAUUUAUUAAAAAAAAUGAAUUAAAAAUGAUUUAUCACAUAAUUAAUGGAAUUUGAAUAGCAUAGUCAUGACCCAUAUUCUCUCUUCUUAGCUACUUAAAGUAGAUAGUUAGUCUAGGAAUAAUGUCAUCUCUUCGAUAUUGAUUUCAUUAAUUCAAAAAUAACUAUAAUAAAAAAUAUUUUACCAAAUGAAAAUAAUAUAACUUUUAUAGUUCAAUUAUAGUUCACGUCGUCUCAAACUUCUCUGAAAAUGAGGAGAAUGUCUAUGACCAAUACAAUCUCUUCCUUAUUAAUUGCAUUUAAUAUUAAUAACCCAUAUUUUUAAGUAAUUAUUUAUUUUAAAAUUAAAAAAAAUGUAAUUGAGCUUUUAUAGUUCAGUUUUUGUUCAUGUCAGCUCUAACUUCUCUUGAAAUGGGAAGAAGGUGUAGGACCAAUAUUAUCUUUUCGCUAUUAGUUUCAUGAAAAUGAAAUAAUUAUAUCUUAUAAUUAUUUUGAAAGUAAAUCUUAGAAAUCAAAUCAAAUCAAGUGAAAAAAUAUUUUUUAACCUAAAACUAUGUAGGUUUAAUUUUUUUAUUAUACCUAGGGAUAUGUAGGAGCAUGAUAAACUUUUGUCGUACACAAAAGUAAAAAAUAAUAUAUUUCGCUUUAGCAUUUGAAUUUUGAACAAAAUAUAUUAAGGGUAUGAAAAUUCAUGCAGUUAGUAAGAGUAACAUUUUAUUACAAGGAGACUAAGUACUAAUAUUUUCCUCAAUUCAUAAUCGAUUCUCCACCUCAAAACUCAAGUUCAAAUACCAUUUUUUUCAAUUUGAGCUUAACAUUGAGUUUUCUACAUUUUAACCUUAAAAAUCGUUGUGGCAACUCCAAAUCUUUUGGGAGAGGUAAAAAUUGAGUUCACCUCUUCAAAAGUCACAGAAUCAUUUUCCAAUCGAAAAUCGAGUCACGAUAAUAUUUAUUUCUGUGAGUGACACAUGCAAUUUGAGAUUAUGAGAUUGAAAGAAAAUACUACAUACUGGAAAAGAAGAAGCGAUAUUCUAAGGAAUAUCAUAGAUUAAACAAUAAAUUAUAAGUUGUGAGCAAUAUAUAGUUAUAUGAUAACAAAAAAAUGAAUGGAGGCAACACUACAAGAAAAUUCAGUAUAGGGGAGGGUUUACUGUUAUUGGUAGAGGUUUUCAAACUCUAUAGUAAUGUCUUUGGAGGUUUGAAGAACCAUCACAUUUAUGGUCGCCACAAAUGUUUAGCAGAGGUUUUUAGGGACCUUUAUUAUUGUGCAAGUUUGCAGCGGUUUUGUUGGGAAGGUUUUUAACCUACUCUGGAUGUAUUUUUUUUUUGUAGAGGUCAACUAUUUCAAUUAAUAAACAAUAUUGGUAGAAAUUGUCACUGUUCUACUAACCUCCCAUAAUUUUCACUAAUGAUGGAUCUAUUAUAUUAUUGUAUUGAGUAGAAGAUAUUAAUCUUAAUUUAAAUUCAUAACUUUAGGGCUAUUAAAAAUAAAAUUAUAAAUGCAAAUAGUAGACCAAAUUAAAAUUUUAUUGAAAAUAAUAAAGUUGAUAUAACAUAGAGAAUUGUUAUGUGGUCCAAAACCUACAUUCUUAUAAAUUCCAAUACAACUUAAUUAAAAUCCCAAAAUAAAAGUAAGAGUAAUUUGAUAUAAAAUCNNNNNNNNNNNNNNNNNNNNNNNNNNNNNNNNNNNNNNNNNNNNNNNNNNNNNNNNNNNNNNNNNNNNNNNNNNNNNNNNNNNNNNNNNNNNNNNNNNNNUGUAUGGUGAGCAUUUUCAGUGACUUUUUAGAGAAUUGCAUAGAGGUGUUUAUGGAUGAUUUUACAGUUUAUGGAUCUUCAUUUGAUGCAUGUUUGGAUAGUCUGGAUAGAGUUCUUCAUAAAUGCAUCGAAACUAACCUUGUUCUAAAUUACGAAAAAUGUCAUUUCAUGGUAGAGCAAGGCAUAGUUUUGGGGCAUGUGAUCUCAAAUAGGGGAAUCGGGGUAGACCCUGCCAAGAUAGAUGUUAUUUCACAAUUGCCUUACCCCUCUUGUGUGCGAGAGGUUCGUUCUUUUCUUGGUCAUGCAGGUUUCUAUCACAGGUUCAUUAAAGAUUUUAGCAAGAAGGCUCUUCCACUAUCCAACCUGUUGCAAAAGGAGGUGGUCUUUCAUUUUGAUGAGAGAUGUAAGGAGGCAUUUGAUUGCCUCAAGACAACCUUGACCACCACUCCUAUUAUCCAGGCACCUGAUUGGAUAGUCCCUUUUGAGCUGAUGUGUGAUGCUUCUAAUUAUGCAUUGGGAGAUGUCCUUGCUCAAAAAGUGGACAAACUGCCUAGGGUAAUUUAUUAUGCUUCUAGGACUUUAGAUGUUGCACAAGCAAAUUACACCACAACUGAAAAAGAGCUUUUAGCUAUUGCAUUUGCUAUGGAUAAGUUUAUGUCUUAUUUGCUUGGUUAUAGAAUUGUUGUUUUCACUGACCAUGCAGCUUUGAAGUUCCUAUUGAAGAAAGAUGAUUCUAAACCAAGGUUGAUUAGAUGGAUGCUCUUGCUCCAAGAGUUUGAUUUGGAGAUCUGUGACAGGAGUGGAGCACAAAAUAUGGUGGCUGACCACUUGAGCAAGAUUGAAGGAGUUUUUGAUAUGAUGCCUAUCAGAGNNNNNNNNNNNNNNNNNNNNNNNNNNNNNNNNNNNNNNNNNNNNNNNNNNNNNNNNNNNNNNNNNNNNNNNNNNNNNNNNNNNNNNNNNNNNNNNNNNNNGUAUUGACAUCUUCAACAAUGCAUAUUAAGGUUUGUGCUAUUGUUGUGUAUCUAGUUGUUUACUAAUUAUUUUCAUUAACACAUCUUCAAUAACGCUAACAAUAUGUAGCGUUGUUGAAUAGAAUCUAAUUGACAGUGCUAUAUUAAUUAUGCGCUAUUAAACUGAACUUAUUUUCCAAUUUAACAGCGUGUUCAUAGUUAUAUGCUGUUAAAUUAAUAUUUUACAUAACUAAAAAUAUUUAUACAACAUGAUUUAAGGUUAAUUAAGAUGAAGUUACCAUGAAGUAGAUUACUAUAUAAUUGUGUUUACUAAUACGAAACGGGAAAAAUAUUAAACAUUACAUUUUAUUAAUUUUUUUUGUAUUUAUUAAUUAUUGUUAAUUUGUUUAUUGUAUAUAAUUUAUUAAUAAUGAACAACAAAAGUAUUAAAGAAAAUAACCAUCCAAAUAAUUAACAAAAAAUAGAAAUUAACAUCCAAAAUAAUUGUUUUAUUAUUCAUUCAGAGAGUCAAAAUACAUUAUAAUGAACUAAAUCAUUUGGUACUUGCGAAUAUAAUGAACUAAAUGAUUUGGCAGAAGAAGAAUACAAUGAAAAUGAUUUCAAUGAAAGAAAUAAUUUUUUCCUCGACUCCUCUAGACAAAUCUUCAUCUCACGCAAAUCUUGUAUGACAGCCAUUUUCCUUCUGAAACCUAGGACCAUUUUGAAAAUUAAAAGAGCUCAAUGAAUUAAAAUCAGUACUUUACAAAUUAAUCUUGUCCAUAAUUUUUUCUUCGACUCCUCUACACAAAUCUUGUAUGACAAUUCAUUGAUUUCCUUUUAAAAUCUGGGUCCUUUUGCAAUGAACGAAAUCAAUGAACUUAAUGAAUUGUAGAUGAAGAAAAAUAAUUCAUUGAUUGUUUUCCUUUUAUUUCCUUUCAAUUGAAAGAGAUCAAUCAAUUAAUUGAAAGAGAUCAAUGAACUAAAUCUUCAUCUCACGCAAAUCUUGUAUGACAGCCACCUGCCUUCUAAAAUUUGGGUCAUUUUGCAAAAUAAAAAAUUGUUAAAGGUCUCAUUGACAUGAUUCUGAAACAGAAACACAAUUUUUUCCUCGACUCCUAUAUACAAAUUUGGGUCCUUUUUUCUCUUUUUCACUCUCUAAAGUAUUGUUCUUUUUUUACUGCUUUGUGUUUUUUCCUCCUAACUUCAUGAACAUACUCUUAUGGAAACACAUACUCUUACUGAUGAAAUAGAACAUUGAGUGAACCACAAUAUUUAUAGAUGAGUGAACCACAAUACCAUUAAUAUUUCAAUAAAUGAAGAGAUGCAUAACGUACCACUCAACCAUUAAUAUUUCAACAACCAAGAAACGUAUAACCACUCAAACAUUAAUAUUUCAAAAAACAAAGAGACGCAUAACUGCCACCAUUAAUAUCUCGGACGUUUAAAAAGUCGUAAAACAUCAACAACGCAUAAUUAAGGAAGCGCAGUUACUAUGUCAUCUUCAACAACGCUUCCUUAAUUAUGUGUUGUUCCAUGUAUUAACAUCAACACCGCUUUCUAUCAAAUGCACUAUUAAACAUAUAUCAUUCAAGUCAGCGCUAACAUUACUGAUGUUCAAUAGCGUUUUGUCAAGAAUGCGUUGUUGAAGUUACACAAAUUGACAUCCUCUGUUUUAUUAUGCGCUGUUGAUGUUCUUCCGCCUCAUUUUCAACAGCGUCGUUCAAAAUUGCAUUGUUGAAUGACGAUGUUUAUUACGAUAUCUGGCGUAGUGCGAGAAAAAGUGAAAUUGCACGAGGAGAAAAAGUGUUGAGCAAUUUCUAGAUACUAGUCACAAAAAGGGCAUGAAAGACCUCCUCUAUGAACUAAAGAAACCCCCUUUUAAUUAGAGCAUCCAUAGUAGGAAGUCUGUCUUGAAAAGUCGUCAUGCAAAAGAAGUAACCUUCAAAGGAGCUUUUCAUUGCCAAAGAAGAUGGAAGUGGUUGAUGUUGGUAGCUUGAUGGAAUUAUACUAAGCAAGAGUGUUGUAAGCUUAUUUGACCGAAUAUUACUUAGACUUGUCAUGGCGUCACUCCCAAGAAUCUGGUUUAUUAUCCUGAAUGUCAGCUUGUUGAAGACCUUGCAAUAAAAUAUCAGUUAGCUCAAGUUCCUAACUAAAAAGGUGAUGUCUCCAAGUAAAGUCCCAAACCCACUUCCCGCUGACCAACUUCCUAACUCAUUAUUAUGACUAUUCUGAUGCAAACUAAGAGAAUAAAGUCUCCUAAACCUAGAGGAUAAAUUGGUAGGAUCAAUCCAAUUAUCAUGCCAGAAUCUAGUCGACUUCCCAUCCCCAACACGACGAAUGAUACUAUUACAGAACCAAGAAUUUUUAUUGAUACCCCUCGGAUAGAGAUUACCCAAAUCUUGAACCCAAACAAAUUUACUAAGAGGAGAAGACCUAAACCCGACACUAGAAGGAUUAGCGAAAUCCUGAUCAUACUUAGAACUCAACACUCUAGACCAAAGAUUGUCCCCUCUGAGUAUUCAUACGCCAAACUCAUUUCCCAAGAAGGGCAAAGUUGAAUAUGUGAAUAUUUUUUACCCCUAACAUAGUAUUCUAAUCCUAUUUAUACUGCUUUUCUUAUGGUUCCUAAUCAUAUGUUAUGGUGGAUUUUUUCGAUUAAGUCGAUGUUCCCAAAUUCACGGUAAUCGUGGCAUAGAAGAAUCAUCAUACAAAGCUAUUUCAAGCUAAUGGUCUAGAAAAUGUUCCGCCAGGUAUGUUAUUCCUCUUGUCCUGUUUAUACAAACACAUAAAACAAUAGCAUUACUGUAAUUAAUCAAUACAUGAGGCACGAGAUUGGUACGUAGGACUCGUGGAUGUUAUCUAUGAGAUUGAUAUACAUAAAAAUUGUAGAUUGCAUUUAGGAGAUUGUUUAAAUAUGAAGAAAAAAAUUAGGACUCGUGCAUAGAAGUCACGAGUUCCAUGGAGAAGAGAGAAGGACAGGAGAACUCGUGCGUGGCAGGCACGAGUUUCUCAGAAAAUCACAUUUCUGGUCCAUGAUUUUAGCAAAGUCAUGGAUGCAUUCCACGACUCUCCAAAAAGUUACACUAAUCUCGUAAAUAUUUCAAAACAUAUAUUAUAUAUAUAAUAGUGUAAUUAAACUAUAUUAUCCACAUAAAUUUUCCCUUAAGCAAAGCAUAUUAGAGUCAUAUAUAUAGCCCAAGCAAAUAUUUUAGUUUAGCAUCAUUAUUACAACUCAUUGACAAAGCAUGGGCAAACCGUAAAGCAUACUUUAAAUGCUUUACCAUAAGUACAUGAUCAUCAACUACUGAUCAUGAUCUUUAUUAAAAGCAUAAUUAAAGAUAGCUUAUAUCCUUCUAGUAUAAGCUACCAUAUCUGAUACUACAUUUUAUUCUUCAUCAGGGUUAAUGUUACACCUGCGAAGGGGUCCAAACCCACAGAUCCUAGGCAAUUUCUCUAGCUCUCCCUCCAACUGUUGUUCCUGUUGCCUCCCCUCGCAUUGCUCGCUUUGACUCUCAUAUAUCUGUUGCAGUGCACGACACUGGCAUCUCUGGCUGUUAAGCUCAUUCAGUUGCUCACAGCAUUGGUCCAGUUCUUCUGAUUCUUGGCUACUCUUGUGACGUAGAAUAACAUGCUUGAUUCCUCGCAAUUUACGAGCACGAUCUUCUUCCUCCUCUUGUUGUUGCUGAAUCCUCUGAUCUAUGUGGUUCUCACAGUGUCUCAGGUUCACCUGCUGGAGUUGCCUCUUGCAGCUUUGUUCAGAAGAUCGGAAGGCGCUAGUGUGAACCACUAGUACAAGAGCAGCAACAAGGGCUAUGAGAAUAGUGAGCUUAGCCAUUUCAGUGGGAUAUUAUGACUUACUUGUUAUAACUGAGUUAAGGAUGGAGAAUGCAUAUGCAUGGUAGGGGCAUUUUAUAGAAAGAUUUGGGGUUUUGCAUUUUUGCAUGUAAGGAACGUGGAAGAGAUAUGGGUGGGUGGUUUUGGUGUUUUUGUAGUGUGGCUGUGUUUGCUUCAAUUCUUGUUUUUCUGCUUCCACAUCAUAGUUUCAUGCAUAUACAGACGGGAGGGAGGUAGGGUGACUUUGUUUGCAUAAAAAACAGCCACAUGCAUAAUUGGUUGGCUUAAAUGUCUUUGAAUUUUCAUUAUUUUCAUAAUAGGCCUCAUGCAUGAUUUUUAGGGCGACCUUUCAUUAUUUUUAUUAUCCAUGCCAAUUUUUAAAGAGUAGUUGCGGUCAUUAUUAUAAUUGUGCUUAUUGUUGUUUCAAUUCUAACUUCGGUUUUUUAUUCGUUCACACAUAUCACUUAUGAUUAGGAGGAGGUGAGGGUGACUUUGUUUGCAACAAACAACACUAAUAUAGUAAUAUAUAUGUACAUAUAAAUAUGAAUAAUUGGAAUACCCUAUAAAUCAUUAAUGAGGCCUAUUAUGAAUAAUAAAAAUUCAAAUAUGUGAAGAAGAUCUUACUCCUAACCUUGGCACAGUUUUGAUGAAGACACCAACAUCACCAAAAAGAAGAAAAGGAAGAUGACUUAUGAAGACAAAUGAAGAUAAAGCUUCAAGACAUUAGAUUAAGUCUUUGUAAGUACUNUAGUAAUAUAUAUGUACAUAUAAAUAUGAAUAAUUCGAAUACCCUACAAAUCAUUAAUGAGGCCUAUUAUGAAUAAUAAAAAUUCAAAUGAAGAUCUUACUCCUAACCUUGGCACAGUUUUGAUNNNNNNNNNNNNNNNNNNNNNNNNNNNNNNNNNNNNNNNNNNNNNNNNNNNNNNNNNNNNNNNNNNNNNNNNNNNNNNNNNNNNNNNNNNNNNNNNNNNNUUUUUUAGAAAAAGUGAGACACUUUUAAAAGACUUCAAACAUUUUUCAAAAAUAGUGUAUAACAUGCUACUUCAUUGAGUAACAGGUUACAUGUGUGAGAAAAGAGUUAUCCAAUUGAAAAACUAAUUUUUGAAAGCUGAGUAACCGAUUACUCAAAGUGAGUAACCGAUUACUCAAAAUAAUUUUUAAGCAUCUGUUGGACAGAAAGUUUGAGUAACCGAUUACUCAAAGUGAGUAACCGAUUACUCAAUGUAAAAUUCAAAUUUCAAGUUGACAGAAAGUUUGAGUAACCGAUUGAGUAACCCAUUACUGAGAGUUGUUGGAAGUGUUUUUCAGAUUUCAAAGUGAAAGGUUUUCACUCCAAACGAAAUCUCUUCACUCCAAACAACUCAUACACUUUCAGAAACCUUCAAAGGGUGUUUGUAAACUCUAUAUAAAGGCUCUAAACUCUCACACAAAAGAACAAGAGAAUACACACAACUUUGAUACAAGUUUCUCUCAACUCUCAAAAGCUCUCACACGUUUUCUUAGAAUUUAUCUUUGAACUUUUUGCAACUUGUUCUUAAACUUUCAAAGUUAAUUUUGCAACUUCAAGUGUUUCAAAGACUUUUACAAAGAGCAUUAUAUACUUCUAUAUAUAUAUAUUCAGAGUUUGGAUUGCAAGUUACAUAAGUUUCAUACUUGUAAAGGCAAUCUGCCAUAGUUGAAUAUUCUUCAUUCUUGUAAAGAAAUCUUUCUUUCACGGGGUAUGAAAAGGAAGGGGAAUAGAUUCACUUGGAAAUGUGUUUUCCAAGGGUAUAAGAAUUAGGGAGUGUGUAAGGUACAUAGAGAUCUCGGGGUGAGAUAUUGUAAUUACAACUCAUAAUUCUUAGUGGAAAAUCUCUUGUGUGGCAAGAGUACUGGACGUAGCCUUCAGUGGACAAGAAGGUGAACCAGUAUAAAACUCCUUGUGUACUCUCUUCUCCUUAUCUCUUUCAUUUUAUUUCCUAUUAUUUUCUGCAUAUUGUUCCGCUGCACUUUAACUUUGAUUUUGCAGAAAAAGCGACCAUUAUUUUAAGACAACUAAUUCACCCCCCUUUUAGUUGCACUCUGACACUUACAAAAGUUGCUUCAAAUGAAUGCUUAGAAAUGACAAAUAUUCUAGUACACCAUCAUGAUAUUAGAAUAUUUGUCAUUUCUCCCAACUUUUGGAUCUUUGAAAACAUAUUUUACGUGAUCAAGCUAAGAUAAACAUUAGGAGUAGAUGAAAUGAAAUAAUAGAAUAGAAACAUAUAACUUAUAUAAUAAACUCAGAAUCAAUACAAAUAAUAAGAAAUGUUACACCAUAGUCCAAAGACGUGAGUUGAUUAGCCUUCCAUGAAUGAUGCUUUGAACUUCAAGUGUUGAUCCAAGAACAAGCUCCUAGAUCAUAUCUUCUCCGACUCCUAUUCCUCCGAAUUUCUAAAAGGAGAAGUAAAAUACCUAAGCUAAUUUAAAGAGAAGAGUGUAUGAGGAAAUAUUGGAUGAAUUGGAAUGCAAAGGAAGGUUGAGAGAAUGUCAUUUAUAUAGAUAUGUUAUGAACCGCUAAGCCCCAUUCCGAAGCACUUAGCACUUACUACUUACUAUUUUUCCAAGUUGGACUGCUUGGCUUGCCUAGCCAAGCAGCUAGCCAAGUCUGACCCUACUACGCCUACCCUGCCCCUAUCCUACUAUGGCUCAGUAUGUUAUGGGCUAGGCAAGUUGCUCACAUGCUUAGUCUACCUCUCUACACAGACAUGCAUGAUGACACACCCUACUCAAACUUGGCUUGCUUUGCUCAUGGUGACAUCACGUCUGACUGGCCUUCCUUGGGUUGUAAGUCACGCUUAGCACCUGUUCGGAACCGCCUAGUAUGAUUUCUUCAUGAAUGGAUAAGCUAUUCCUUCGAGCUGAAACAACCUUGGCUCAUGCAUACCCGCCUUGCACAUAUCAUGCCAUACUCAACGGGUUAGUGCAUAUUUCUUCCAUCUUGGUUUUUGGUACUUGUUAGCUUAUGACUUGGUUUUAUCCUCCUCUUAAAAUGAAAAUAAGUACUUAACUCCAUGAAAAUGAAGUGGCUAUGGACACAAGGUGGUGUUAGCUACACUAUAUAUUUUGUUGAAAAGUAAGAUAUAAGUUGAGGUUUUCCUCAUGAAUAAUCAAGAUAAGAGCCAUCAAAAGUGAUAGAAAAUGAUACAUUUUGGCACUUAUCAACUCUCUCCAACUUAAAAAUUUGUUUGUCCCCAAACAAAAGUAAAAUAACUACUAACUUGGCUUUGAAAAAAAUUGUUUUCAACAAGAUCAAGUCAUCGUGUUAUUCUUUUUUAAGUCCCAUGAUAUGUGAUUUUUGGUCCAUAAUGCUUUAAAUUAAGAAUUGAAUGCAACAUUUUCUAAGAUUUAGUUAGCACUUCACUUAGAAAAAUAUUCUCAAUCAAAAAGAUGUAUAUGCCCUCAAGGUUCAAGAAUGAAACCAAUUGGAUGAGUGUAUAAUUCAAAUCACUGAAUUGAGUUGUAAGAAUUUAAUUUUGUUGUUCAUCUAAUACAUACUUCUAUUGCACAAAACUUCAAUGAUCACUAAGGUCUUUGUUUUCGGUUGUAAUGAGACAGAGCUAAAAGGAAUCAUUGUUUUUUUAGAUAAUCAAAAGUAUUCAAGAUAAAAGAGUAAAAAUUGAUUUUUCCUUUAAGCAUCUACUCUUCUUGACUUUUUCUCAUUUUAUUUUCAUUCCAUCUCUAGCAUUUGAACUUUUUGACCUUUGCGUCUUUUCUUUUAUAUCUCUCAAUCUCUUAUUCUUUAAGUCCUUUUACUUUUUGGAGUUCUUCUUUUUGUUUACAACUUUUGUUGUUUGUGUAAAGAGAUUGAGAAUUUUUUUCAACACUUUUUCGUCAAAAGUCAAGGCUACCUUUCUCCCCCAAACUUAGUUUUUCAAACAUCCUUCUUUCAAAAGAAUGCUCUCUUUACAUUAAAAGUUAGGUAGAACAUUGUUUUGAAUUUGGUUUAUGAGUUUGUUUGACAUAAAAUUUUCUUUCUCUAGCUCAAAGGGGUUUAUCAAAGGAUAUUCCUAAUUAGGUAAGCUUUUUGGUCAAAAGUGGUUCAACUAAAGAAUAAAUAUACUUUGAUCUUUUCCUAUCAAUAUUUGUGCAAUAUAAUAAAGAGAAAUUCAAACAAAAUCAAUUGUAUAAAUCAACAAGUUUCACAUGCUAAUCUCACAUUGUUUAUGUGUUUGGCUUACACUCCAUUAUAUGGUUAGGAUUUGUAGAACUCUUUGAUUUUCAAACAUUUCCACAAAUUCAUGAUAAGUGAUUUUUCAAAAUGUUUAUAUUAUAUCCAAGUUAUGACAUUCUGGAUUUAAUUCAAGAGUCAGGUUGUUCAUCAAAAGCUUGAUAUACAAAGUUGAUUGAUCUUGUUUUAAAAAAUAGUUUUAAACCAAUUUUGUGUUAUGUACUUUGUCUAGUUUAAAAUAAUCAAGUAAAAUAUAUAUAAAAUAAAAGAAAAAUAAUAACUAAAAGUAAACAAAGUAAAUAAAUUAAACACACAACAAAUUAAACUCAUGUCUCAACAAACUAAAAUAUCCAAAGAAAAUGAUGUCCAAAAUAAAAAUUAAAGCAAAGUUUUUGAGAAAAGAAAGUAACUGAAUGAGUGAGUUUAAGGAUAGAUUUUGAAGUUUCAAUCCUCAUCUAUAAAGUAAGUUUCCUCAUCUCCUUGUGCAUGGGUGCCACUGUCCCCUUCUCCUUCUUGUGGUAUGUCCCUAUGCCACAUAUUUUUGCAUCAAAUCCAGUAGAGGAUCCAUGACCAAAGUUUGGGAAUUGAUCAUAAAGCCCUUGAUACACUUCUCGGAUGCCAUGAUAACAAGCCUCUAUCUUAUGUUCUUGCAUCUUGAACAGUGUUUCUAAGGCAUUGUAUCUUGCAUCACUUUGGGCCAUGUAGGCAGCCAAGGUUGGAUCACUUUGUUGAGGAGGUGGUGGUGGUGUUGGUUAACAAGGAAUCUAUCUUCACAUAGAGGGGGUGAAUAGGUGGUACGAUUAUAAAUGAACUCCGAUGGAAAUACAAAUGAUAAUCAUAAAUAGAACUGAUUUUAAUUAAUUAAAGUGAAAGUUAAUCAAUUAACACAUAGAAAAUUUAAUCAAUUACUAGCCAACUUAAUCGAUUAACACACGAUCUACUUAAUCCAUUAUACGUAGACUUAAUCGAUUAAUUAGACAAUUUUUCUCAAAAGUAUUUUGGUUCUUGAUUCUUUUGAUCCAACAAGAAAACAAAGAUUAACCCAAUUUUAAUAAGCUCUAAAAUUUGAAAUCAAAGUGCAAUCAAAAGAGUAAAUUACUUAAGUAUUGAUCACUUAAAGAAAGAUAUAACACAAUGCAAGAAAGCGAUAAUUGCAAGUAAGUAAAGAGUAUGGUGAAGAGAAGAAAACACAAUCGAAAUUUAUCAUGGUUUGUUUAUUUGUCUACUUGCAAACUACAUCUAGGCCUCCCCUUAUGAUCUCGGGAGAUUUGCUUCACCAGAAGAAAUCGAUUGUUUUCAUACAAGCACUUCUUCACCAAGAUCUCUCUUGGACUCAGCUUCUAAUGAUGCCCCAUCACUUCUAGCUAAGUUCUCCAACGAGAAUCUUCUUGGACCUAGACCGCAUCCAAGGAUUUGUCCUUAUUUCUCUCUUUUAUCCUAGGUGAUGCCUCACACCCACAAAAGAGAUAAAUCCACAAAUAACGACCUUAAAGUAUUUUGUGUACAACUCUUCUAUGAACCUUGAUUGUUCAAAUACAAUACAUUAACCAAAUCAGCACAUACACCUGAUAAGUGUCAAACAUACCUAAAUUUCAUACACUUUUAUCGCACUUAUCUUAAGCAUAAUUGAGAAAAGCAAACUUAAAACAAUACUUUUUGGAUAAAAUAUCACAAUCUUGUAUAUUUGUGUUUGUAUUUCUUUUUUAUGUGUUUUGUAGGAUUUAGAAAGAAAAAUAAAAAAGAAUAAAGACUCAUGGUCCAAGAAGAAAAAGAAGUCAAACUCAAGGUGCUCAAGCAGGAAGCUUAGCAUGGACCAAGCCACACUGAGCUGACCUGGACACCAGCCUGGCAUGGUCACACCCAACCUGGAUCAGUCAAACCAACCUAGCACAUACCAAGUUGCUCAAGCAGGCAGCUUAGCAGACCUUCUUGACCGCUCAGCCUAGCACCAGACAAAAUCUGACGCGGUCAGAACAUAAGCUUGGCAUGGUCAGACACAAGCCUGGAAAACACCCAAGCUGCUUAAGCAGGCAGCUCGGUAAUGCCACAUGUGUGCUCAGCGGUGAACCAGACACCUGACGAGGUCAACAAGCACCAAUCCACGUCUCAGUCAGCACGGUCAAAGCUGCUCAAGCAGGCACCUUAGCGGUGCCACAUGUGUGCUCAAUGGUGUGCACCCAGAGUUAACUUAGCCAUCAAGAAACCAUGAAGUCAUGCAUGGUCUCACUUCUAGUAGUCCACCAUAGGCUUUUCAGGAGUCGCUCACCAUAGCUGGUCACGUAGCUCACAACUAGCUUUGGUGAAUCAAGCUUAAGAAGGUGACCAAGCUACUUGAUCAAGUGACCAAAUCCAUGCUGAAGGGUUUGGUCAGCUGCUGAGUAGUGCAAACAAGCAGCUCAACGGUGGCAUGGAAAUUCUAUAAAUAGAAAGGCAUUUCCUUCAUUCAAAAUAUAUUCCAUACAAUCUCUUCCCUCGAGAAACAUGAUCACAUGAUUAGAAAAUGCUAAGCAUACUUUGAAUUAAGCUUUGAGUGAGCAAAAUGAGAUAUAUGCUAAACUUUUGUGAAAACAUCAUAUAAUGUCAUAACUUGAAAUUUUUGCAAAUUGAAAAUUCAAUUUUGUGUAACAAGAUCUUUGCAAACAUCUUUUAAAUCAAAAAAGUGUAAAACCAAACCAAGUGAGGGAGUAAGCCAAACACACGUGAGAAUCAUAGUGAGAAUCAACAUUUGAUUUGUCUAAUUAAACUUGUUUGAGUCUUUAAAUCUCUUAAUUGCAUAAAAAUGAAUAGAAAUGAUCAAGGCAUGUUCCUUCAUUAGUUGAACCAAAGGCCAAAAUGUCCAAACCCAAUUAGGAUCAUCCUUUGAUAAGCCCCUUUGAGGCAAACAAGUGAAAUAAUUUUUCAAACUAUCCCAUGAAACCGAAUUUGAAAAAAACAAUGUUCUAAAGAGAGCAUUAAAUUUUAAAGAAUAGUUUGAAAGAAUUAAGUUGGGGGGAAAAUUGCUUUUGACUUUGCUUCUUAAAAAGAAAGAAAGAAAACAAAAAGAGAUUGAGAAAAAUAGAAGCCAAGGUUCAAAAGUUAAAGGGGUUAAGAAAAGAAGUAAUGGAGAAAAGAAGAGUAAAAUGCUUCAUUGAGAAAAAUUUCAAAAAUACUCUCUUUUUAACUUAGCAUUGAAUAUCUAGAAAAACCAUUAUCCAAACCAAGUCUCAUUACAACCAAAAUAAAGACCUUAGUGAUCUUUGAUUAUUUAUGCAAUUUAAGAGGAUAGAUGAGACAAAGAACAACUUCAAAUUACUACAAACAAAUGAUUGAAAAAUGGAGUGAAACACUUACCCUCUAAAAGUUCCAAUUUUGAACUUGUGUGCCAGAAACACUUUUUGGUUAGAAAAAUAUUUUCUUAGGUAAUUUGUUACACAUUUUUUAUAAACAAAAGCAUUUAUUCCUUAUUUUAAGCAUUAUGUGUCAAAAUUCAUAAAUCCUGAAAAAUCUCAUUGAAAUCAAUUUUUAACAUGCUUAUGAACAUUUGAACUUAGCCAAAUGUGAAUUCUGAUAAGCUUUACCUUUUGUUUGAGGACAAACAAAAUUUUAAGUUGGAGGAGUUUGAAAAGUGCCAAACAUACCUAAAUUUCAUACACUUUUAUGGACUUAUCUUAAGCAUAAUUGAAAAAAACCAACUUAAAACAAUACUUUUUUGAUAAAAUAUCACAAUAUUGUACAUUUGUGUCUGUAUUUCUUUUUUAUGUGUUUUGUAGGAUUUAGAAAGAAAAAUAAAAGAGAAUAAAGACUCAUGGUCCAAGAAGAAAAAGAAGUCAAACUCAAGGUGCUCAAGCAGGAAGCUUAGCGUAGACUAACCCACGCUGAGCUGACCUGGACACCAGCCUGGCACUGUUAGACCUAACCUGGCUCCGUCAAACCAACCUAGCACAGACCAAGUUGCUUAAGCAGGCAGCUUAGCGGACCUGCUUGACCGCUCAGCGUAGCACCAGACAAAACUUGACACGGUUAGAACAUAAGCUUGGCACGGUCAGAAACAAGUCUGACACACGCUCAAGCUGCUCAAGCAGGCAGCUCAGCGGUGCCACAUUUGUGCUAAGCGGUGAACCAGACAUCUGUCCAAGUCAACAAGCACCAAGCCACGUCUCAGUCAGCACGGUCAAAGCUGCUCAAGCAGGCAGCUUAGUGGUGCCACAUGUGUGCUCAGCGGUGUGCACCCAGAGUUAACUUAGCCAUCAAGACAACAUGAAGUCAUGCAUGACCUCACUUCAAGUAGCCCACCAUAGGCUUUUCAGGAGUUGCUCACCAUAGCUGGUCACGUAGCUCACAACUAGCUUUGGUGAGUCAAGCUUAAGGAGGUGACCAAGCUACUUGAUCAAGUGACCAAACCCAUGCUGAAGGGUUUGGUCAGCUGCUGAGCGAUGCUAACAAGCAGCUCAACGGUGGUAUGGAAAUUCUAUAAAUAGGAAGGCAUUCCCUUCAUUCAAAAUAUAUUCCAUACAAUCUCUUCCCUCGAGGAUCAUCCAAAAAUUCUCUCUUCUUAUUUUAGCUUGAAAGCUCUGUUCAUAGGAUCUUUUUGUAAGUAAGUUUUAUAGUUUUUUUAGUUUAUAAUUCAAGAGGAGAAAUGAGAAGGUAAAUGAGAUACAAAAAUCCAUUUUGUAAUCUUAUUUGGAACUUAAAGCAUUCAAUCCUUGGAUGGAUGACUCAUGCUCCUAACAAUUUCAUUUGAUGGUUAAUUAUGUAUGUCUUCUUCUUCUUUUAUUCUAAAUUUGAAUUUUAAUCAUUNNNNNNNNNNNNNNNNNNNNNNNNNNNNNNNNNNNNNNNNNNNNNNNNNNNNNNNNNNNNNNNNNNNNNNNNNNNNNNNNNNNNNNNNNNNNNNNNNNNNAUUUUAGAACUUGGUGUUUGGAGUUAAUCAAAGUAAAACAUAAGAACUUGUCUAAGUAGUUCAAAUACAUAAGAAGUUGAGAAAUACUUUUAUCAUUCAAAAUGAUCUUGUCUCCUCAAGAAUUUGUUAAUACUUAGUUUAUGUUUCUUGUUAUGUUUUUAUGUGAAUCAAACCAAAAACAACCUAAACAUGUUCAAACUUAUUAUUUGUGCAUUGACAUAUUCAUAUGAUUCAUUCUAUUAGGAAAAUUCCUUGUGGUUCGACAUAACCUUACACUAUACUACAAUUGAAUCUUGAAAGAGGUGUAAAUUGUAAAAUAGUAAAGUGUUAUCAAUAAAUUUAUUUGUUGAAACACCUUUUAAUAUACAAAAGUGAUGAAGCUAACUUCCUAACUUUUAUUUAUUGUUAUUUACAUUCUGCAAUUUACUUAUUCUUUAAUACCAACCUUCCUUAAGGAAGAAGUUUGAUUUGUUAAUAAAAGAAACCCGAAAGGGAUUAAAUAAAUAAAGACCACUUAACUUUAUUCUUUUGUUCUUUAUUUAUUUAUUUGUUUUUAACAACUAACUAUUCAUCACUUUUGUACAUUAGAAUACCAUUAAAUCGGUGUUGGAAUUUAUUUCACAAAACCGAGAUGAUAUUCAGAUGUACUUAAUAAUUAUUUAAUAGGGGAUUGUAUCGAUACCAUUGUACCGGUGUUAGAAUUUAUUCUAACAAAGCCGAGAUGGGCAAAGACUGAAUAACUUAUUCACAUGAUUAUUAGAAGUAAGUUGUAACUGGAAUAUUCUUGAAACCAUUAUACUGGCGUUAGAAUUUAUUUCAACAAAUCCGAGAUGGUGAACAAAGAAUAAAACCGAGUUUAUUUACUUAACAAAAUAAAAGGAAACACACCAAAGAGGGAACUCUCAUUUCAACAAAUUGGCGCCGUUGCCGGGGACAAUUUGUUAAGGGGGGAAACCUCAAAUAAAACCUUUCAACAACACCUUUUGAUGAUUCUCACAUACAAAUAUGAAAAUGAAUGUAUGAGAAUCAUUAAGGGGUAUCUUUGAAAAAUCUCUCAAAAUAUGAUAAUUCUAUCUUUUUCAAAGAUUGUAAAACUCUUCUCAUUUUCUCAACCAAUCACUCUUGAAAAUAUUGCUUUUCGAGUUCUAAAUAAUGAACGUAUUUCGUUCUCAAUUGAUCUAUAUCAUUGAUAUAAAUAUAUGAUACCUUUGUUUAUGAGAAAGAUUGUAAAAAACGAAUUUGUUUUGAAACUGUCUAUUGGGAAUAAUCGAUUAAAUCAGGUACUUAAUUGAUUAACAUUUCUUUAAAAACGUCUAAGAUUCCAAAACAGAAACUAAUUUAAUCGAUUAACCAUGUCCUUAGUCGGUUAACGUGUUUCUCGUAUACAAAGACUUAAUCGAUUAGAUAAAGUCUUAAUCCGUUAAAUUGUUUUCAAAAAGACUUAGAUUAUAAUGCAUGAACCUUUAACAUGAAUGAUAUAUGAAGUAAGUUGUAACUGGAAUAUUCUUGAAACCAUUAUACCGGCGUUAGAAUUUAUUUCAACAAAUCCGAGAUGGUGAACAAAGAAUAAAACCGAGUUUACUUACUUAACAAAAUAAAAGGAAACACACCAAAGAGGAAACUCUCAUUUAAACAAAUUGGCGCCGUUGUCGGGGACAAUUUGUUAAGGGGGGAAACCUCAAAUAAAACCUUUCAACAACACCUUUUGAUGAUUCUCACAUACAAAGAUGAAAAUGAAUGUGUGAGAAUCAUUAAGGGAUAUCUUUGAAAAAUCUCUCAAAAUAUGAUAAUUCUAUCUUUUUCAAAGAUUGUAAAACUCUUCUCAUUUUCUCAACCAAUCACUCUUGAAAAUAUUGCUUUUUGAGUUCUAAAUACUGAACGUAUUUCGUUCUCAAUUGAUCUAUAUCAUUGAUAUAAAAAUAUGAUACCUUUGUUUAUGAGAAAGAUUGUAAAAAAUGAAUUUGUUUUGAAACUGUCUAUUGGGAAUAAUCGAUUAAAUCAGGUACUUAAUUGAUUAACGUUUCUUUAAAAACGUCUAAGAUUCCAAAACAGAAACUAAUUUAAUCGAUUAACCAUGUCCUUAGUCGAUUAACGUGUUUCUCGUUUACAAAGACUUAAUCGAUUAGAUAAAGUCUUAAUCCGUUAAAUUGUUUUCAAAAAGACUUAGAUUAUAAUGCAUGAACCUUUAACAUGAAUGAUAUAUGCAUGACUUUGAAAAGGAUACAAUUAUAAGUGCUCAAAAUCAUGUAUGCAUGCUAAAAUAAGUUUUAAUCAUGUUAUGUAUGAAAAAUCUCUUUUAUGCAAUAUGCUCAUGAGAUGUGAGAUUUAUUAAGGAUUCACGCAACCUAACUCUACCCAUUCAAAGCAUCUUAUGUGACCUAAUAAAUAAAUUAAUUACUCUUAAAGUUCAUAAUCCAUGCUUGAAUAUGAGUUUUGGAAUAUUGUUGUUAAAGUGUCCGUUGUCUUCGAUCUCUAGUCUUUUGUCUUCAUCAAAAUCACGAUCUUGCAUAUUUGCAUUUACAAGUUAUUCUUGAGUUUACGAGGAAUGUCCUUUUUCACCCUUCUUUCUUCUUAGUGUGACCUUGAUGGAGGCCAAACUCCUUUCCUUGCAAUAAUUAUUUAUAUAUGAAGAAUUGAUUUUUGACUUGAGGGCCAUUAUUUCCAGAUAAGGCUCAGGUACCUUUUGGUACUUGCACAAAUCAGUGAUUAGAGAUGGCAAGGUCAUGGUCAAUGCCCAUUUCUUAAUGCUUUCAGCAAUAACAUUAUAAAUUAUGGUAGAGAUAUUAAUGUAGUCAUCAUUACAAAUUGAGUAAAUCAACUUUGCCUUUGGGAUGGGCAAAUCGUAAACAUGAGAGGCAUGCUAGAUGUUUGACAAGAUAAAGGUUGUAAAUAUUUGAAUCAAUUGACUCAUGCUCAAUUUUAAAAUUGGACCUUUUCCAAUGGUUGCCCUCUUUUCAGGUUCCAAGCCGUGAAGGCAAAUGUGUUUUCUUACCUCCAUUUCAUCAUGACCCACUUUUUUGCCUUCCUUGCUGGCCAACAUCCGUUGUUGGUAUUUGUAUAAGUCUUCACCGGAUUGAAAUAAUUAAGGGGAAUCUAAGUAUUCAUUGGUCAUGAACUUAUCAUAGAAUACUUGAGUUCCAUUGACCCAAGUGUAUCGAUUCUCUAGUGCCUCUUUGAGUUUGUGUUUAAAUAACUCAUAUUCAUCUUUGAAAUAAAUCCAGAAUGUUUUUAAACUUUCAAGUUCACAAAUGACUAGCAAAUCAUCCAAUUUGAAUAAAAAUUGCAUCAAGGUGAAAUAAAGAUGUAUAUUGCUUGUUUUUUGUCUUAGAACUUUAUAUUUAGGGGUUUUAUGAUUUUUAAAAUUUCUUUGAAUUUUUUUCUCAAGUACUUGAAUUCUAAGUGUUCAAUCAUGCUAUUCAAGGAAAGAAUGAAAGAAGAAGUACUUACAUGGUUUCUUGUUAGUGAAAGGUUGAAGGUGAACUUAAGAGAAAAUGGGAGUUUUUGAAAAACUUUAUUUUGCUAAGUGAGAGAGUAUUUUCGGUCAAAGUGAUUUGAAUAGGUGUGGGGAUGUAUGAGUGGAUAAAGGAAAUCUACUUUUGGAAGUGGGUAAGAUUCCCUUGGGAGAAUCCCAUUCUUCCUAGGUGCGCUUAGCAGAUAUAAUUUCCUACCCAACUGUUUUGAGUUGGCUAGGCACAUAGUUUAGCAUUUGAUUCAUCAACUUGGCACAUCAGGUUGGCCUUUGAGCGUGUAUUCUUGGUGCAACACUCUAUACAUGUGUGCACCAGCCUUGGCUCAUCAUCAGGCACACUAGAAUCAGGUAUGGGCACAUAAUUGAUUCAUGCAUGGUAUGCCUUAGUUUAAGUCUUGCCUUGACCUUGGUCCAAUGGUCUUGACUUUAGUAAAUUUUGUUGGUCGUGUGGCCACAUAGCGCCUGGUUCAUGGCACAUGGUGCUAUGUCUUUUUUAAAUUUUUGACUCAAAUUUUUCUCCAAAAAUAAUUUAAAAUUAAAAAUAUUAAGAAGAAACUAAAAAUAUUAUAUGGAUAGCAAUACAUUACUGGGUUGCCCCCAACCACUACUUCUUUUAUGUCAAUAGCUUGAUGUAUAAAUUUUCAGCCACCUUUAUGCAUCAACAUGUUUUCCCUUAAUGAUUGAAUUACAAUGCUCUAUUGGGUUGGUCUCAGUAUUGUUAGAGAAUGUUCCUUUUUCUACUAGUUGAUUUGUGAACUGUCCAAUUUGAAUUUCUAUGUUCUUAGAGAUGUAUUUGUAUUUUUAUGGUUGGGCAUAGUAAUUUGCGUGAACUGAUUGAAAGUGUCUUCUAACCUGCCAUUCCUGUCCUAGUUAGGAUACUGAAAUUGGUGUCUUUGGUAAGGUGUUGGUUUUUGAUGUUGUAACACCCUAGUUCUGACAUGCGAUCCCCAAGUCCAUGAAUACACUGAGCGUGUCACCCACAAGCUUAAACGCCCCUGCAAUGUUUUAUUCCCCCCCCCCCAAAGAGGAGACUUCCGCAACUCGAACAGAUAACCUCCAGGAUAAAUAUUCAUUAUUCAUAUGAGUCGCUACCAUUAAGCUUGUAGCUUAAUGGUAGCACCUCAAGAGAAUAAUGACUAGUUGUUCCAGAGGUCAUGUGUUCGAGUCGUGGGAGGCUCCCCUUUGUGGGAAAUAAAACACUACAGAGAGCAUUUAGGCUUGUGGGUGACACACUCAAUGUAUUUAUGGACCUGGGGUCACAUGUCAGAACUGGGGUGUUACAAAUGUGGCCCCCCCAAUGAGUUCCCUUGUUCCUUCCUCUAAGACUAAAUGUUUUGGUAGCUUUGCCUUGAAGGAUUAUUGACAAAUUUCACCACAUCUUCCCUGGGUGGAGCAUGGCAACCCUGAUCUUCGUUUUCAUCAUACAGGUACACCAAUUUCCUCGGAGAGUGUACCCGCAUGUCAUUCAAUUGUUUGGUUAAAUUAUUCAAUUUUUGUUUUACAUCAUCAAAUUGCUGUUACAUGAGACUAUUUUGGGCCAACAUAACAUCCAUUGAGCCUAAUUCCAUGAUUCCCCCUCUCCUUGGAGGUCCCCUUUGGUGUUGACCCUUUUGACCAUUCUGGGUCAUAGACUCGAUUAUAUCAAUACCCUCCUCAAGUGGCUUUGAUAAUAACUAUCCCCUAACUGUUUAAUCUAGGAUCCAUUUAUUUUGUUAUUGAAGAAUAUUGACAAAUAUAAGGUUUUGUGUUUGAGCGUCAAAUCCAUGAUUUGAGCAUUUCUUGAGCAUAGAUUUAAAUCUAUCUCGAGCUUCACAUAAAUUUUCUCCCACUCCUUGGAUAAAUGUUUAAAUAAUGGUUUUCAGAUCCAUAAUCUUUCCAUGUGGAAAGUAUAUAUGCAAGAACUUUCCUCCACUUGAUUCUAGUCAGCUUGGAUGUGAAGAGGUAGAUCAAGAAAUCAUUCCUUAGCUUUUGCAAUUAGUGAUAAAGCGAAAAGCCUCUAGAAUAUAGUUCCCUCUUCGGUUUCAGCCACACCUGCAGUUCCCACUAACUCAGAAUUUAGUUAAGUAGUAGUAUGGAUCUUCAUGGUCCAACCUUGCAAAAGGGUUAGCAUACAUUAAUUGUACUAAUCCAGUUUUCAUUUCUCGAGGCUUUUGUGUUUGAGAUGGCCUCUUUAUUCUGAUCAUAUUCCUUGAAGUGAAAUUGAUGAAGCCUCUAGUUACUUCCCAUGAAUUGGCUUCGACCCCUGAAUUUUGUGAGUUUUUGGGUUUUUCCAUUUCUUUGUUUGGUGUUGAUUGUAUUGACAAUUUGGUCUUAGCUUUUCUGUUCUUCCUCUUUAAGUUCCUUCCAGGAUCAAAGAGUAAUGAUGAAAAAAGAAUUCUUGUGGGCAUACAAAGACAAGCUAUUCCAAAGAUCAAGGUUGCAAAAAUUCAUCUAAAGGUAUGAACAAGAUUAGAUUUGAACAUAUUAGCAUAUAUGUGCUUAAACCGAAAAUGAUUUACGAAAUUUACACUUGUUUAUUGUUAUUGAACAUAAGCAUGUUGAAUUAAAAUAAUCCCUAGAAACGACAACAUUUUAUUGAAAGGAAAAAUAAGCUAUUUGAGUAUAAUCUUUGAGAAAUGGUUUUCUGUUUUCAACAAAUAAAAUUUAUAAUUUCCUUUACUAUAAACUCUUAAAUCCCUUUCGAGAUUUGACAGCAGUAUAAUAGAGUUACGUCAAACCACAAAGACUUCCAUUAAAGCAUACUUUAGUUCUUUAAAAUAUAAACAAGGAAACAUAAAGGUUGAUUUAAUGAUUUGAUUUUGUUGUGAAAAUAUAUGCAUGAAAAAUAAAGACCUACAUAUUUACAAAUUUAAGAGAAUAAUAGAUGGUUUGGACAUAUGAAUGUAAAGUUUCUUAACAUUUAAGUAUUAACAUGACUUUGAUGUAUACAUGUUAUUUCGUUGUUAUUCAAUGCACCAUACAUCAUGUCUUAACUCACCCUCCCUCUUGGGUUAGGCUUAUUGAUUUUCAAACCUUACUUAAUACACUAACCCUCAUCAAGUAUCUUUUGUAGGAAAUAAGGUUGCCACCACUUAUUUCGGAUUCCCACAUGCUUGGUAGCCUUGAAAACAUUGCUUAAAAUGGAUGCUUGGAAAUGGAAAAUAUUAUAUUCCACCAUCAUGGUAUUAGAAUAAUUGUUAUUUCUCCUAACAAAAUAAUUUUGGAUCAUUGAAAACAUAUUUUAGGAUCAAGCAAAAAUAAGCAUUAGGAGUAGAUGAAAUGAAAUAUUAGAAUAGAAACACAUAACUUGUAUAAUAAACUAAAAAUCAAUACAAAGAAUAAGAAAUGUUACAACAUAGUCCAAAGACAUGAGUUGGUUAGCCUCCUAUGACGGAUGCUUUGAACUCCAAGUGUUGAUCCAAGAAUAAGCUCCAAGAUCACACCUUUUCCAACUCCUAUUCCCCCCGAAUUUCUUAAAGGAGAACUAAAAUACCUAAGCUAAUUUAUAGAGACGAGUGUAUGUGGAAUAAUUGGAUGAAAUUGGAAUGCAUAAGAAGGUUGUAGAGGGUCCUUUAUAUAGAUAUUUUCUGACCCGCUAAGCCCCUUUUCCUAGGUGCUCAGCACCUACAGUUUUUCCAAGUUGGGGGUGCUUGGCUUGCCUAGCCAAGGAGCUGGCUAGGUUUGACCCUACAACGCUUGACUUUGUCCUACUGUGUCUCAACCUUUUGUGGGCUAGGCAAGCUCCUCACACGCCUAGUCUACCCUUCUACACACAUGCAUGGUGACACCUCCUACAUAAGCUUGCCUUGUUUUGCUCAUGGGCGACAUCAUGCUUGACUGGCCUUCCUUGUGAUGUAAGUCAUGCUUGGGACCUGUUUGGAAUCACCUUACAUGAUCUCUUCAUCAUUGGGUAAGUUACUCCUUCAAGUUUUAGCAACCUUAGCCCAUGCAUACACAGCUAGCCUACCAUUAUACUCACAUGCAUGGUGACACCUCCUACAUAAGGUUGCCUUGUUUUGCUCAUGGGCGACAUCAUGCUUGGUUGGCCUUCCUUGUGAUGUAAGUCACGCUUGGCACCUGUUUGGAAUCGCCUAGCAUGAUCUCUUCAUCAUUGGGUAAGUUAUUCCUUCAAGAUGUAGCAACCUUGGCUCAUGCAUACACGCCUAGCCUACCCUUCUACACACGUGCAUGGUGACACCUCCUACAUAAGCUUGCCUUGUUUUUCUCAUGGGAGACAUCUUGAUUGGAUGACGUUCCUUGUGAUGUAAGUCACGCUUGGCACCUAUUUGGAAUCGCCUAGCAUGAUCUCUUCAUCAUUGGGUAAGUUAUUCCUUCAAGUUGUAGCAACCUUGGCUCAUGCAUACCCACCUAGUGCAUAGCAUGCCAUGCCUAGCAGGUUAGUGUACAUUUCUUCAAUCUUAGUUUUUAUUGUUUGUUGGCUUACGACUUGGCUGUGUCCUCCUCUUCAAAUGAAAAUAAAUACUUAACUACCUAAAAAUGAAGUGGUUAUGACACAAGGAGGUGUUAGCUACUAUAUGUAUUUUAUUGAAAAAGUAAGUUAGAAGUUGAGUUUUUACUCAUGAAUAAUCAAGAUAACUAAGAUAAGAGCCAUGAAAAGUGAUAGAAAAGUAGGUACACUUUUGCACUUAUCAAUUGUCUAUAUUAUGAUAAUGACACAAAUUAAUGUAGGAAUCAAAUUAACCUCCCACUAAAGUUAAAGCAUAUCUCAUAUAGAUAACAUAACGACACGGUAGUGAUGUUGGAUAAACAAGUAAUAAUUUUGAUAAGAUCAAUUGCAUCCAUGGAAUCAGUAAAAUAACAUACCUCUUUAAAAAUCCACUCCCGCACCAUAUGAACACCAUACAUAAGCCCCAUAUGUUUUGAAUGGAGAUCAUUAGAGAUGCCAACUGAUCCCAUAAAAACAUUUAUCCACACGUCGUUGAUGUCUCACAAAAGUCUUCCAUAGCUUGACCUGCCCGAUUUUGCCAAAUAAGUGUAAUACCAAUUCUGUUAUUUUUCUAUUGAAGAAUAAUUUUAUUAUUUUACUUUUUAAACCUUCUAGUACAAAUGAGGUGCCAACUGUAGUGCUAUUCUAUUAGAAUAUUUCACAUGGGUCAUCAUUGUAUUUGCCUAUAUAGAAGGCACACAAUAGAAGGAAUGAAUAUAUAUCAUUAAGUAUCAAUUUCUCUCUCUACUCUCAUCAUUUAUGCUCUUACUUUCUUGCAACGACAUCCUUUAUGAUCAGGAUUACCUGCUGAAUUAAGGAUAUUCUCGGUAUUGAUCCCCGAAUAUCCAAAUUCGUCUCGAUUGGUAUCAAGAGCGUCGACCUAGUGUUGUGAGCAAUGGCAUCUGCUUCACCAAAAGAUCUCACCAUUGCCGAUCUAGAGAAAAAACAAGAAGAAGUCUGUGCUCGACUAGAGCAGCUAAAUCUCAUCGUGAAUGAAGGAAUGGAGGAUAUUCUCAAUAUCUUACAGGCUCAAUCACAAUAGUAUUCUAAUAAUGGGUCCUCGAGCAACAAUGACCACAACAACACUCACAGGAAUAACCAAAACUUUUAUGCAACCCAGAUUUCAAAGAUUGAUUUUCCCAUGUUCGAUGGAAAGAAACUGAAGGAGUGCUUGUACAAGUGCAAUCAAUUAUUUUCUCUAGAUGGUACCCCUAAAGAUGCUAAGGUGAGGCUUGCAUCAAUUCAUCUAGAAGAGUUGCUUUGCAGUGGCAUGUGAAUUACAUGAGAUCCAAAAUUGACAUUUACCCGACAUAUACAGAGUAUGUGGAGGAGGUGACACAUCAUUUUGGAGAAGUUUUUGAAGAUCCCCUUGUUGCUAUGAUUCAGAUCAAACACACAGGGACUGUACAUGAGUAUAUUGAUGCAUUUGAGCUGGCCCUAACCCAUGCAACUCUCUUCCCUGAACAAUCUUAGAGCAUCUUCCUGACUGGAUUAGAGAAUACAACUCAGAUGUAUGUCCGUAUGUUCCAUCCCACAUCUGUUGCCCAUGGUGGUAGAUUAACCAAGUUUCAUGAAGCAUCUAGACUAUCGGCUAAUAAUGUUAACCGAUUUCCCAACAAGCCUAUCACCCAAAUUAACGAAUACACAACUUCUAAAAUACCAAACAAUAAUAACCCAACCACAUACUCACCUACAGUCACAAAACCAUUAAUCUAGAAAACACCUCGAACCUUCUCUCCAACCGAAAUGUCUGAAAGGAAAGCCAAGGGUCUUUGUAUGUUUUGUGAUGAACCCUUCACCCAUGGGCCCCACCUUAAACAUAGGAGAACUUAGUUGUUUGUCAUGGAAGUAGAUGAGGGUGAUUGCCCAGUUGAGGAGAAUGAGACCAGUGAAGAUAAUAACACUAUUAAUGUUGAGAACACUCAAGUGGAGGAUCUACAAUUAUCUCUACAUGCUUUAACUAGCUUUCCAUCCUAUCAAACUAUGAAAGUUUGCGGGUCUCACAAUAGGAAAUGUUUACAAAUUCUGUUGGACAGUGGAAGCACUCAUAAUUUUUUAGACUUGGAGGUAGCUAAGAAGUUGGGCUGUAAAUUGGAACAUGUGACUCCAAUGUUGGUGACAACUGGUAGAGGAAAUAAAAUUCAAGCUCCAUACAUUUGCAGAGGCUUUACUUGUUAACUCUAGCAAACCACUUUCAAUGUUGAUGUGGUAGUUCUAACCCUUGGUUGUUAUGGCCUAAUCUUAGGAAUUCCUUUUCUUAAGUCACUUGGACCAAUCCUAUGGGAUUUUAAUGAGCGAAAGAUGAAAUUCAAGUUUAAGGGCAGGAGAUUUGUACUUAGGGGUGCAAAACAAUCAGGGCUCAAACUUAUCGGCAAUAAGGCUUUCAACCAAACCUUGCAAUAGGGGGCUCAACUAUGCUAUCUCAGUGUUGAUAGGUCAAGUAUUCAACCUGAAGGUUCAUUUUGUUAUAUUAUGAACACUGUUAAAGAAAUACCUCCAGAAAAUAUUAAGAUUAUGGAUACUUAUGUUGAAAUAUUUGAAUACUUGACAUAAUUACCACCUACUAGACCCAGUUUUGACCACAAAAUGCCUUUAAAGGAGGGAACAAAUCCACCUAGCCUCAGACUCUAUAGGUAUUCUUCAAUUCAUAAAGAUGUAGUUGAUAAUCUAGUGGGUCAAAUGAUAGAAAAAAAUGAUGGAUUAGACAUAGUAACAGUCCUUUUGCUUCUCUUGUGGUGUUGGUCAGAAAAAAAGGAGGACAAUGGAGACUUUGUGUGGAUUAUAAGAGGUUAAAUCAACAAACAAUCAAAGAUAAAUUUCCUAUUCCAUUGAUUGAGGACUUAAUGGAUGAGUUAGGUGGAUCCACACUUUAUUCCAAGAUGGAUUUAUAAUCCUGGUACCACCAAAUGAGAAUGGAACAUAGAGAAAAAUACAAGACAACCUUUAAAACCCAUGCUGGUAAUUUUGAAUACUUAUUGAUAUCAUUUGGCCUCACUAACGCAUCAGCCUUUUUUCAAUCACCGAUGAAUAUAAUUUUCCAUUCAUUUUUGAGGAAAUUUGUGAUUAUAUUUUGAUGACAUAUUAGUGUACAACUCUUCAUUAAAGGACCAUGUGAUCCACCUUGCCCAAGUUUUUCAAACUCUUACAGAACACCAGUUAUACUUGAGGAAGGAGAAAUGUUGCUUUGCCACCCAUAGGGUUGAAUACCUUGGUCAUGUCAUAAAUGAAGAUGGAGUGUUCACUAAUCCCACAAAAAUCUAAGUUGAUUCCAAUUGGCAUAUACCUACUACUAUCAAACAAUUGAGAGAGUUCCUAGGUCUCGAGGGCUAUUACCGAAGGUUUGUCAAGAACUUUGGUAAGAUAGCCAAACCUUUAAUUAUUUUGUUGCGCAAUGAUGGUUUUAUAUGGUCCCUCACUGCCUAUGUUGUCUUUCAAGAAUUAAAGACCGCCCUCACAACAGCCGUGUACUUGCUCUACCGAAUUUCACCAAAACUUUUAUAGUGGAGGCAGAUGCAUCUAGAACAGGUAUCAGUGAUGUCUUGAUGCAAGAAAAAAAUCCAGUAGCUUACAUUAGCAAGGUGUUGGGCCAAAACAACAAGCCAUGUCCAUUUAUGAGAGAGAACUUUUGGCAAUUGUAUAUGCUGUCCAGAAAUAGGGUACUUAUUUAGCACACAUACCUUUUGUAAUUAAGACUGACCAGAAAAGCAUCAAGUUUAUGCUUGAACAAAGGUUUAACACCCCGUUUCAACAAGUAUGGAUGUCUAAACUCAUGGGAUUUGAUUUCGAAAUACAUUACAAAGAAGGAAUUGAGAAUGUAGCAGCGGAUGCUUUAUCCAGAAAAGUUGGAGCUAAAUUGUUGUUGUUCAUGUUAAAUAAUACUCAGGAAGGCCUACUAGAUAAAAUUAAAGCUUCCUAGACUGAACAUACUGCUAUCCAAAGGCUGAUUUGUGAACUGCAGCAGAACAACCACUCACAUCCAAAAUUUUCUUGGCAUAGGGAAGAAUUGACAAGAAAAGGAAAGCUAGUGGUUGGUAUGAAUUCUGAACUACAUAAAGUAAUUCUGUAAUGGUUGCAUGAUUCUCCAUAUGGAGGAUAUUCUAGUUGAGAUGUCCCGACAUCCAUAGUCAAGUCCCUUUUUUAUGGGAAGGGAAUGAGUAAAUACAUUCAUCAGUAUGUUGGAACUUGUGAUGUGUGCCAAAGGUGUAAGUUCGACCUUGCUGCUUAUCUAGGACUACUCCAAGUUUUAGCCAUUCCUGAUAGAAUAUGUGAUGCUAUCAGUCUGGACUUUAUUGAGGGAUUACCUACUUCUUCAAGUAAACAAGUCAUUAUUGUGGUAGUAGAUAGAUUAAGAAAGUAUGCACAUUUCCUAGCCCUCUCUCAUCCAUACACAACACUUUAUGUGGCUCAACUAUUCCUUGAUAACAUAUUUAAGCUACAUGGCAUGCUUAGCACAAUUACUAGUGACAAAGACCCCAUUUUUGUUAGCAACGUUUGAAGUGAGUUUUUCCAAUUACAAGGAGUUUGACUCAACAAAUCUAGUGCGGAUCAUCCGAAAAGAGACGGUCGAACAAAGGUUGUUAACAAGUGUCUUGAUGAAUAUUCUUAUUGUCCAAGUGACUUUCUCUAGUAGAGUGGUGGUAUAAUACAAAUUCUCAUUCUUCUAUUAACACUACCCCCUUUGAGGUGGUUUAUGGCCAACCCCCUCCAAUCCAUCUUCCUUAUCUUCUAGGAAAGGUUGUUACUGUAGCUAUGGAGAGAACUCUGAGUGCAAGAGAGGCUAUUAUUUAGCUCUUGAAAUUCCAUUUAUUGAGGGCUCAAAAAAGGAUGUCACAACAAGCUAAUAAACACAAGAGUGACAGAGUUUUUGCUAUUGAUGAUCUUAAGCUCCAACCUUACAGACAAUCUUCCAUCCAUAAUGAACCACAUCACAAGCUUGUACCUAAGUUCUAUGGACCUUACAAGGUAAUUGAUCGAAUUGGUGUUGUAGCCUAUCAACUUGAUCUUCCUGGUUUAGUUGACACACAUAAUGUAUUUCAUGUAUCUCAAUUGAAAUCUUAUCGUGAUCCAAAUACCACUCCUCUAAAUACCUUGCCUGCAAUACAAGACUUGGCUAUACCUCUAAAGGAACGUGAUGCUAUUUUAGACCAAAAAAUGAUGAAACGAGGAAGAUUUGCUACUACUAAGGUAUUGGUGCAGUGGAAGAAUCAACCUAAAGAACUAGCCACAUGGGAGUUCUAUUAUGAUUUACUUUAAAGUUUCCAAAUUUUCACCCUUGAGGUCAAGGGUGCUGUUGAAGGAAUAGGCUAAGCUGGUCCUAGGCUGACCAACAAUUUGGCUAAUUGAAAGAAACCCCACCAAGUGGGAAAUGUGAGGCGCUAAGCAUGCAUGGGAGUGGGCUAAACGACCUUACUCAAACUCUAUAUAUAGACCUAUUACCCUUCAUAUCAUAUCCCAUUCUUCAGUAGCUUUAGGUACUUUAUUUUCCUUUAGAAAUUCAGAGAAAUAUGAGUGGGAAAGUAUCAUUUAGGUGAUAUUGCAAUAGGAGUCACAUGUUGCAAGUAUGAUCAACUCAUAUGGUUUUGAUGAAGACAAGGAAUGUAGGAAAGCUUGAUGAUAAAGACAACUCUACAAACAACAUGUCAAGACUCAAGGCCAUCAUAGUCUUAAGAAAAGCUUUUAUAUUUUAAAGAAGUCCUAAUGUGCUUGCUUAGAUUGAGUCUAGGUUAGGUAAACCUAGGAUGGAAGUCUCACUAGGCUUAAAAUUUGAUUUAUCUAAAAUGAGACAAAUCAUCUAUACGUACAUGAUAAAUAAUGUACAUGCAUCACAUUUUCCACACAUGAUUUUGUUGCCUCAAAAUGGUACUUACUUCAAUAUCAUGCAUUACAUACACAUUUAUCAUGUAGUAGGUUCAUCAUGCAUCAAAGAAACAUGUUUUCAACAAUACUGAUUGAUUACCAUAGAUGAUAAUCAAUUAUAUAGACCUGAGGAACCCAUUAAUCGAUUAUAUAUGGGAAUAAUGAAUUAGAAAAGUUACAGUAGCUAAGUUCUUGGAUCUCAUGGUAUCAAAUAAUCAAUUACUCAAUAGACAAUCGAUUACUUCCAACAGAUAACCAAAAUUUAGUAGCUCGAUAAUCGAUUAUCAGUUAAGAUAAUCGAUUAUACCUAAUAGAAAAUAGUUUUGUAUAAAAACUGUUUUUCACCAAUGUGCGCAGAAUAUUGGUUUUCAAAUUUUCAUAUCAUUCAUAAAAUUCUCUAAGCGAAAUCUUGUUUUGAAAAAGUGUUAAAGUUUCUUUGGGUUUCAAGAGUGAAAAGGAAUAAAUUUUACAUUCUUUUCAUAGGGUGAAUUUUGUUUUUAAACACACAAACUUUGCAUCAAUCUUCCCUUAGAAUUUAGGAUUCUUGUUAGAUUUUUAUGUAUAGGUUUGUAGUUCGAUUUAAUGUUUAAUUAGCACUUAUUAGGUGCAUACAACUCAGAUUUUAGCAGCCAAUUGAAAAUUGAAAUUCUCUAACUGUAGAGAAUUAGAGUGAAAGCGUAGUUGAGGUUAGAAGUGAGUCUUCACCUUUACAAUGGUCUUGGUUGAGAGAAAGAAGGGUCUAGGACCACACUGUGAGUAGGUCUUGAGUAUCCUAAAAGACAGGUAAGAGUUCAAACCGACUUGAGUGACUAUAGGCUCUAGAAAGGACCAUUUGUAAAGUUUAUUAGAAGUGUGUUUGCAAUAUAUGCUUUAUUCCAUUGUGAAGGAAAUCUCCCAAGAUGAAGAGGGGAGGCCUGAAUGUAGUAUGCAAGUGGACCCACAAACGAACUAGAAUAAAAUUCAUCAACACACUCUUCUAUCUCUUUAACUCUUUUAAUUUCAGUCUUUACACGUUUUUUGUGUUUAUUGAAUAUUCUUAUUGAUUCUUUUUGUGCAUAUUGUUUUUUAGCAUCUAAGAUAUUUUCAUUAUUCAAAUUGAACAGUAAAGAUUGUUUCUGGGAUAACUUGUUUAGCAAGAAAUUAUUUUGGUCAAGAUUUCAAAGAAUCAGAAUAAUCGAUUAUUACUAAUAGUAAUUGAUUAUUUUUGCUCAUAGUAAUCGAUUGUUUGGUGUGAUAAUCGAUUAUCCAGGACUAUUUUUAAAUAUUCUCAAUCAAUCGGAAAAUUGGCAUUAGUGACCCGCUAUACCUGCUCACCCCCAUCUAGGUUUCUUUUACUUUGUGUUUAUGUUAAGUGCCAAAUUGUGAGUGAAAUGUAUAUGAAUUCAGGGCACUUAGUGUGUAGUAAGAAUAUAAAUUGUGUACAACUCUUAACAACUUAGUCUAAUUUUAUCUUGUUUAGGAAUUUGCAUAUUUUUAUGUCAAUUUUAGAAUAAAAAGUUUGAAAAAGGUGAAAAAUGAGAAGUUCGGAGUUUCUGAACAAUGAACCCCUCGUCUGAGCCAUAGCCUCGCCCAAGCAAGAAGAGAUUCCCUCGCCCAAGCAAGGAACUGUUGCUCAAGUGAUAGUUGAAAAGGAAAAAGGGUGACACUCUGCCUAGCCCUCGCCCAAGCAAAACGGAAGUCCCUCACUCAAGCAAGGGACUAUCGCUCAAGCAACGAAUGAAGAUGAAAAAGGGCUAAUUCUCUACCUGGCCCUCGCCCAAACGAGGGAGGCUUGCCCAAGUGAGCUGUUCAGGAUUCAAAAUUGUUACCUCUAUCGCUCAAGCGAAAAUCUCUAGCUUGAGCGAGAGACCAGAAGUUGCAACAUAUAUAGAAAAUUACAUAUAGAAAAGUGGGGGUUACACCAUCAUUCUACCAAGUUUUUGCAUGAAAUUAGUGAGAGAAACACAAGGAAGUAAGAGAGAAGUCGUGAGAAUGACUUUAGAUCGACAAUUUCUUAUAACUCUCAUGAGAUGAAUGUUAUAAUGGGAAGGAUGUUUGGCUAAAUCUUCAGUAUUAGGAUUGAGAUAUAAUAUUCUAACUUUUGUACUCAUGGAUUCAAUUCUUAAAUGCAUUUUAUUUAUUUGAUUUUGGGAAGUUUAUCAUGUGUUUAAUGCAUGAAAUUGCUUUGCUACUGAAUUCACGACCAUAGAUCCAAGUUUAACUGGGAAGUUGAAUUUGGUAUUGAAUCUGGAUUAUCUUCCUUGCUACAUCGCUGCUCCAGGAGAGGAUAGUGAUGUAGGAAUUGCUACAUUGAACUUAAUACUAGAUAAUUGGUUAAAUAUCCAAGGAAUUGGUAUUUAAGUAAUUAUAUAAGAAUUUUGUACUCAAGAAAUUGAUACAAAUGAUUCGAAGAAAAUGUGCAUCAAAAUCUAUAACGUCACAAGUUAUAUAGAAUUGAAUCUAAGGAUUGCAAAGGGAAAGAAAGAUGAACUUCGAUCCCAACAUAUUUAAUAACAUAGUUUAAUUCUUAUAAUUUAACAACUAUUUUCAAAACCCAUAUGAUCAUAAAUAUCAAAUCUUGUAAAUACAUACUCAAUCUAAUUUCUUAGGAAUUAAUAUAAAUCCACUAUGCUCUUUGAGGACGAUAUCCCGAUAUUUACCGGUUAUUACUUGAACAAUAUGGCUCAAUUGUCGUACGAAAAUAAUCAACAAGUUUUUGGCACCACUAUCGGCAAGCAUUGAGCGAUUUAUAUUUCAAUAUCAAGUUUAUUGAGUAUUGUAAAUAUUUAUUUUUAAUUCUUGUAGUGUAAUUAACCCUUGUGCUAACCUUUGUUGUAGUCUGCUUAUUUAUGCUUUUGCCAGGUAAGGCUAUUGAAGAACAACUAUAGUACAAUCCAGAAAUCGAGAAAUUAGCCAAAAGAAAUCGUGAGAAAGCAAAAGAGAAGAGGAAGAAAGGGACUUAGGAAGCACAAGGUAGCUCUGAACAAUCAAUAAAUUCAGAGCCUCGGUUAGAGAAAAUGGAGAAUGCCAAUGCUGCUACAGGGAAUAAUGAGCAGCUUAAUACUCCAAGGAGGACAUUGGGUAUUUAUGCAAUGUAUCAAGGUCCAAGACACUACUCAAGCAUUGUUAUUCCACACACAGAGAGAAUAGUGGAAAUUAAGCCAGCAUUCCUGAAUCUGGUUAGUGCAUACCAAUCCUCUAGGAAGGAUUAUGAAGAUCCUUAUGCACAUCUAGACAACAUCUAUGAAUUGGUGGCAACAAUGGGCUAUACCGAUGCUGAAUGGGAAGCUGCUUAUAUGAUAUUGUUCUCAUUCUCCUUGUUGGGUGAAGCUAGAGAAUGGUUAAAAUCCCAUCCAACUCAGAGAUUGACUAGUUGGAGUGACUUGGAAUCAAAGUUUUUGACUAGGUUUUUCCCGCCAGCUCGUUACGUGUAUGCCAAAUUUGAAAUAUCCACUUUCAGGCAAGGUGUAGAUGAAGCAUUCUAUGAAGCUUGGGAGCAUUUUUAGAUGCUACUGAGAAAAUGCCCUAAUCAUAGUUUUAAGGAUGUGGCUAAGCUUAAUAUAUUCUGCAAUGGGUUGAAGCCUGAGACCAAAAUGAUACUAGAUUCAGCAAUUGUUGGAACAAUGAUGGUUAUGGAUGCUGAACAAGCUACAAGAAUCAUAAAUGCCUUAUCUUCAACAGAUAGGCAAACACAAAAUAGUCGGAAGAUAGUACAAAAAUGGGGGAUGCUUGAUCUGAAUACAUCGGAUGCUAUUCUAGCACAAAAUAAAAUUUUCACUUAGCAGAUAAAAGCACUUCCCAAGAAAAUGUCAAAGUUGCCACAACAACUCCAUGUUGUACAAUCUACUCCGAGUCAACUAGUGUUGAGAUGUGACUUUUAUGGAGGUGAUCAUGCAACUUGUCACUAUUCUAUGCCUAGCAACAAUCCAGAGGAAGAGGUUCAAUAUGUGAAUAAUAAACCUCGUCAAGGAAACUUCCCCAACAAUUCUUCAUAUAACAAUCAGUUCUAGCAAGGUUGGAGGGGAAAUCAGAACCAGAAUUUUGGCUGGAGGCAAGAAGCAGGAGGAUCCAUUAGGCAACCAUCAUAUCAACAGGGUUCACACCCACCAUUGCAUGAGAGACAAACAAAAUUGGAAGACACUCUGGAGAAAUUAAUGCAAGUCUCCAUCACAAAUCAGAAGAAUACUGAUGCUUCUAUCAGAAAUCUGGAGACACAAGUGGGGCAAUUAGCAAAGCAGAUGGUAGAACAACAUUCUAACCAUCAACAAUUUUCCGCCAAUACCUAAACCAACCCUAAGAAACAUUGUAAAUCUAUCACUACUAGAAGUGGGAAGGUAAUUGGUAAGGAUAUUGGUGUAAAUUUGGCGGUUUAGGAGGAAGUCAUUGAGGAAACAGAGGGUGAGUAAAGAGAUAAUCUAUUCAGAGAAGCUAAAAAGGGUGAACAUGUACAUGAAGAGGAUAGAAUUGCAAACAAGGAGGAAUCAAUGAGGGAGAAUAAUGACAAGAGGAGGAGUGAUCUGCCUCAACUGAAGGAACUCCCUUAUCCCAGGAAACUUCUAAAAAAAAUAAGGAAAGACAAUACACAAGGUUCAUGGAUUUAAUCAAGAGCCUAUACAUCAACAUUCCCUUUGUGGAAGCUAUGGAACAAAUGCCAAUAUAUGCAAAGUUCAUGAAGGAUUUGUUGACGAAAAAAAGGAAGUUUUCUGAAGAAACAGUGACAUUGGAACCUGGAUGUAGUGCUAUUAUUCAAAAGUCUUCACCAGAGAAGACUAAAGAUCCAGGUAGCUUUACAAUACCGGUUACUAUAGGUCAGUUAUCUAUGGGGAAGGUACUACUUGAUUUGGUUACUAGUAUUAAUCUGAUGCUCUUGUCCAUGUUAAAAAGGAUUGAGGAUUUAGAGAUGAAGCCUACCAUAAUGACACUGCAAUUUGCUGAUAGAUCAGUGAAGUACCCAUAUGGAGUUGCUGAAGAUGUUUUGGUCAAGGUGGAUAAAUUGGUAUUCCCUGUGGAUUUCGUCAUAAUGGAUAUUGAAGAGGACACUGAAGUUCCUCUAAUUCUGGGCAGACCGUUUAUGAAGACUGCUCGAGUGAUUAUUGAUGUGGAUGAUGGUAAGUUGAAAGUGAGGGUACAUGAUCAGGAAGUGGUUUUUAUUAUAUUUGAGGCAAUGCAACAUCUAAAGGACAAACAACAUUGUUUUAGAGUGGAUGUCAUUGAAUAAUUGUAUAUGCUUGAUGACAUUCACCUGAGUAAAAGUAGUCCACUAGAAAAAUAUGAUUGAGACAUGUAUGGCAGAGUUAGAUGCUUCCUGAGUGGUUACAUCUGCUCAAAAUCACAUUGAGGAAUUAGUCAAAGAUAAGGGAAUUGAGAUUUCGAAGGUGGAGCUGAAACUGCUUCCUUCACAUCUUAAAUAUGUGUUUUUGGAAUAUGGAGUAAAGAAACUAGUCGUAAUCAGCAGCAUAAUAUCAUCUGCAGAAGAAAAACAACUGAUAGAUGUGCUGAAGACAAAUGCAGGGGCUAUAGGUUGGACACUAUCUAAUUUGCAUGGAAUUAGUCCAUCAUACUGCAUGCACAAAAUCCACAUGGAGCAGGAUUACAAGCCAGAUGCUCAACAUCAAAGGCGUCUCAAUCCUACAAGGAAAGAUAUGGUAAAAAGGAGGUGUUGAUACUUCUAGAUGCAUGAAUGUUUUACCCCAUAUCUGAUAGUACAUGAGUGAGUCUGGUUCAAGUGGUUCCGAAGAAGGGCGGAAUGACUGUGGUAAGGAAUGAAAAAAAUGACUUGACACCUAUCAGAACAGUCACAGGCUGGAGGAUGUGUAUUGAUUACAGGAAGUUGAACCGGGCUACUCGGAAGGAUCGUUUUCCUCUACCAUUUAUGGAUCAGAUGAUUGAGAGGCUGGUUUGACAUGCAUUCCAUUGCUUUCUGGAUGGAUACUCGGGAUAUAAUCAGAUCACUAUGGAUCUAGAUGAUCAAGAAAAGACAACUUUCACAUAUCCUUUUGGUGUCUUCGCAUACAAGAGGAUGUCAUUCGGACUGUGCAAUGCACCAACCAUAUUUCAAAGGUGCAUGCUAGCUAUCUUUUCUGAUUUGGUAGAGCGAUGUAUUGAGGUGUUUAUGGAUGACUUCUCAGUUUUUGGAUCAUCAUUUGACUGUUGCUUAGAAAAUCUGGACAUCGUACUGAAGCGAUAUGUUGAAACCAAUUUGGUUUUGAAUUGGGAGAAGUAUCACUUCAUGGUGACUGAGGGAGUGGUCCUCGGACACAAGAUAUCUUCCCGGGGUAUUGAAUUUCACAAAGCAAAAAUUGAGGUCAUCAAGGAGCUUCCACCACCACAUUCAAUGUUAAGGGAAUCAAAAGUUUCUUUGGUCAUGCAGGUUUUUAUAGAUGUUUCAUAAAGGAAUUUCCUAAAAUUACAAAACCACUCAGUAAUCUACUUAACAAAGAUAUUGCUUUUCAAUUUGAAGCUAAGUGUGUAAAAGCUUUUGAAGCUUUAAAACAAAAAGUCAUUUAUGCUCCUAUCAUUGUAGCUCCCGACUAGCACUUAAACUUUGAACUAAUGUGUGAUGCCAGUGAUUAUGUUGUCAAGGUGAUACUUGCCUUUCCAUGCCAUACAUUAUGCUAGCGAAGUACUAAAUAAGGCACAGAUCGAUUAUGCCACAACAAAGAAAGAAUUGCUUUUCCAUGCCAUACAUUAUGCUAGCGAAGUACUAAAUAAGGCACAGAUCAAUUAUGCCACAACAGAGAAAGAAUUGCUAGCGAUUGUGUAUACUUUGGAAAAGUUUAGAUCUUACUUGAUUGGGUCCAAGGUCAUUAUUUUAUCUGAUCAUGUUGCUAUUAAAUAUUUUCUAACCAAAUCAGAUUCAAAACCGAGAUUGUUGCGAUGGGUGUUAUUAUUGUAGGAAUUUGAUUUGAUGAUCAAAGACAAGAAGGGGAGCGAGAAUUGUGUGGCAGAUCACCUAUCAAGGUUGGUCAAUCAUGAGGUGACAGUAAAAGAAGUUGAAAAUGGUGGAGGGGUUUCUAGAUGAGAAACUUCUCAUGAUUCAAGAAAGGCCAUUGUUUUUUGAUAUUGCAGAUUUCAAAGCUACAGAGGUGAUCCCUGAUGAUUUCAACUGGCAUCAAAAGAAUAAAUUCUUAAGAGACUCCCGCCAGUAUGUUCGGGAUGACCCACAUAUUUUCAAGAUUGGGUCUGAUGGAUUGUUGAGGCGGUGUGUUUCAUCAGUAGAAGCCAAAAGUAUCCUAUGGCAUUGUCACUAUUUUCCAUAUCGAGGACACUUCAAUGGAGAGAGGACAACUGCCAAAGUCUUCCAAUCUGAUUUCUAUUGGCCUGCAGUAUUCAAAGAUGCACACCACUUUGCUCAACAACGUGAUAAUUGUAAGAGAUCAGGCGAGAUCUCUAAGAGAAAUGAAAUAUCGUUGUACAAUAUUCUGGAGAUUGAGGUUUUUGAUUGUUGGGGAAUAGACUUCAUGGCACCAUUUCCACCAUCGCACUCACAUUUAUGCAUACUUGUGGCGGUGGAUUAUGUGUCCAAGUGGGUUGAAGCUAUAGUUUCACCAAAAGAUGAUGCCAAAACCAUAGUGAAAUUUUUGAAGAGAAAUAUAUUUAGUCCAUUUGGCACACCUCGGGUUCUUAUUAAUGAUGGAUGAUCACACUUCAGCAAUUCACAACAUGAGAUGGUCCUUCAACAUUAUGGAGACCGACACAAGCUGGCAUCUCCUUACCAUCCACAGACAAAUGGACAAGCAGAGGUAUCCAACAGAGAGAUCAAAAGAAUCCUUGAGAAAACUUUCUCAACCUCAAGAAAGGAUUGGUCUCUCGAACUAGACGAUGCACUAUGCGCUUAUAGAACAGCAUUAAGGACACCUAUUGGUCUAUUGUUGAAAGAGUUUUUCUCAGAGGUAUUCCCCCUCAACAGAUUGUCCCCAACAACGGUGAUAAGUGUCAAAUAUACCUAAAAUUCAUACAAUUUUAUGGCACUUAUCUUAAGCAUAAUUGAGAAAAACCAACUUAAACAAUACUUUUUGUAUAAAAUUUUGUAUAAAAUAUCACAAUUUGGUAUAUUUGUGUUUGUAUUGACUUUUUAUGUAUUUUUUAGGAAAAAAGAUGAAGAAAAAAAAAGAGAAAAGAUUCAUGGUCAAUAAAGCAAAAAAGUCAAGAAAAUCAAGGUGCUCAACAAGGUAGCUGAGUGUGGAACAAGCCCCGUUGAGCUGACCUGGCCACCAGCUUGACUUGGGCACCAGCUUGACCUGGACACCAGCCUGACCUAGACCAAACUGCUCAACCAGGCAGCUGAGCGGACCUGCUUAGCUGCUCAGCCUAGCACCAGACUAGACCUGGCACGAUCAGAAAUCUGCUUGACACGAGCUUGGCACAAGACCAAGCUACUGAACAAGCUGCUCAGCGGUCCAACCAAGCAGCUCAGCGGAGAACCAGACUCCUGACCAGAUCAGCAAGCACCAAGCCACGUCUCGGUCAACACGAUCAGAAGCUGCUAAACAAGCAGCUCAACGGUGAAGCAAGUGCGCUGGGCGAUGCGUACCAGACUUGACUUAACAAUCAAGCAAACCAUGAAGUCAUCCAUGACCUCACCUCAAGUAGCCCACCAUAGGCUUUUCAGAAGUAGCUCACAAUAGUUGGUCUCAUAGCCCACAACUAGCUUUGAGGAGUCAUGCACAAGGAGGUGACUAAGCUACUUGGUCAAAGGACCAAACCCAUGCUGAAGGGUUUGCUCAGCUGCUGAGCGGUCCAACUAAGCAGCUCAGCGGUCUGGAAUGAGGCCUAUAAAUAGAAGGCCAAUUCCUUCGAGUAACAUAUCACAAUUCAUCAUAAAAUCAUCUCAAAAACACUUGAAAGAAGGAAUUCUCUCAUUAUGAACUUCUGUCAUUAGGAACUUCUCUUUGAAGUUCUUUCUUCAUUUCUUAGUUUAGAGUUUUUAUUUCAAGUAAGUUUUGUAAUUUUUAGUUUAGAAUUCAAGAGGAGAAAAGGAGAAGGCAAAGGAGAUGCAAAAAUCAAUUUUGUACUCUCAUUUGGAACUCAAAAGCAUCCAAUCCUUGGAUGGAUAGCUCAUGCUCCUAAACAUUUUCUUUUGAACUAGGUUAUGUAAUUUCUACUUCUUCUUAAUUUACAAAAGUUUGGAUUUUAAUCAUUCAAGUUGGUGCUUUGGUUAAUAUUAUUUGUUUGAAAAGUACUUAAUGCUCUUUUUAGAUUGAUCACCUAAAAAAUGAUUUCAAGUCAAUAAAACUACUUGUUUCAAACACUUAACAAAUAAAAUUUGGAGUAGUUGUACUACUUAGUUUAUUUGCCAAGUUAAGCAUGCUUUUCUUAAGAUCUUACAUUCAUCACACAUUCAAUAUUAGAGUCACCAAUGGUUAGGGUGUGACAACCUAAUCUCUUUUAUGGUCGUAGUAUUGUUUAAGUGAUGAAUAUAAGUGUUUAUGAUUCUACCAUUUUAGGAUAUACACUAAAAGGAGGAUUUCAGACCUUGGUGUUUGGGGUUAACCAAAGUAAAACAUAAGAACUUGUCUAAGUAGUUCAAACUCAAAAAGAAGAUGAGAAAUAUAUUUUCCUUAUUCAAAAAGAUCUUGUCUCCUCAAGAAUUUGUUAAUAUCUAGUUUUAUGUUUAUUGUUUACUUGUUUAUAUUCACUUUAAACAAAAACCAAUCAAAAUAUGUUNNNNNNNNNNNNNNNNNNNNNNNNNNNNNNNNNNNNNNNNNNNNNNNNNNNNNNNNNNNNNNNNNNNNNNNNNNNNNNNNNNNNNNNNNNNNNNNNNNNNCCUCAUCCUCAUCCUCAUCCUCAUCCUCAUCCUCAUCCUCAUCCUCAUCCUCAUCCUCAUUCUACACCUCAUCCUAUCCUCAUCCUCAUUCUCGUCCUGAUCCUAUCCUCAUCCUCGUCCUAAUCCACAUCCUAUCCUCAUCCUCAUUAUUGUCCUAAUCCUAUCCUCAUCCUCGUCCUCAUCCUAUCCUUAUCCUUUUCUCGUCCAUAUCCUAUCCUAAUCAUCAUCCUCUUCCUCAACCCCAUCCUAUCUUAUCCUGGUCCUCUUCCUCGUCCUCAUCCAAUCCUCUUCCUCGUCCUCCUCCUCAUCCUCCUCUUCAUCCUCCUCCUCAUCCUAACCUCAUCCUCAUCCUCAACCACAUCCUCAUCCUCAUCCUCAUUCUCUUCCUCAUCCUAUAUUCUUCCUCAUCCUGAUCNNNNNNNNNNNNNNNNNNNNNNNNNNNNNNNNNNNNNNNNNNNNNNNNNNNNNNNNNNNNNNNNNNNNNNNNNNNNNNNNNNNNNNNNNNNNNNNNNNNNUUGUAGGAGCACAAUCAAAAGUUAGGGAUUGGCACGGAAAAAGAGACACAAUUAUUUAUGAACACGAGAUUAGCAACACUCUAUAUAGAACCAGAUUGUAAGUCCCCGGACCAGUUUGAUGCCAAACAUGGAUCAACAAAGAUGACAUAUUCCAAAAAAAAUAUUAAAACAAGUAAUAAUUUUUUUCUUUCUGGUUUUAUGAUUAUUUUUCUUAGCUAGUUGCCAUUUUUUGAUAGGAUUGAUAUACAAUGAAAUAUCAAAUCUUGAGACAAGUGAUCUCCAUUCAACACGGAUGAUUAGGCAGUUUUUAUUCUCUUAGUAUGAAUCAUUGCAUAGCUUUAUAGAGAGAUAAUUGAGUUACCCUUGAUAUCCGUGUAAGUAGAAACCUAAAUUCUUGUGUUUCUUGAUGUGAUUUGGUGACUAUGAGAGACUAUUUAUAGUUGAAAAUACACUACACCAGAGUUGUUGUUCAACAACGCUUAUUUUAGAUGUAUAACAACGCUUUCGGGCGCUUUUUGUUUAACCGCAGUAGUAUAUGGUCAUCAUUAACAGCGCUUCACAAACAUUGUUGUAUUGAUUAUAUACCACAGCGUACCACAUGAAAGCGUUGUCAUAUAGUGCAUCAAUAUGACAUCACAUCGUCUACAAAGCAUUGUCAUGUAGUGGAUCAAUACAACAGUGCAUCGUCUACAAAGAGCUUUCAUAUUGUGGGUCAAUACAACAGCACAACAUCCACAAAGCGCUGUCAUAUAGUCUUAAAUAAAUAGCGCAUUUUAUAGGUCUUAUUAACAGCGCUUCUACCUGCGUUGUUGAAGUUCACAUAUUUAGCAGCGCAAUAACAUGAAAGUGUUAUUAUAUUAUUCAUAAAUCUCAAACAACACCUUAAUACAACUGCGCAUCACACGCAUAGCGUUGUUGUAUUGAUAAUGUACCACAUCACUUUCUACAAAAAGCGAUGUUGUAGUUAUCCUUUACAACAGCGCAUGUCAGGGCUUCCCCUAGAAUUCGUUGUUGAUUUGUAUAAAUUAAUACUUGCAUAUACAUUUAUUAGUAGAACANNNNNNNNNNNNNNNNNNNNNNNNNNNNNNNNNNNNNNNNNNNNNNNNNNNNNNNNNNNNNNNNNNNNNNNNNNNNNNNNNNNNNNNNNNNNNNNNNNNNAUUUGUUGAGAGGAGAAAACUCUCAACUAAAAUAAUCACCAAAUUACGCUUUCAACAAAUUGGCGCCGUUGCCGGGGAAUUGCUUUAAUAGUAACACAUUUCAUAUUUAUAUGUCAUUAAUCAAUUAAUUGUGCAUAAACUUAUUUUUUCUUCUGUACAAAUUAAUUCGUCUUUUUAACUUCGUACAAAAAUGUGGAUUAUUAAAUAUGUAUAUUAUUGAUUCACUACAUUCUUCAUGGAAAAUAGAGAGAAGAACUUUUUUUGUGCAUGAGCAGGAGUAAACAACUUGAGUUUUCUCUUGACCCUGAAAUAGAGAAAACCCUCAANNNNNNNNNNNNNNNNNNNNNNNNNNNNNNNNNNNNNNNNNNNNNNNNNNNNNNNNNNNNNNNNNNNNNNNNNNNNNNNNNNNNNNNNNNNNNNNNNNNNAAUAUCCACCUUUAUCCAGCCUUCUGGGGAAAGCCUAUGCGAAGCAUGGGAUCAAUUUAAAUCUAUGCUCAGGAAGUGCCUGAACCAUGGAUUUGACGUGCAAACUCAGAUUAAUAUUUUUAUUAAUGGACUUCAGCAGCAGCAUAAAUGGAUACUAAAUGCUACUGUAGGUGGACAAUUGAUCACCAAACCUCCGCAAGAAGUCAUUGAUAUUAUCGAAUACAUGGCUUUAAUUGAUCAGAAAAGUCAACAUCAGCGAAGGCCACCACCCAGACUAGGUGGAAUGCUUGAACUAAACCCAACUGACGCUGUUUUGGCCCAACACAAAUUGCUUCAACAACANNNNNNNNNNNNNNNNNNNNNNNNNNNNNNNNNNNNNNNNNNNNNNNNNNNNNNNNNNNNNNNNNNNNNNNNNNNNNNNNNNNNNNNNNNNNNNNNNNNNGUUUAUGCAAAUGACCAUGGCUAAUCAGAAAAACAUUGAUGCUUCUCUUAGGAAUAUGGAAAUAUAAAUUGGCCAGCUGGCCAAGCAAAUAGCUGAAAAUGAAAAAUCAACAUUUUCAGCUAACAUAGAAAUAAACCCUAGCGAGCAUAGCCAUGCAGUCCUAAGAAGUGAAUCCGGACCAUCGGGGCAGUAAAAGUAAUAAAAACUGUUGAUAGAUGUCAAGCUAAUGACAUUAAAGAAACGCUUGCUGGGAGGCAACCCAAUAUAUUUUGAUAUAUUAUAUUAUAAUAAUUCCCUUUUCUAUAUUUCUAAAUUUUGUGUUUAAAAGUAAAAUUAUAUUUUUUAGGGAUCAAAAAUUGGAAAAUAAUCUUUUNNNNNNNNNNNNNNNNNNNNNNNNNNNNNNNNNNNNNNNNNNNNNNNNNNNNNNNNNNNNNNNNNNNNNNNNNNNNNNNNNNNNNNNNNNNNNNNNNNNNUUACUCGGUCAAGCCUAGACCACUGACCCACCGCUCAACAUGGGGCUCAGCGCAGGUCUGACCAGGCCAAGUGCCUUGGAACCAAAAAUUCCUAAUAGAGGAGUUUUUCUUAAAUUUUUGACCGAAUUUCUUGACCAAAGACCUUGAUCAAUGACUUCCAACUCCUAUAUAAACACCCAUUCUUGAAACAUAAGCAUUAAGCAAAAAAAAAAUUCUUAACUCAAAAACUAUUUCUCUCAAAAUUUCAAAUUCUCUCUUCGCUUUCAUCAUGAAUUUCCAAAGUUCAUCAAGGAGAGGAGAGGAAGUCUCAAGGGAGAGCAACAACUCCAAAUUUAUCUCCAAUGAUGCUAAGGAAAAAUUCAAAGAAAUCNNNNNNNNNNNNNNNNNNNNNNNNNNNNNNNNNNNNNNNNNNNNNNNNNNNNNNNNNNNNNNNNNNNNNNNNNNNNNNNNNNNNNNNNNNNNNNNNNNNNGGGGGGACAAGACUUGAUGUAAUUUAAAAAAAAAACCUUUUUUUUACUAGAUUGUGUAAAUAUUAAAUUUGUUUGUUAAAAAAAACUCAAAAAUUUUCAAAACUGAAAACAAAAUGACUAAAACAAAAUUUUUUAAGCAUGAUCACGUGAUUAGAAAUGAUAAGCAUACUUUAAAUUAAGCUUUCAUUGAGCAAAAUGAGAUGUAUGCUNNNNNNNNNNNNNNNNNNNNNNNNNNNNNNNNNNNNNNNNNNNNNNNNNNNNNNNNNNNNNNNNNNNNNNNNNNNNNNNNNNNNNNNNNNNNNNNNNNNNGCCAAAAAGUCCAAACCAAGUUAGGAACAUCCUUUAUAAGCCCCUUUGAGCCAAACAAAUGAAAUCAAUUCUUUUCAAAUUAUUCCAUAAACCAAAUUGAAAAGAAUGAUCUCAGAGAGCAUUAAACUUUAAAAGAAUAGUUUGAAAGAAUCAAGUUGGGGGGGGGGGGCGAAAAUUGGUGGACUUUGCUUCUUAAAAGAAAAAGNNNNNNNNNNNNNNNNNNNNNNNNNNNNNNNNNNNNNNNNNNNNNNNNNNNNNNNNNNNNNNNNNNNNNNNNNNNNNNNNNNNNNNNNNNNNNNNNNNNNAUGCAAUUUAAGAGAAUAGGUGAGAUGAAAAACAAUUUUAAAUUAUUACAAACAAUUGUUUGAAAAUUUUGAAUGAAACACUUACACUUAAAAAGUUCCAAUUUUGAACUUGUGUGAAAGAAAGACUUUUGUUAGAAAACUAUUUGCUUAGGUCAAUUGUUACAUAUUUUUUAUAACAAAAGCAUCUAAAUUCUUGUUUGNNNNNNNNNNNNNNNNNNNNNNNNNNNNNNNNNNNNNNNNNNNNNNNNNNNNNNNNNNNNNNNNNNNNNNNNNNNNNNNNNNNNNNNNNNNNNNNNNNNNAUCUUCAAAGAAAAAGAAAACAAAAAGAGAUUGAGGAAAAAAAUUGAAGCCAAGGUUCAAAGUUAAAUAAGUUGAAAAUAUAAUGGAGAAAAAAAGAAGGGUAAAAGUAUUCCAUUGAGAAAUUUUCAAAAAUGCUCUCUCUGUAAACUUAGCCUUGAAAAAUCUAGAAAAACCAUUAUCCAAACCAAGCCUCAUUACAACCAAAACGNNNNNNNNNNNNNNNNNNNNNNNNNNNNNNNNNNNNNNNNNNNNNNNNNNNNNNNNNNNNNNNNNNNNNNNNNNNNNNNNNNNNNNNNNNNNNNNNNNNNAGCAAAAAAGUCAAGAAAAUCAAGGUGCUCAACAAAGCAGCUGAGUGUGGAACCAGCCCCGCUGACUGACCUAGCCACCAGCUUGACCUGGACACCAGCCUGACCUAGACCAAACUGCUCAACCAGGCAGCUGGGCGGACAUGCUUAGCCGCUCAGCCUAGCAUCAGACUAGACUUGGCACGAUCAGAAAUCUGCUUGACACGGUCAGACACGAGCUUAGCACAAGACCAAGCUGUUGAACAAGCUGCUCAGCGNNNNNNNNNNNNNNNNNNNNNNNNNNNNNNNNNNNNNNNNNNNNNNNNNNNNNNNNNNNNNNNNNNNNNNNNNNNNNNNNNNNNNNNNNNNNNNNNNNNNUGUUAAUAUUUAGUUUUAUGUUCAUUGUUACUUGUGUAUAUUAACUUCAAUUCAAAACCAUCAAAAUAUUUUCAACUCCAUUAUUUGUGCAUUGACAUAUUUAUAUGAUUUACUUUAUUAGGAAAUUCCUUGUGGUUCGACAUAACCCUAUACUAUACUACAAUUGAAUCUUGAAAGAGGUGUAAAUUAUAAAAUAGUAAAGUGUUAUCAAUAAAUUUAUUUGUUGAAAACACAAUAUACAAAAGUGAUGAAAAUAACUUACUAACUUUUAUUUAUUGUUAUUUACUUUCCACAUUUUAUUUAUUCUUGAAUACCAACCUUCCUUAAGGAAGAAGUUUGGUUUGUUAAUAAAAUGAACCCGAAAGAAAGUUAAGUGAUCUUUAUUUAUUUACUCCCUUUCGGGUUCCUUUUAUUAACAAACCAAACUUCUUCCUUACGGAAGGUUGUAUUUAAGAAUAAAUAAAUUGCGGAAUGUAAAUAACAAUAAAAAAAGGUUAGUAAGUUAGCUUCAUCAGUUUUGUAUAUUAAAAGGUGUUUCAACAAAUAAAUUUAUUGAUAACACUUUACUAUUUUACAAUUUACACCUCUUUCAAGAUUCAAUUGUAGUAUAGUACAGGGUUAUGUCAAACCACGAGGAUUUGCCUAAUAGAAUGAAUCAUAUGAAUAUAUCAAUGCACAAAUAAUGAGUGGACAUAUUUUGGUUGUUAUGGAUUUGCACAUAAACAAUUAACAAGAAAUAUAAACUAAAUUUUAACAAAUUCUUGAGGAGACAAGAUCAUUUUGAAUGAUGAAAGUAUUUCUCAACUUCUUAUGUAUUUGAACUACUUCGACAUGUUCUUAUGUUUUACUUUGAUUAACUCCAAAUACGAAGGUCUGAAAUCCUCCUUUUAGUGUAUGUCGUAAAAUGGUAGAAUAAAUCCUCCUUUUAGUGUAUGUCCUAAAAUGGUAGAAUGAUGAUCACUUAUAUUCACUACUAAACAAUACUACGUCCACAAAGAGACUAGGUUGUCACACCCUAAUCUUGGCUACUCUAAUAUUGAAGUAGUAAUGAAUAUAAGAUCUUAAGAAAAGUAUGCUUAACUUGACAAAUAAGCUAAGUAGUACAACUACUUCUUAGUUUAUUUGUUAAAUGUUUGAGACACAUAAUUUUUCAUGACUUGAAAUCGGGUUUUAGGUGAUCAAUCUAAAAAGAGCAUUAAGAACUUCUCAAACAAAUAAAAUUAACCAAAGCACCAACUUGAAUGAUUAGAAUUCAAAUUUAGAACAAAAGAAGAAGAAGAUAUACAUAAUCAACUCUCAAAUGAAAUUAUUAGGAGCAUGAGCCAUCCAUCCAAGGAUUGGAUGCUUUAAGUUCCAAAUGAGAUUACAAAAUGGAUUUUUGCAUCUCAUUUGCCUUCUCCUUUCUCCUCUUGAAUUAUAAACUAAAAACUAUAAAACUUAAUUACAAAAGCUUCUAUGAACCGAGAUUUCAAACUAAGAAAUAAGAAGAGAGAAUUGUGUUUUUUCUUAUUGGAAGAAGUAGUUCUUAAGGCCAGAAGUUGUUUUGAAUGAAAGAAAUGCCUUCCUAUUUAUAGAAUUUUCCUUGCCACUAUUGAGCUACUUCUUUGUAGUGCUCAGCAGCUGACCAAACCCUUCAGCAUGGGUUUGGUCACUUGAUCAAGUAGCUUGGUCACCUCCUUAAGCUUGACUCACUGAGGCUAGGUGUGAGCUAUGGGACCAGCUAUGGUGAGCUACUCCUAAAAAGCCUAUGGUGGGCUACUUGAAGUGAGGUCAUGCAUGACUUCAUGGUUUAUUGAUGGCUAAGUUAAUUUUGGGUGCACACCGCUGAGAACACAUGUGGCACCACUAAGCUGCCUGCUUGAGCAACUUUGACCGUGAUGACUAAGACGUGGCUUGGUGGUUGUUGACUUGGUCAGGUGUCUGGUUUACCGUUGAGCACACAUGUGGCACUAUUGAGUUGCCUGCUUGAGCAGCUUGGGCGUGUGCCAGGCUUGUGUCUGACGGUGCCAAGCUUGUGUUCUGACCGUGUCAGGCUUUGUCUGAUGCUAGGCUGAGUGGUCAAGCAGGUCUGCUAAGCUGCCUGCUUGAGCAACUUGGUCUGUGCCAGGUUGGUUUGACUGAGCCAGGUUAGGUCUGACCGUGCCAGGCUAGUGCCAAGGUCAGCUCAUCGUAGCUUGGUCCAUGCUAAGCUGCAUGCUUGAGCACAUUGAGUUUGACUUCUUUUUCUUCUUGGACCAUGAGUCUUUAUUCUCGUUUCUUUUUCUUUCUAAAUCCUACAAAACACAUUAAAGAUAAAUACAAACACAAAUAUACAAGAUUGUGAUAUUUGAUCCAAAAAGUAUUGUUGUUAAGUUGGUUUUUCUCAAUUAUGCUUAAGAUAAGUGUCAUAAAAGUGUAAGAAAUUUAGGUAUAUUUGGCACUUAUCAUCUAUCUCCUUAUCAACUGGUUUAUGGAAAAGCAUGUCAUCUCCUGGUGGAGCUUGAACAUAAAGCAUAUUGGGCGUUGAAAUUCUUCAAUAUGGAUCAUAAGGUAGUUGGUGAUAAAAGAAAGCUACAGGUGCAAAAAUUGGAGAUGAGACUCGUUGCAUAUGAGUCCUCCAAGUUGUAAAAGGAAAAAAUGAAAAUGUACCACUAUCGGAAGAUUCGUAAAAAGCUUUUUGGCCAGAUCAAAGUGUUUGUUGUUUAACUCCUAGACGAAACUAUUUCUAGGAAAACUCAAGUCAAAAUGGCCAGGACCCUUCCUAGUUAAGGAAGUCAAAGCGCAUGAGGUGAUCGAGCUAAAAGAUCCAGCAUCUCAGAGAAGUUGGAUAGUCAAUGGCAAAAGAUUGAAACCAUAAUCGGGUGGUGAUGUCGAGCGACUAACCACAAUCAUCACCUUGUCAAGCGUUUAAAAGAACAGGCGUCAAGCUAAUGACGUUAAACAAGCGCUACCUAGAAGGAAAUCUAGUUUUACUGCUUUUGAUUUUUAUUUUAUGUUGUGUAAAAAAAUAUUUUAAUCCUGAGGCUUUCGACCAAGCAAGAGAGCCUCACUUGAGCGACAAUUCAAGGGUCAUUCCCUUUGUAGAGCCUCACUUGAGCGACAAUUCAAGGGUCAUUCAGCGAGGGAUCCUCGCUCUAGCGAGGGAUCCUCGCUCUAGCGAGGCAUCCUCGUCCAGGCGAGGAUAUCAAAAUGAAGACCCUAACUUACUAGGCCUGUCUCGCCCAAGCCAGAGACCCUCGCUCAAGCGAUGGUAUCAGGCCCUAAUUUCUAAUUCUCUUGCUCAAGAGAGAGUCCCUCGCUUAAGCAAGAGGGCACGAGCUUAGAUUUUAAAAAGGGGGGAUUAGGGUUCGAAACCUUCAUUUCCCCCUUUCAAAAUCAAAAUAUAAGGAGACGAAAAUCUCCCCUAAGAGCUCCAAGUCAACUUCAUCUCGCGCACAUUCACUCAAGCUUCAUCAUUCAUCAUGUAAGUGCACUCUAGAUCCUCUCACUUCACUUUACUCACUAGGGUUUUUUCACCCUCCUUUUCUAUGGUAAAUGUCAUACCCAUUUGUGAUUUAGGCACAUUUAGGAUUGCAUAAGGUGUAAAAACACUUCAUUUUCAUGCUUUACAUUCAUUAUGUGAGUUGCUGUUGAAAUACCAUGAGUGUACCAAAAUGGAACCUAGGGUUUAAAGUUCAAGUUUGAAAAUCAAUGAAAGUGGUGCAUUCAUGUGUUCUUGAGUUGAAUAAAGUAUAGUGGUGUGGUAUGGGAUCAAAUGAAUGUCAAUGUCAUGUUCCCAAUAUUUCUAGGAUUAAAAUGCAUGUGUUGUAUCUUGUCACUGAUGUGUUGGAAUUUAUCUGCUUAUUGCAGGAGAAGAAAGACAUUGGCACAUAAAGAUCCCCCUCCUCCCAAGAAAUCAAAGGGAAGAUCCACUUCAGCUCUAUUUGAUCGAAUGAAGUUCACCUCCAAUGAGAGGGAGGAGAGGUUUAUGAUCCUCCUGCAUUAGAUGUUUGUAGUAGAGCCGCGGGUCCAAAUGAUAAAUUUGACCCUGAAGUGGUUAGAGAAUUUUAUGCUAAUGCCCACCUGUUAGAGGAGGGAGAGAAGAAUUUGCACAUAAAUCAUGGGUUCGAGGCACAACAAUCAAGUAUGACAGAGAUUCUAUCAAUGCCCUAUUAAACAGCCCCCAUGAGCCGAACUGAGGCAUAUGACUAUCACAACACAUUAUUGGACCACAACGAUGGGUUUCACAAUGACACCAUGGCUACACUCCCAUGCAUCCCUAGGAGGUUAUACAACACCAACAGUGAUGGGCUACCACUGCGAAUAUACAUGAAGCACGUGAAUACUCUUGCAUACAUCUAGAUGAUCUUUCUGCUGCACAAUGUCAUUCCAAACAGUCAUGUGUCUUCCUUACUCAUGAAUGACUGUCACCUCAUUUUCAGUAUUUUGAUGAGCAAGAUCCUCAUUUUCAGAAUCAAGGCCAGACACAUUCAUCCUCACACCAAUAGCCACCCCAUCAUCAAUAUCAGAUCUUCACAAUGGACCAGAAAGUUGAUCGGCUUACACUUCACAUGGAGCAUUUAGAGCUCCAGAAUGAUAUGAUGAUGCAAAGGCAGAUGCACCAACAAUAGAGUUUGUAUGCAACCAACCAGUUUUAUUAUCCAGACAACCAAUUCAGGAUGAGCCUUGAAGAGUUUACCAACAGUUUCCCAAGACUUGGGGUCAGGUCUACAUUCCUGGGGGGUAGGAGAUGAAGAUAAUGCUGAAGAGGAUGAGAUGCUAUAACUGAACCACCGAGUUUUUCUAUUUAAUUUCUGUAUUUGUUUUUAAGUUUAAUUCAUGUAUUUCAAUUCCAAGUUAUAGUUUCAUGUUUAGGUAGUAGGCUAGAUGUAAUGUGUGAUAGUCUCGUUGUGUGCUUAAGUUCAGAAAACAUGUUUAAGUUCAAAGAGUUGUAUCUGGUAAAAUGAAAAUGUUUUUGUUUAAUCCAAUUGUGCCAUCAUGUUAAAAACAAAAUGAAAAUAAAAACAUCUGAUUGAAAAUGAUUAAGGUUCUAAGUUCUACUGCUUUCAGGAUGUGAAUGUUGAUUCAGACACAGGCUGAAUAUGUUGAAUAAUGAAGAGUUUGAUCAAAGGAAUGGAGCCUAAAACUUGGUGAAAAAGAGUGCACCCAAACACAAUGAGUGUCUUUGCUGGAUUUCAUCAGUUAUCUUUGUCUGAUUUUUGGUUGCCAUUAAGCAUGGAAUAACAUGGAUAUGACUAAGGCCUAGUCUAGGAUAGAUAAGCUACAGCCAGAAAUUUAACCCGUAUAAAUUAUGAAUCCAAUUUUAGCCCCUUUGAGUUGUAAAUUUUUUAUCGGAAAUCAUGCACCCAAGACAAAUUGAAAUACAUCAAUCCCCAUACCUAUGGAGAAUGAUCAUUAGUGCAUAUGGUUUUUGUUAUAUUGGGCAAUAAAAUUGUGAAUGAUGUCUCUGAGUGGGGAAGCAAAACUGAAGAAAGAAAUUCUCCUUCCUCACUUAUGUCUGAUUGAUAAGCAUGAGGAAAUGAAAGAUAAUUGAAGAAGAAAAAAUAAAAUAAAUCAUGCCAAAAAGAAAGUGAGGACUCAAAAGAAAGAGUCAAUUGAGGAAGUAGAAUCAAAAUGGUUAGUAGUUUAAAUGAGAAUGAGGUAUAAGAAAUUUGGGAGUGAAAUCCAGUAAAUAAGUGAAGGAAACAUGGAUAUGCACUAAUGGUCAAUCUCCUCCUUUGUAUCCUAGAAAAACAAAGUUUCUUUGUAGCCAGACCACAUUACAAUCCUAUGUUAAGUCCUUAAGAUCCAUGGUUAAACUUGUGUACAUGGCUUGACUGAAAUCAAGGGCAAAGUCAAAUUGUUUGAAUCCAACAAAUAACGAGUGAAAUACUUAACCUGUGAGCAUGAGAGAGUUCAUUUGAUUGAAUUGAGUAGUAAUUCUUAUUAUUCUAUUCGAAAUUGAACUGCAUAUAUAUUAUGUAUCAGUUGGAACUAAGGUCACUAUGACUGAUCAUGAAACAAGUUUCUAUGAAAAAGUAAGUGAAUGAAUUUGCAUGUUGCCAUGAUUGAAUGAAAACUUUAUGGAAAAAAAACUACCAGAUCCUCUUAAUUGAACUGAACUUGGUUACUUUGCUUGAGGACAAGAAAGAUUCUAGGUUGGGGGAGUUCGUUAAGUGCCAAAUUAUGACUGAAAUAUAUAUGAAUUCGGGUCACUUAGUGUGUAGUAAGUAUACAAAUUGUGUAUAACUCCUUAAAACUUAGUCUAAUUUUAUCUUGUUUAGGAAUUUACAUAUGUUUAUGUCAAAUGUAGAAUAAAAAGUAUGAAAAAAGGAGAAAAAAAGAUAAGUUUGGAGUUUCUGAACACUACACCCCUCGCCUAAGCCACAACACGCCCAAGCAAGAAGAUAUUACAUUCCUCGGGCGAGGGAAUGUUGCUCAAGCAAUAGUUGAAGAGGAAAAAGGGUGACACUCUGCCUAGGCCUCGCCCAAGCAAAAAGGAAGUCCCUUGCUCAAGCGAGAACUGUCGCUCAAGUGACGAAUGAAGGUGAAAAAGGGCUAAUUCUCUGUCUGGCCCUUGCCCAAGCGAGGGAGGCUCGCCCAAGCGAGCUGUUUAGGAAUCAAAAUGGUUUCCUUUCUCGCUCAAGCGAGAAUAUCUAGCUUGAGCGAGAGACCAAAAGUUAGAACAGAUAUAGGCAGUUACAGAUUGAAAGGUGGGGGUUACACCAUCAUUCUACCAAGUUUUUCCACGAAAUUAGUGAUAGAAACACUAGGGAGUAAGAGAGAAGUCGUGGGAACGACUUUAGAUCGAUAAUUUCUUUCAAUUCUCAUGAGAUAAAUGUUAUAAUGGGAAGGAUGUUUGGCAAAAUCUUAUGUGUUGGGAUUGAGAUGUAAUCUUCCAACUUUUAUACUCAUGGAUUCAAUUCUUAAAUGCAUUUUAGUUAUUGGAUUUUGGGAAGUUUAUCUUGUGUUUAAUGCAUAAAAUUACUUUGCUACUGAAUUCAUGAUCAUGGAUCCAAUUUUAACUAGAAAGUUGAAUUUGGUAUCGAAUUUGGAUUACCUUACUUGCUACAUCACUUCUCUAAGAAUGAAUAGUGAUAUAGGAAUUGCUUUUACAUUGAACUUAAUGCUAGAUAAUUGGCUAUAUAUCCAAGUAAUUGAUAUUUAAGUAAUUAUCUAUGAACUUUGUAAUCAAGGAAUUGAUACAAAUAAUUCAAAAAAAAUGUGCAUCAAAAUCUAUAACUUCACAAGGUAUAUGGAAUUGAAUCUAAGGAUUGCAAAGGGAAAGAAAGAUGAACUUCGAGCCCAACACAUUUAUUUUCAUAGUUUAAUUCUUACAAUUUAACAAAUAUUUUCAAAACUCAAAUGUUCCUAAACAUCAAAUCUUGUAAAUACAUACUCAAUUUACUUUCUUAGGAAUUAAUACAAAUUCACUCUGCUCUCUGAGGACGAUAUCCCCGUGUUUACCGGUUAUUACUUGAACAAUACGGUUCACUUGUCGUAUGAUAAUAAUUAACAGAUUACCCAACAAGUGAUAACAGAGCUACUACAAUAGUGCUAGCUUGACCGCUUAGAUCGUUGAUCCUUGGCAAAAAAACCGUCUCUAUAUGCUCAACUAACCCUUUUGACUGCGAUAGCGCAUCCAUCAACCACCAUCUGGUUUUCAAUGGCGAGUGGUAGCCUACUAGAAAUUACACAUGAGGAUAUUUAUUAACGCUAUUGACACAAACAUUUGGGAGGUUGUAGUCAAUGGUCCUUACACUCCACUACACCUAAUGGAUGGUAAGACUAAAGAAAAACCUAAAAUUUUGUGGACGGAUGAUGAAAAAUGAAAAGCCCAACACAAUUUAAAAGCUAAAAACAUCAUCACAUCUGCACUCUCGUAUGACUAGUUAUUUAGAGUCCAUAAUGUAGUAGUGCUAAGGAAAUAGGGGAUACCUUAGAAGUAACCCAUGAAGGCACAAGCAAAGUCAAGCGCGCGAGACUGAAUGCCUUAAUAGAUGAGUAUAAAUUAUUUAGAAUAUUUCCUAAUGAAUCAAUUAGUGAUAUACAAAAACUGGUUUACUCAUAUUUUUAAUCAUUUAGUUGCAUUGGAUAAAUGUUUUUCCAAAGGUGAACUAACAAAUGAAGUGUUGAGAUGUCUAGACAGGUAUUGGCAACCCAAGGUACGGCCAUGAUGGAGUCAAAAGACAUGGAUUCAAUGUCACUCGCUACACUUUUUGGAAAACUGCAAGAACGUGAAAUGGAGUUAGGCCGCUUGACAUUACAUGAAGAAUCAGACAAAAUAAAGAAGGGCAUCUCUCUAAAAGCCUCAACAUCACAAAUCCAAGAAGAGAGAUUUGAUGAUGAUUCUGAUUCAAAUUUCGAUGAUGAAACCAUAACGCUUCUAGUACAAAAAUUCAGCAAGUUCCUUAAGAUGAAAGGUGGGCUAAAAGGUUUCAACGAAAAAGAGGCGAAAGACUCGACCAGAAAAGGCAAGGCUCCCAAGGAACACCUCACUUGCCACAAUGUGAGAAAGUAGGACAUAUGCAAUAUCAAUGCUCGAACUAUCUCAAAAACGUUUAGAAUGUCAAGAGCAACUCUAGGGACUUCAAAUAGAAGAAGGUUUACAUUAUAUGGGGUGUUCCCAAAGAGGAGUCAACAUCGAGCACCUCAGAGGAGGAAGAAACGGAGAAGUUGUGCCUCAUGGUUAACACUCAAGUUUCUUCCAACUCAAAUGAAUUUGGAGAAUAUAUUGAGGUGCAAUCUAUUGGAACUAAAUGAUAUUCUGAAAAGUUCACCCACAUAUGAUGAAAUAUAUGGUGCCUAUGUUGAACUACAUGAAGAAUUAAAGAAGCUUGCUAGAAUUAACAUAGUUAGAAAAGGGGUCAUUCUUUUGCAUGAAAAGAACUAGUUGAAAUGCUUCAUGAAUUAGACGAAUUAAAACUAGAAAAUGAGACUCUUGAUUUAAUGUAUGCUUGUGCUUCAUGUAAUUGAUCUUAUAAUAUUAUUGAGAAAAUCUUAGAAGCUGGAAUUCUGUUUUAAAGAAGAAAAUUGCAAAAUUCACAUAUACUAGUCAAAACCUAGACAACUUACUUGCUACUUCAAGAAACAUUGGUAACCAGAUUGGUUUAGGCUAUAAACAUGCUAAGAAAAGAAGGUCAUAUAGGAAGAAAGUAGCUCAUAUGAGGAUGCAAGCGCAUGAAUAAGCAGAUAGUGUAUACAAGCAUGCAUCACAUAGAUUUCGAUGAAGACAAAGGUUGAUGAAAGAUAGAGUUUGAUAAGAUCGACAAAAAUGAUUGUAUAUCAAGGAAAAACUUGAAGGAAUGAACAAAUCAUCAAACAAUAAAGUAAACAACAAAGUCAAGACUUAAGUUCACGUAAGCUAAAGCAUUAAAGAAGAUCUAGAGGCUAAGUGUUUUAUAUCUUUAUUAGGUCUUAAGAUGUUUUCUUAGAAAGAGUCUAGGCUAGGAUGAACCCUAAUGGAAGUCUCACAAGCUAAAAUCAAUCAUAACUAAAAUGAGACUUACAUGCAUAUAUACAUGAUUUAUAUGCAUAUGCAUACAUACAUGAUCAUAUGAUUUUGGAUGCAUUUACAGGAGGUUCAUAUAUCAUUGAAAUAUCUUUUAGUAAAACCUAUAAUUGAUUAAGAGAUAUUUCAUCAAUUAAGCAUUGAAUUCUUGGGAAUUUGUUAAUCGAUCAAAUAUGGGUUUAAUCGAUUAAGGGUUAUUACAAUUUCUAGUUUCUUGUAUUUUAAAGAAUUGAUAAUCGAUUAAGAUUUAGUGAUAAUCGAUUAACUGCAGCAGAAAACAGAAUUGUAUAUAAACUCAAGUUUUUCAUAUUGCUUCAUAAGAUAGAUUAAUACAAUUUCAUAGAAGAUAGAACACAUACACUAAAAACAAAUUUCACAUUGUUCUAAAAAUCAUUGUUCUUUCACUUUCAUAUCUUUAGAGAGAUUUUCAAAGUGUUCUGUUGAAAAUGAGAAAAGGGAUAAUCUUUAGAAAGAUCUCCAAAAUGAGCUUCAUUGUCCAAUCUUUUGUAAAAAGAUACCUUGCAUCUACCGUUUUCUGUAUUAUGAUUGUGAGAUUUGUGGAGGGGUUCCUAGAUUCGAGAAGAAUGAUUUUUCUGCAUAUUUAGGUGCAUCAAUAACUUGAAAGCUAGUAGGCAAGGCAUAAACAUAUUCUCUUGGUGUGUUUAGUAUCACCAUUAAAAGAGAGUUGGUUUGGGAAACACCUAGUUGCGUUUAGGUAAGUGUCUUCACGAGAGCAAGAGGUAUUGGUUCAAGUGAAACGGAGGUUGGGGUUAAAUUCGCGAAAGGUGUGAGUAUCUGAGUAGUCAAACCAAAGUGAGAGGCUUAUCAGUUCCAAGAAAGGAGCGUCUUGAUUCUUGUAUUGGAAGUUUAUUUGUAAAAGAACCUAUGAAUUCCAUAGUGAAGAAAAAUCUUCCAAGAUCAUAAGGGGAGGCAUGGAAGUAGUUUUCAAGUGGACCCGCAAACGAACCAGGGUAAAAGUUGUGUCUCAUUCUUAUCAACCCUUAACUCUUUACAUUUACGUAUUACAUGAUUUACUUAACUUGACAUGCAUAUCAUUCUGAGUUAAUUUCAUAUUUUGUUCUGUGCAUUUACUGUUCUUAAUCAUCUAAAAUAUUGCAUAUAAGUUUAGUUGAAUCUUGGAUAUCACAAAAAACUAUUUUUCAUAGAACAAGAACUGAAUACUCGAUUAGGUUGUUGAGUUAAUCAAUUAUCUGCAGAACUAGUUAAUCGAUUAUAGCUAGUAUUAAUUGAUUAAACAGUGAGUGAAUUUGUAUAAUAUGUUUAUUUAUCGAACAAUGAUAAUUGUGUACCAUAUAACCUAUUCAUCUCCCAUUUAGGUGAGUUACAGAGCCAUGUGGAAUCAAACAUCAUACUCAUAAGAAGGCCAUACAUCCAUUUCUUGCAAUAUUAGAAGGCAUGAAGUGCCUAGUGGUAAAUUUUUAUGGAUACAAAAGGGGCUAGCUUCUCGGUUACUAACAAAAAGGGACCCAACAAAAUUGGGUACGUAAAAGUGUCAAGUAAUUUUAUUUUGUAGGUAUGCCUCCAAACACAUGGACAAUAUUGGUACCUUGGCAGCGGUUGUUCGGGGCAUAUGACAGGUGAUAGGCCUAAAUUUCUUGAACUGUCACUCAAAGAAAAAGGGUAUCACAUACGGCUAUAACAAUCAAGGAAAAAAAACUCGGAGUUGGUAAGAGAGGUAAUGCUUCUUAAGAUAUCAUCGACAAUGUCCUUUACGUCGAAGGGUUGGAGUAUAACUUGCUGAGCAUAAGCCAUUUAUGCGAUAGAGGUAACAAAAUGUCUUUCGAUUCUAAGUGUUGUAUUAUUCGUGAUGGCAUAGAUAAUAAGGUUAAAUUUAUUGGUCAUAGAAUUAACAAUAUUUAUAUGGUUGACUUGGAAGAUCACACUUCUUUAUUUUAAAAAUGAUUUAUUACAAAGGAAAAUGAUAUUUGGGGUUGGCAUCGGCCAGUAGCACAUAUUCACUUCAAACACCUAGAAAAGUGUCAACUGAAGAAUUAGUAGUUGGGCUAUAAAAACUGAAUUUUAAAACAAAUGACAUUUGUGACACUUGUCAAAAGUAUAAGUAUAUCAAAAACUCUUUUUCUACGAAAACUAUGAUAUCCACAACAAGGUCAUUGGAAUUACUCCACAUGGACUUGUUUGGACCAUCAUAAGUUAUGAGUUUGGUGGUAGCUAGUACGCGCUUGUGAUAGUUGAUAACUUUUAUAGAUUUACAUGGACAUUGCUCUUUGCCUUCAAAAGCGACACUUUUAAAAACCUUGGCAAACAACUCCAAAACCAAUUUAAUCAUAAAAUUGUGUUUAUUCGAAGCAAUCAUAAUGGUGAUUUCGAAAACCACAUGUUUCAUAAAUUCUGCGUGAAACGUGGAAUCAAACACCAAUAUUCUACUCCUUGAAACCCUCAACAAAAUGGAUUUGUUGAGAGGAAGAAUCGAGUCUUAGAGGAGGUGGCUAGGACUAUUUGAAUGAGAGCAAGGUUCCAAAACAGUUUUUGCCCAAUCUAGUGCAUACCACGUGCUAUGUGAUUAAUAGAGUCUUGGUUAGGCUUUCACUUUCAAAAACACCUUAUGAAAUAUUAAAAGGCUGAAAACAAAAUCUCUCACAUGUUUAUGCUUUUGGAUGUAAAUGUUUCAUACUUAACAAUGGAAAAGAACAAUUAGGAAAGUUUGAGUCAAAAGCAUAUGAGGAGAUAUUUCUAGGUUAUUCUAUACAUAGUAAGGCUUGUAGAGAUUAUAAUAAACACACUAUGCAUGUAGAAGAGUCUAUUCAUAUACAUUUUGACGGAUCUUCUUCAAAAGAGAAGAGAAGGUUGCUUAUGGUGAUGUUUCAGGUGCUUUAGAAGACGCUUAUACAAAAUAUGUGGAAACGGAAAAAGUGGUUUACAAUGAUCAUGAAGUAAGUCAAGAUCAUUAGGAUAUGCCUAAGGCGUGGAAAAUAAAGAAAGACUGCCCCAUCGACAAAGUGAUAGGUGACAUUUCUAAGAGAGUGGUAACCCAAAACUCUUUAUGUAAUAUUUCGAAUUUUGUUUCACAAAUCGAGUCGAAAAAUAUAAACAAGGCCUUAGAGGAUGAGUACAUGGAUAUAGCUAUGCAAGAAGAGCUAAACCAGUUCAAGAAAAACAUUGUAUGGGACUUCAUCCCUAAGGCAAGCGAUCAUCCUAUCCUUGGCAUAAAAUGGGUCUUUCAUAACAAAUUGGAUGAGUUGGGCAUGAUAAUUAGAAACAAAGCAAGACCAGUGUCUCAAAGGUAUAAUCAAGAAAAGGGAAUAGAUUAUGAUGAUACCUACGCUCCUGUUUCUAGGUUGGAGGCCAUUAGAAUAUUAUUAGCCUAUGCAUCUAUUAUGAAUUUCAAACUCUUUCAAAUGGACGUAAAAUGUGCUUUCUUGAAUGACUACAUUCAAGAAGAGGUAUAUGUUAACCAACCACCCAAUUUUGAAAACUUUAAAUAUCCAAACCAUAUUUUUAAGCUUAAAAAGGCUCUUUACGGUUUGAAACAAGCCCCAAGGGCUUGGUAUGAAAGACUAAUCUCAUUUCAUUUAGAAAAGGGGCUUAUAAGGGGUAAGGUCGACACCACACUUUUUAUGUCUAAAUCUAAAAAUGAUAUAUUGUUAGUUCAAAUAUAUGUAAAUGAUAUUAUUUUUAGUGCUACUAACGAUGUUUUGUUUAGACAAAUUUUGGAUUUGAUGAAAGGAUAGUUCGAGAUGUCUCUGAUGGAAGAAUUAACCUUCUUCCUAGGGUUGCAAAGAAAGAAAUUGAGCAACAAGAUCUUUGUUCACCAAUCGAAGUAUUGUAAGGAGCUUUGAAGAAAUUCGAUAUGGAAAAAUCAAAGGAAACUUCUAUACCUAUGGCAUCGUCUUGUUACCUUGACAAGGAUAAGAAGGGAAAAGCUUUUUAGGUAACUACAGAUCAUGGUAUUAUUGGUUCAUUGUUAUAUCUUACUUCAACUCGACCUGAUAUUAUGUCUAUUGUGUGCAUUUGUGCUAGACAAUAAUCAUCUCCUAAAGAGUCACAUUUUUCAGUUGUAAAACGCAUAACGAAAUAUUUGAAAGUAACUAUACAAAUGAGACUAUGGUAUCCUAGGGAUGCCUGAUAAGUGCCAAAUAUACCUAAAAUUCAUACACUUUUAUGGCACUUAUCUUAAGCAUAAAUUGAGAAAAACCAACUUAAAAACAAUACUUUUUGUAUAAAAUAUCACAAUUUAGUAUAUUUGUGUUUCUAUUUCCUUUUUAUGUAUUUUGUCGGAAUUAAAAUGAAGAAAAGAAGAAAAAAGGAUUCAUGGUCAACAAAGCAAAAAAAUCAAGAAAAUCAAGGUGCUCAACAAGGCAGCUGAGCAUGGAACAAACCUCGCCGCUGCACACUAGUUUGACCUGGACACCAGCCUGACCUGGACACCAGCCUGACCUGGACCAAACUGCUCAACUAGGCAGCUGAGCGGACCUGCUUAGCCGUUCACCCUGGCACGAUCAGAAGUCUGCUUGACACAGUCUGACACAAGCUUGACACAAGACCAAGCUUCUGACCAAGCUGCUUAGCGGUCCAACCAAGCAGCUCAGCAGAGAACUAGACUCCUGACCACAUCAGCAAGCACCAAGCCACGUCCCAGUCAACACGGUCAGAAGCUGCUGAACAAGCAGCUCAGCGGUGAAGCAGGUGCGCUGGGCGGUGCUUACCAGAUUUGACUUAACCAUCAAGCAAACCAUGAAGUCAUCCAUGAACUCACCUCAAGUAGCCCACCAUAGGCUUUUCAGAUGUAGCUCACAAUAGUUGGUCUCAUAGCCCACAACUAGCUUUGAUGAGUCAUGCACAAGGAGGUGACUAAGCUACUUGGUCAAGGAACCAAACCCAUGCUGAAGGGUUUGGUGAGCUGCUUAGCAGUCCAGCUAAGCAGCUCCGUGGUCUAGCAUUGAUGCCUAUAAAUAGGAGACCAUUUCCUUCGAGCAAAAGAAUCAUAACACACCAAAAAAGAUCAAAAACAAUUGAAAGAAGGAAAUCGCUCACGAGGAACCUCUCUUUGAAGUUCUUUCUUCAUUUCUUAGUUUAGAGUUUUUAUUUCAAGUAAGUUUUGUAAUUUUUAGUUUAGAAUUCAAGAGGAGAAAAGGAGAAGGCAAAUGAGAUGCAAAAAUCAAUUUUGUACUCUCAUUUGGAACUCAAAAGCAUCCAAUCCUUGGAUGGACGGCUCAUGCUCCUAAACAUUUUCUUUUGAACAAGGUUAUGUAAUUUCUACUUCUUCUUAAUUUACAAAAGUUUGAAUNNNNNNNNNNNNNNNNNNNNNNNNNNNNNNNNNNNNNNNNNNNNNNNNNNNNNNNNNNNNNNNNNNNNNNNNNNNNNNNNNNNNNNNNNNNNNNNNNNNNUAUAUAUAAAUAUAAGUAGGUAUAUCCGGUUUAACCGGUAUGCGGUUUAAUUAGUGAACCACCGAUUGAACCACUGUAUCAUUAUAUCAGUACCCUGAUCGGUUUGAUAACCAGUAUAAGUUUAACAACACUAGUUAAAUUGCCAAGUGUUAUUUUGACAGACAUCCUUGAUUGGUAGGUUAAUGUCGUGGAUGUUGGCAUAAUCAUCCAAGGAGCGUAGAGGUCCUAUGUCCAUCUAAGAAUCAUGCCAAAAAGACAAGUUUCCUCUACCAAUAUUAAUUUUGAAGAGUUUAAAAUCUGUGUAAUGACAGUGUAAAGUUUUUUAUAUUAUCAGUUUAUCAUUUAUUAUUGAUUUGUAUUACUUUUGUUUAAUAGUCAAUAGUAGUUAACAAAUCAAUGGUAUAUAAUUUGUUAACAGUGUAAAAAACAAGAAAUAUUUAGCAGUUGUAGGCCAAAUAAAGGUGCCAAACAUGUUUUCUUAAGAGGGGAGUAUUAUAAGCUCUUGCCAUUCUAACCCCCAAGUCACCAUUAGAUUUGUUUCUAGUGAUUUUUUUCAUUCUGCUAAAUGCAUGCCUCUCUGACUACUUGUAGGCCAAAUAAAGUCGUGAGUGCAAUUAUAAAUUCGUCAACCAGUUGAAUCCAAGAGCCAAGCAAAUUGCAUUUAGUAAAUCGGAACGGAAGAUAUUAUUGAAUUGGCAUGAGUCAAAUAGAAGGGGUACGUAAUUCGAUAAGAUCAUUCGAUACAUGUUUAUCCAUGAAUUCAGUCAGUACGCGCAAAAUUAUGUUACGUGGAUUGGGUUUUAUUUACAAUCCAAUUGAGCAUAACUCAGGUCUUGGACUUGAAUUUUCAAAACCAAACUAAAUCAUCAAGCCGAUCUAUAUUAUGAACACCUAGCCCAAAAAUCCCAAAAAAUAAAAAAUUUCAAAAUAUUUUUGAAUUAAAUACAAAGUUAAAUGGAUAAAAAAAAACUAUACCUGAUUAUUAAUAUCGUCAUAAUGUUUUUUAAAGAAGAGGAAAGUGUUAGUAUUUAUUACUUUAAUAAUAAAUAAUUAAAAAUUGAGAGGAUCUUAUCAUUUUAUUUAAAGUUGGGUAGGUUACGGGUUUGUUACACUAAUAAAUAAAACUAAAUGCAAAGAUAAUAAAGUAAGAUUACUCUAGAUAAUUGCGUUAAUUAAACACAAGAGAGAAACACCAUAGAAUCACAAGAGAAUAACUUGAGAUUUGUGCCGCUCCUUCCCUCCUUUCUCUUCUCAGAUACAAAUAUUCAUUUCCUGUUUAUCUUCUCUUUCUAUUUAUUUGAUUUAUUGAUUAUAUAAUUUCGAUUUUUAAUGAUAAAUUUUUUAUUUUUAUAUACUUAAGUAAUGAUGAAUUUAUUAUUUUUUGUUUCAAUUAAAUAAUAAUAAAUAUUUUAUUUUUACAUAAAUAAGUGACUCGUUUAUUAUAAAAAAUAAUAAACAUUUAUAUUUUCUAAUAAAAAUGGCCACAAAAUUGAAUAAAUGUUCUUCUCCUAAAACAAGUAAAAAAUAUAAUAGAUCCUUAAGGGUAAUUAUAAUCAUAGAGAAAACAUAAGCAACUUAUUUAAUUUUUAUCCUAUGUUAGCCUGAAAUAUACUAUAAAUGUUUAACCCAUUAUGAAACUCAAUAUGUUGUAAUGAUGGCUAAAUCAUGAUAAGAUAGUGUCCAUACUUUAAGAGACAUGCAUUUUAUAUUAUCACACACUUCAUCCAAGACAUUCAUUCAUUUGUUUAUUCAUUCAUGUCUAUAUACAUUCAAAACAUAUCUCAUCCAACAUGUUAGACAGCUAAACUAUGAGUGUUUAAAAAUUUAUAUAUAUAUAUAUAUAUAUAUAUCUGUGUGUGGGGGGGGCCUUCACAACUUUGGAAGAGUGAGAAUAGAAAUAGAAUGAUUCUACCCUUUUCAAAAUUAUCGGGAGUCGGCACUUUACUUUUAUGGACCAAUGCAAAAGACCAUCUUUAUGUUCAAUCUUGGAUGAUAUGGUAUUAAAAUACAAUUCUGAGCUUGAAAGUUGAUUAUGAAUAGAGAGGUAUAGCACAUCGUCUGCUCAAAUUAAAAUCGUACGCUUUAUAUUUGCAUGAACUAAUUUAUACUCUAAAUUCGUUUGAUUAAAAAUCUAAUUAAUAAAGGAAAAUAAUAUAUUUUUAUUAGCGUGUGUGACAAGAGUUUAUCCUAUUUCUAUAUAUCCCUAAGUGUAAUAGAGAAAUCAAAAGAUAUAAUUCUAGAUAGAAAAAUAUUAGUGGGUUGAUUUGAUUUUAAUAACUGGAUAUGAAAGAAAAAAUAAACCACAAAUUGUCGUCCCUAUAUUAUGAGAUGGCAAAGAUAGUAUUGGUGACCACAUCAAUUUCAUAAAACCAAUAGGAAAUAAAUAAAUGAUACUAAUUGCCACUAUUUUUCCAUUCAUCAAUUUAAUUCAACAAAGAGAAUUUUAGUAAUAUUAUUUUAGAUUUUUUUAAGGAAUUACUUUAGUUAAUUUAAUUGGGAUUAAUAGGACAGGGACAAUAUCAGCCGUGAACUGUUUUCAUGGUUCGAGAUAUGGCACAUGUAGUGUUAAUGACCAGAUCAUUUCUCAAUCCGGAGCGGAAAGAAAUAUUUGAAUGAGCUAUAGCCUUCCUUUUAAAUCACCCAAAUUAAUUUAAAUGGAAUUAGUUAGGGCAUAAGUUUAAGAUAAUUGAUGAAGCAUUCUUAAAAUUAAAUAAAAUAGUAAGUUUGAUAAGAUUUCGGCACUGAAGUCUAGAAAUUAUUUGUAGGGAACAUUUUGGACUCUGAGUCCAAUAACAUUGUAAUAUUUCAGUGUUUAUGUGUUCUAAUAAUUUUGUGGAAAAUUUUAGGUUUACGUAUAACAAUGUCAUAAUAUUUUGGAUUAUGACUUCGAUAAUGCUUUCUUAGGAGAGUUUUGGUAUGUAAGUCUAACAAUAUUGUAACAGUAAAUUGUAUGGGUUUGAUAAUGGCCAUGAGUUUGAAGGUGUCACUAAAUUAGAAAGAUGCAUGCUUGAUUGAAUAUAUGACUGUUAAUAGUAUGUUAUGUGAUGCAUAAACUUAUAUUUAUGUAUGAAUGAAAAUUUACACUAACUUGAAGAAUGAUAUGCACCAAAGAAUGUAUGAUUGCCUUAUAUGACACAUGGUGAUGCUUAUGUCUAUGAGAACAAACUAUGUUUGCCUAAUGAAGUGAUGCAUGAACCACAAUUAUCAAACGAAUAGAUCAAAAUAAUAUUGACCUUCUAAAAUCUUGGACUUGGAAAAUUGAUUUUGAGUUUCAUUACUUUUUUAUGCUCAUGACACUCUUUCCAAAAUCACUUGGAUCAUACAAUAAAACUGCCUCAAUGUACAAUUGGGUUAUCUGGACAAACUAUCUAAUGUCUUUCAAUGUGAUAAUAAUGUUCCAAUUUGAUGUCUUUCAACAACUUUUUUCAACAAAAUCGUUCACAAUAUUACUCUAAUGUGCUAUUCUAAAAUUUGGACUUUCCUCUAAAACCUAUAACUAAGAUUCUUCAAAUAGUAUGUGUUCACCUUGAGUACGUUCAUGAAUUCUCUUUUUAUAAUGAUCCUUAGUCUCCUUUGCAGCUAAUUUCCAACUUAGCAUAACUCGCAUUUUCUUAGGUAGCUCAUGUGAGCUUCCAACCAAUCACUCUUUAUUUUCCAUUUUUUCCUUUGAGUUUAAGUUUUUAUUUUGUUCAUGAACACCCUCAAGUGUAUUGGUUUCGAUAGUAUGUGAGUUGAUAGGAAUCAGAAUGUCUAUUGCAUGUUGUGGAUCACUCUGAAGGUACGCUUGAAAAGGACUUCUUGAAUGUAAUAAUCUAAAAUGAUUAUUAUCCUUGGUUUAUGAUUUUUUUCCUUGUGAUUGACGCAACAUAUAGAACCAUGAUAAGCAGCUUUAAUAGUGCCCUGAUUUUGGGAAUUUGGGAAAUUUAUCAUUUUAUGGGGUAUACGUAGCAACAUGUUUGAUAUCAUCUUAAAAAAUGGAAUCAAAACAAAAAUUACCUCGGUAUGAAAUAUUAGAUGUCAUCCUUCCAUUCAAACUGUCCUAGUCAGUUUAAUGUGGAAAGUCCUAUACUCUAUCCCCUAAAAAACUAUCCAUGUUUAAGAGGCUUCCAUUAUUUUUUAUUUAUUGCCCUUUUGGGUCUCCAUUUGGCAUGUUCUUCACUUUAUACACACCUCUUUAAAAAUAAAUACUAAAAAUAAUAAUCAUAUAUACUUGGAAAGUGUAUGGGUUUUGAGUGGUGAUAAUGAUGAUGAGAGGAUGAAAUUUGAUUAUAUGCAUUAAGGAUGAGAUAUUUUUAUCAAAUUUUAUGAGAAUUAAUAGAUUCAACAUUUCAUUGCCUUGUUAGUAUCAUGGGAAAAUCAACCCUAAACAAGUGCUUUAUGAGCUUAUAUCUUGUGUGGCUAAUGGUUUCUAAGAAAAAUAUAUAUGUCUCAAAACUCUUUUUGUUUCCCAUACCUACUAUUUGUCCUAAUUUUCAACAUUUUCUAACAUUCCGUUCAUAGUAGGAAUUUUCGGGUUUUAAAAAGGUCUUAUGAUGAGCUGGAUAAAGGCAUAAGAUCAAGGUUAUAAUCUUUUCCUAUUAUCGUUGGGUAUGAGCAUGUCAGAAUACACCUACAAGGGAGUUGAACAAGUGUCGUAGAACACUUACUCUGUUUUACCUAUAAUUUGCGCAAAACUAAAACAUACCGCACUUAAUCGAUUAAGUUUGGUUUUAAUCGAUUAAAUAGUGAUUGGCCUUAAUCGAUUAUGCUUGUGGAUAAUCGUUUAUCCUAACACUUGCACAACUUGAUUCUUUGGUUUCUUGCACAGUUAGUUACCGAUUACCAAAUCUUUACACAAUUGAUUAAUUAUUGAAGUUACAAAAAGACAAUAAAACAAAUUAUAACAUGUAACUCAUAUUAACACAAAUAAUCAACAAAGUAAAGAAUAAAAUUAAAGAGAUUAGGGAUAGAAAGAGGUGCACAAAGAAUUUUUAUCCUGGUUCAUUUGCAGUCCGCUAUAAACUACAUAUAGGCUUCCCCUUCUGAUCUCGGGAGAUUUUUCUUCACUAUUGAAAUUGGAAGUUUACAAACACACUUCCAAUAACAAAAACAGAAAAACUAAGCCUAUCAUUUCUUAGAGCAUGUGAUCUUGACAACCUAGGUUUGACCUAACUAAAUCGCCUACUAAGAUCUCUUAUCUUUUCGCGAUUCGGCCUCAACCUUGGUAUCGCUCAAACUAAGACCUCUUAGUCUCUAUGAAGAUAAUCAAGUCUCUCUUGUAGUGAAACAAUUCAAAACGAGAUCAACUUCCUUGUCCAAAACAGAAUAUAGUGAGUUGACUUAAGUACUUAAUACUCAGAUUCAACUAUUAAAACUCAAUCUAAAACACAAAGUAGAAAAUCUACAAGAACCUAAUCCUAAAUGAAAUUAAAUGCAUUAUGUUUUCGAAAAAUUUGAUUUGCCCUCUUUUCAGGAAAAAGAAUUCUUCACUUUUCUCUCAAAGAAAUCAAGAACUAUAUGCAAGAUUGUAAUGCAUAGAAAACUAGAGAAAACAUGCAAUGAUUUUAAUCUCUAAGCCUAACUCAGAAUCCUCUCACUCUCUAAGUUUUCUAAAUGCACUUUAUCACUGUAAUGUAAUCUAUGAAAAUGUAUGCUCUAUAACUAUUUUCGAAAUAUGCAAGUUAUGCCACAUUGGCAAGAAUUACAACAUUUAUGCUAAUCCUACUGAUACUGAUAUUAAUCAAUUAUUUAUCCAAUUAAUCGAUUAAUGGGUUGUUAAAAAUUAGUUUUCUAUUACUUUUCAAUUGAUUAUAUGUUAUCUUAAUCGAUUAAUAUGCUAAAAUACCAGAUCAGUUAGUAACUGAAUUCUAGAUAAUCGAUUUCACAAACUUCUUAAUUGAUUAUACUGGUUUAAAAAUGUUUUUCAUGAUGUAUGGUAAACUACCUAUAGGAUAUGGAAAUGUUAUACAUAACUUUUCAAAAUAUAAUACCUUUUAAUGCAUAAGACUAUGUAUGUGUAUGCAUAAGACUAUGUAUGUGUAUGCAUGAGCCUACUUAUUAUAAAAUAUCUAAAUGUUAUACCUCAAUUUUAUUUCUUGUGACGCUUCCCACCUAGGUUUACCUAACCUAGACUCAAUCUAAGGAAAUCAUCUUAAGACUUCUAAUACAAGUAAAUAUUAUAAUGCCCUAAGUCUAUAGAUGCAACCUAUGAGUCUUCUGCUCGUUUUUGUUGUACGAUCUUCAAGCUUUCUUGUGUGCCCAUUUUCUUCAUCAAAACUUCGGUUAGCCUUAACUGUGCAGGUCUUGGAUCUUUGCACUUUCAAUCUCCCCUUUUUUGAUGUUGACAAACUCUAAACUAAUUCCUUGUUUGAUAAGCUUGAUGAUGAUCAACAUGUGUUGGUUUAGGUUGGAUACAUGUCAAAGUUGCAUUGUUUCUCCUCACUUUGUUAUCCCCCUCAACCAAGCAAUGAGGUGAUAUACACACGAGUAGGUAGCAAACUUACUGAAGCUCAACAACCUGAAACACAUCAAAUGACAAAACAACAUUUCUCCCCCUUUUGACAUUAUCAAAAUGUGUAGACAAUUAAAUGUUAAUAACUGGUCAAAAGAAAGAAGAGAUAUAAUAUUUUAUAAAAAUAAAUUGUAAUUAAUCACUAAGAACAAGCUUUAAUUUGAUUAACCAGUUUUCAGAAAAUUGAACAUAUGCACAUUUCACUGCAUUUAAUCGGCUAUCGAGGGCACUUAAUUGAUUAAACUGACAAAAACAACAUAUAAACCAGGUUGUAUGACACAUCCAGCAUGUAAAUAUUCAAUUAGGCAUGGAAUGAUUAAUAGUUCCGAUAUAUUCAGAUUAAACAUGUAUUAAUCAAAAAAAAUAUGGUAUACAUGCAAGACAUGAUCAAGAUAUUCAUAAAACCAUAAUUCAUAAACUAUUCGACAUAAUUAACCAUUGUCCAACAAAGCAUGAAAUUGUGAAUUUAAAACGAGUACAUAAGUAGAGUUUGAAAGCAUAUUAUAAUAAAAAGAUACGAUGCCCAAAAAGAUAUGAUACCACUUGUUGUUUAAAAUAAAACAUUUGCAUCCAAAGGCAUGAAGAUGAGACAUAUUAGGUUUUCGGCCUCUCAAUAACUCAUAAGGAGUUUUUAACAAUUUAGGUCUAAGAAGUACUCGAUUUAUGACAUAGGAAGCCGUAUGUACAGCAUCAGCCCAAAAGUAUUUAGGCACUUUGCUUUCAUUAAGCAUGGUCCUGACCAGCUCCUCUAAUACGCGAUUUUCCUCUCAACAAAUCCAUUUUGUUGAGGAGUUCUAGGAGCCAAGUAUUUGUGCAGGAUACCAUGUUUAUCGCAAAACUUGUCAAACGGAUGAUUCUCAAACUUACCACCAUGGUCACUUCGUAUAUAUACAAUUUUCAGGUUAAGUUGGUUCUGGAUUUGCUUGGCAAGGCUCUUAAAGGAUUUGAAUACGUUGCUUUUAGAAGAUAGGAACAGGGUCCAUAUAAACCUAGAAAAAUCAUCUAAAAUUUCCAAAUCAUAAUAGCUACCUCCAA